AGAACAAAUUACACGUGUGUAAUGAUGGUAUUGAGUCACACGAAAUUAUAAGGAUGUGAAAAUAAAUCAAAUGAACUUAUAAAUACAAGAAUCUGAUCAACAUGGGCGACUUUGGACGAUGUAAAAAGAAAGCUAUUUUUCUUGCUUUUGGCAUGGCCAAGUUCGAAGGUGGUCAUGCCUCUUGUAAAAGAAGAAUGGUUUCACGGGUUUUAUCAUUUGCUGUACUGGUUUCUUGUUUUUGCUGUUGGGGGAUUCAUAUUUAUUUAUGCUUCCAAAAUUAUGCUAGUUUUAUUUAGAAAACUAGCCGUAUUAUACAAUAAAACUAGUCAGACAUGUCAAAUUAUACAUUAAAACUCUCAACAAUAACAAAGACACAAGAUAUCUGUACUAGCACAUAACUUCACAUCGAACAAAUAUAGGCAAGUGGCAGGGUUAUUAGCAUUUUCCUUUUGCCAAAUGUAUUUGAAUUUGCCCGCAAGAAAAAAUAUAUAUAUCUUGACUUCAAUUUUCCUGUUUCCAUUUCUCCUAUGCCCACCUGUUUCCUUCUUACUUUUUUCGCGUGUCCUCUAACUUAACAGAAGGUUAACUCUGUUCAGUGUCAUUUUUAUUAACAAAAUAUUAAAUGUUAAAAUAAAAUUAUUCAGAAACACGAUCACCUCAUCUUCUCCGGCACCCACUACCACCCCCAAUCGCAACAUAUCCAGAUCCACAUCUAUAUAUGCCUUCAUCUUAUGGUCCCUUAAUUCAACAAACAUGCCCUCUUUUCCUCUCUCUCUCUCUCUCUCUCUCUCUCUCUCUCUCUCUCUCUCUGCACUGCCGUACUAGAUCCAGACCCUCACCGCGUCCUCUACCUCGACAACGCCGGCAAGAUUCAUCGUAAUUCGCGAGCUCGACAUUCCCAGGGUGGAGGGAUAUCCGAUUCUUUAAGUCAAAGAAAAAUCUUGUUUUCUGAUGUGUGAGUGAGGAUUGAAAAUUGAAGGAAGUUGUUCUUCGCAUGUCCCACAAAUAUUCUUCAUGGCCUGGCUAUUCACAAAUCAAUGAAAUCCAAAGACAACAACGCCACCAUGUGAGUGCAUCUAUAAAAAUAAAAGAGAAAUGCUAGCAACCUUCUCUCUAACCUUCUCUUUUAGACCUUCUCCCUUUUUUGUUUGACAUGUGUCAAUCUCCUUACACUUAAAACAAUAUUAUUAAUAUAUUAUCCAAGUAAACUUUUGCUUUCCAACUUUAUCUUUAUUAAAUGUAUUCAAGUUAUUCAAAAAAAUUUCACAACUUUCUUACCAUAUAUAUAUAUAUAAUUUUUUUUUAACAUCAAUUAUUUUUUUCAAGAAAAUAUCUAAUUUUUUCAAAAAAGAGGAAAUGUCCGUUUUUUUUUUAAAACACAAAGGACUUUUUUUUUUCUUUUUUUCUUUUUCUAUCUAAACCCUUUGUGUUUUUUUUUUUAAAAAAAAAAAACCAAACAUUUCCUCUUAAAAGCAUAUAUUUUCUUUAAAAAAAUAAUUGAUGUUAGAAAAAAAUUACUAAGAUGAUAAGAAAGUUGUGAAUUUUUUUUGGAUAAAUUGAAUACAUUUAAUAAGGGUAAACUUGAAAAGAAAAAGUUAGCUUGUACAAUAUAUUAAUGACAUUGUUUUAAGUGUAAGGAGUAUGACACAUGUCAAGCAAAAAAAAAAGAGAAAGUUAGAGAGAAGGUUUUUGGCAUUCCACAAAAUAAAAAGGGAUUGUCGCCACUGGGGUGGGGUUGUUGUGGUGGGUGGCGGUUGAGGUCCGGUGGGUGGGUGCUUAGGUGGCUACUGUGAUUUAUCUUUUACUUCAAUUUUGAGUUUUUAAAAAAAAAAAUAAUUUGAUUCAAAGUUAACAGUGUUUUGUGGAAUGUUAAGUGAGGACACAUGUCAACAAAAUAAGAAGGAAACAUGGUGGGAACAGGUGACAUGGAAACAGGAAAAUUGAACUCAUAUAUCUUUGGCAUCAUCCGAAUGACUAGCGAAACGAACAAGCAAGAGGAGAUGAAAUAAUUUGUUCUUAUUUAACAUUUGUGACUCUUCCAGUGGCGGAUCCAGGAAUUUUCAUUCUUGGGGUCAAUCUUUUCCUAGUCCUCGAGCAAAACUAAAACUAUAACAAGACUCACAAUCUUUCCGAACAUUUUUCAUACAACCAUAGAGGAGGCUAACAAUGGACCCAUGACGCAAGGAACGACAACACCUAACAACGCGCAACGGUGUCGGUCUUCUCGAUCCGAAAACUCGUGAAGUUUCCAAUAGAUUCAUACACUUGCGAGUAUUUAUAGUUGGGUGAUUAGCACAUUAAUUUGUGUCAUUAAAAUAAAAUUAAAAAUAAAAAUAAAAUAAUAAAAUAAUGACAAAAACUAACAAAAAUAUUUAUUUCACAUUAUAAAAUUUAAAAACAAAUUUAAAAAAAAUUUAAAAAAAAAAAGAAGAAACAAGGGACUACAUUAACUUUAAAAAAACAUUAUCAUGGUUCGCUUCCUGAUUCCACAAUAAGAGCCUUUAGUUUGGUCAUCUAGACCUCUUCUCUUGGGUUUUCAUGCACAGCUUCAUGGGGCUUAUCACUUGAGCUCCCAAAUAUCACACCCUUAGCUUGAGCAUAACUUGUAUCAUGAUCUCGUUGCUUGUGUUUACCCGAUUGAUCCAGGGCCUCCAGCUGCUUAUGCAUGUCUUGAGACUAAAAAUCUAUCAUAUUUGAUAGCUUUUGAUUCUCUUCCUGCAAUAUUUCAAGCUGAUGUCGAUUUACCUCUGUCGUCUUUGCCCUCUCCCUCAUCAAAUUUCUUAUAAUACGCUGACAAUCUUCAACCAAAUUCCACUCUACAACCAACUAGGCUCUUAGCACCUGUACCUCAUAGGAUUGCACAAUGAGGCGAUGCCCCACACUUGUGACAGAUAUUGCACUUUGCAUGCUCAGUGAGAUGGCAUCAUUCAUCACCUGGUUACUAUCCAUCGUUCCCAGCACGUGCACAUCCCUGGGAGUCACCAAACUCCUCGCAGCUCCAACAGUAACAUCGUUGUCAAGGAGUAAAGAGUCAUUUACGGUAACUGGCCUCAUAAGGAACCAAAUUAGGACAUCCACACUAGUGCAGCCCCUUGCCCCAUGCCUAUGUUGGCGAAGCUAGGUAUAGGUCGAGAGAAAAUGGGAAUGAAGAGGCCAUUUUAUUUCUGAGUUUGAGGAGAUAAGUUUAGAUUGAGAGAAAUGGGAAGGAAGAAAAUUGGCGGAGCUAGGUUUUUUUCUUUUACUGAGUUAUGAUUUUUCUCUCCCCUCGUUUCCUUUUAUAAAUGUCCAAUAUUUAUGAUUUUUCUCUCGUUCCUCGAGCUCUAAACCUAUAAUUUCUGGCUUUCCACCUCGAGCUACAUACCCAUGUUUUCUGGCUUUCCAUCUCGACCCACUUUAUUAAACGGAUUAUAACGGCAUCUUCCGCUCGGAAAAAUUAUUUUAUAUAAAAAUAUUGGCUAAGUAUGAAAAAUGGUUUUUCAGAAUAAUCAUUUUCUCAAGAUAAUUUUUGGCGGCUUUUAUUCCUUACACAUCAAAUAAGAAAACUUGAUUUUAUGAGAUUUUAGUAUGACGUAUAUAUUGACUUAAUGAGCCAUCAUUUUUAGCCUAAAUCGUAUUUUAUACUAAAAUUGAUUUUUCAUAUUUUGAUUUGGUGAGAAUUUGAUUUUCUAGUAUUUUUAUUUGAAUCCAAAUGGGGGGUACUUCCGUAUUUACAUUGUAAACUUAAGUAAAUGGAGUAAUAUAAAAAUAAAUGAAAAUAAAAGGACAAAGAAAUAAGAAACUCUGUAUCAUUCCAUAACUUUCUACAUACAAACUAAUAUAAAUCUUAAGUGGCACGACGUUGUUUUGACAUCAGGAAAAAUAAAAUUGAGGCAUUAGGGCAUUUCAACAAACUGGGUUGUGGCAACUACCUCUUUGGGGCAUUUCAUCAAACACCUUAUGGGGCAAUUUGCAAGGGUCAAGUUCUUGGCCUCCUAUGCUGGAUGGAUUUUGGGUUUGCAGUGGUCAAUUGACCCCCCUUGCCCCUAUGUGGAUCCACCAUUGCUUAGGGCAUGUUUACUUACUAGGCUGUGUCUUGGGCAUGAGAAAUCAUUUGAUUUCCCAUAUUUAGUAAGUUCAAACAUGGGAAGAUUUCCUAACUUAUCGAAAAAUAGGCAGAAAAUGAAACCUCCAUCCAAGACAAGAACAAAAUAUAUAUUUUUAUGACCAAUUUGCCUCUAUUAACAAUUUAAAAUACCAAGGUAAUCAUUAGUUACAUGUUAUUGGAUGUUUCUAAUUUAGGGGUGUGAUUGAAAAAUUAAAUAAAUUUUUUUUCCAAUUUCUACAUAAACUAAACACGGGAAAGAAAAUAAAAUGAUAUUUUCUACUUACUUUCUUAGCAUUACCAAACAUAGGAAAUGAAUUUUCAAUUUCCCUUCUCCUAAGAAAAUAUGUGGGGAAUGAUUUCUCAUCAAUUCUUUUUUGUGAACUAAAUGGGACCUUAGGACUUGUUUGGUUCAUGGAUUGAAUUUCCUAAGAAUGGAAUUCCCAUGUAAAAUCCCACGAGAUAGGAAUGGAAGUUGUUCAUGUUUGGGAACGUUAGGAACUGAGGACCAAAAAGGCUAAAAUGCGGUUUUCCUGAACUGAACCAUAAUUGUCAAUUUAUUACCCCCUCACUUUUUUUUGUGUUGGUAAAUUAAGAACUUCAUCUAUAUGAAAAUAGCCAAUUUGGGACUCGCCGUCAUCCAAAAUUCUGUCAUGUGACUUGCACAUGGUCAGUUUUUUAGUUUAAAAAAGAGUUUAAAAGAAAACAAAAGGUCAAAAAAUGGGAAACAAAAGUACCCUGCCCCGAGCUUUGUUCCUUUAACCCCGACCAGCAGCCCACCACAGCCACAACAUCAGCCCCCCAUCUCCACCAACCUCCUCCGUAUACAGGGAAUUAUUUACUCCGCCUGUAACACCCCACACCUAUCUCAUCCAAUUCUCUCAGCCCACCCAUAUUCUCCUAUCCCCAGCUCCGAGUCAUCGCACCCACUUUGCAUGAGCCUCAUGUUGAUGAUUUAGCUCAACUUAAAGAUUCCAAAAGUCCCUACCCAAAAAAAAUAGAUCCCAAAAGCCUAUAUGGACAAAAUCCAAAGUACCUAGAUCCCCACCUCCUAGUCAUCGCACCCUGAUGCAGGAGCAUAGGAGUGGAUCAAGAUAGAUAUUAGCAUUUAAUUAGUUAUUUCAUGAUAUAUUGUUAUUUUCUUAUUUAGGUAGUUUUAGAAUAUCUUUUAUUAUUUAUGUGUGAUUUUAUAAAUUAAUUAGUUUACUUUUGGACAAAGUAACCUUGGUGCCCAAGUCUUGUAAAGCCUAUAAAUAAGGCUAAUGUAAUAGUUGUAGGAAGAUAUGUUGAUGAUUAAUAAAAUCGUUUAUUUGUGGCAUGGAUUUGCUACGAUAUAUGUGAGUUUGCACUAGCCCUAGAUUUCGGUGCUCGUGUAUGUGGUUGGUGACCUGUGUCCGGAUCCCGAUCCCCAUCAAUUGGUAUCAGAGCUAUGGCUCAAGAUCUGCUUUAUCGGGGAGGUUUUUGGAUGAAGGGUCGUGUUAACAACUAUAACAACAUGGAGGAACUUAGGGGGAUGCUACGGCAACUUACAGAACGCAUUGCUCGCAUUGAAGCUCGAACCCAAAUAGGUAAGAGUUUUGACGGGGAGGGAUGUGUGAACCCUUAUCUGAACCGAGUAGCUCGCAUCGACACUCUAAGCCGUGGGAGUCUCGACGGGGAGUACGAGGGAGAUAGCCUUUUUCAUUAUUGCGCUCCACUGUGUGAGUCAAGUGAAGAGGGGCACGGUUAUUCUCAUUGUGUCUUUGAAGGUAUAAAUGAAUUUGGUAAUUUUGGUGCAUCUUGUUAUUCAUCAAAGUUAUUAAAUUUGGAUUUACCUCCAAUAUUUGAUCUUUGCAACUGUGAAAAUUGCAAUGAAAAUUGUUUGGGUGUUCAAAGCAAUUUUGAUAAGCAAUUUAUUGACAAGAACAGUGAAGAGAUGAGAAUUGAGAAAACUUUCGAAGAUAUUAUUGAUUUUAUGGGCAUUAAUAUUUUCACUUGGAAGGUUUCCAAAACUCUGGUUGAUUUUUUCAAUCAGUUGAAGAUUCUAGAGAGAAACAUUUGCAUUGUUAGAGGGGGCAAGAAGAAGCCAAGAAGAAUGAAAUAUUCCAAAUAUCUUUUUAUUUGGAAAGGAAGGUUUCAAUUGGAUGCUAAAAGAUCCAGAAUUAAUAUGAAGCAAUUGAAGAUUCUAUUUGGAUUUUCCUCAAUCAAAGGCUUGAAUUCGAAGACGAAUUCUUUCCAACCAUGUGAGUCUGAUGCAGGAGCAUAGGAGUGGAUCAAGAUAGAUAUUAGCAUUUAAUUAGUUAUUUCAUGAUAUAUUGUUAUUUUCUUAUUUAGGUAGUUUUAGAAUAUCUUUUAUUAUUUAUGUGUGAUUUUAUAAAUUAAUUAGUUUACUUUUGGACAAAGUAACCUUAGUGCCCAAGUCUUGUAAAGCCUAUAAAUAAGGCUAAUGUAAUAGUUGUAGGAAGAUAUGUUGAUGAUUAAUAAAAUCGUUUAUUUGUGGCAUGGAUUUGCUACGAUAUAUGUGAGUUUGCACUAGCCCUAGAUUUCGGUGCUCGUGUAUGUGGUUGGUGACCUGUGUCCGGAUCCCGAUCCCCAUCACACCCACUGUGCAAGAGCCUCAUUUUAUUUUCUCUUUUAAAAAGAAAAUUUCCAAUUUACCUCUAAUACUGACGGAAUAUUGGAUGGAAUUCAAAAAAGGCUAAACUGCUGAAUACCCACUCUGAACCAUCACGCUUGUUGAAAUCUCGACCAUGAAUUAAUUUUUCAGCCAAUUUAGCCAUUGUAUUAAAUUUAUUCGCCAAUUUCACCCUUACUGUUAGCCUUUUCACAAUUCCAUCCAAAUGCCUAUCAAAUAUAAGGGUAAAUUUGACAUUUUACAAGGUAUUGCAUUAAGAAAAAUAAGGAAAAUGUAGUAUAAUAUAUUUAAAAGGUAUAGCCGCCCGGCUAUACUGGCAAUUUCGUUGUACAGAGCAAACCUUUAAAGAGUCCCAGACGUACCUCCUGGAUGGCUUAUGCCAACCCCUAAGAUUUCUCUCAAGGAUUUCAAAUCCCUUUUAACCCGUCGCUAUAUAGCUCUCUCUCGCGUCCGCUCCACCCUUCUUGCCACCUCCGCUAACCCUAACCCUAACCUUCUUUUGUUCUAGAACAUCUCAAUGAAGCACCAAAGGUGCACACUUUGACACACUCCAAGACUAAAUUCGAAGCAUCGAAGAAUGUUGUUGCUAAUUGCGAAGCUGGGCCUUCUGGGGUCGACAAGGAUGAGAAACAAUCGGGCGGUGCUGAUUUUAUGGUGAAACCCGUUGAUGGGUCCGAUGCAUCUCCUGCUUUUAAACCCGAUUUGCCUAAGAAAGGUUCGGAUGUUGUGGAUGUCGGUGCAAAUUCACUAGCUGUGAAGGUUGAGAAAGUGGAUGAAGUGGGGGCUGCCGUUGGGUAUGUAGGGGGUGGGGGAGGGAUGUGGACGAAGAGAAAGAGAAGAGAGAAGAAGGAUCAAGAGAUUUGAGUUGCAGGGUUGGCAUGUGCCAUUCACGUGGUAUUUUUAACAGAGAUUUGGAUGGAAAUUGCCAAAAACUAAUAGUGGGGGUAAAUUGACUAUAAAAUUUAGUACAAGUGCUAAAUUGGCUGAAAAAUUAAUUUCUGAUGUAGAUUUCAACUAGCGUGAUAGUUCAGGAAGGUAUUCGGCAGUUUACCCUUCAAAAAAUUGACAGCAAGUCUCAAAUUGGCCAUUUUUAUAUAGUUCAAAUUGGGCAAAAAAACAAUGCAUUUAAUUUCUUAGGUGCCAGUGGGAGGUGGGAAUUUCGAAGAUGAGCCAAAAGUGAUAUUCCCCAUAUUAUACGAAAACACUCUAAGACAUUGUCGUUGAUGGACUAUGCAACAUGCACACAAAAACCCAAAGAAUAAUAAACGCACACACUACAAAGAGAAGUAAAGCAAACAAAUAAGACCACAAAAAUUUAUAGAGGUUUGGUCUCGCGCCUAUGUCCUCUUGGUGAUCCACUUGAGAAAUUCACUAGAAUGUAAGAAUAACCUCGGUUACAAUCAAGAACCACCUUAGCUCUCACAAGAACCUAGCUCUCUUUUCUCUCAACCUCGCUCAAAUCCUUUGAUGCCCUUGUAAACACCCAAUAAUUCACCCUUUUGAAUUCUCUUGUGUCUCUCUUGAAAAUUCUUACGCUUGGAUUUUCUCCUCUCUUACAAUUAACCUAAUCCUAAAAGUCAUAUUUAUAAUGCACAUGACUUAGGUUACAAAUUAACUAGGAAUAGGAAACCAAAACCCUAUUAAAUUAGAGAAGUCUGGAAGCUUCUUGAACUCUGGAAGAUGUUUCUGUAUUAAAAAGAAAUUCACUUUGCUGAGCAUUACCUGUUAUCUUAUUCAUAGGUCAAGAUGAUCUGGGUAGGAGAAGUGGGAAAGACACAAUGAAGGAGAAGAAGACACUUUGACUUCUUUUUUUUAUUUUUUAUCUUAUGUUAACUUUUGUUAAUUUUAAUUAUCAAAACAUUAAUUUAGGGUGAGGAUAGAAUAAGAAAUAGCAAGAAAUUUUUUUAUAUUAAAAAGUAUUAAAAAGCAAAAGAGAGAAAAUGGAAGUGGAAAAAUCAGCUCCCUAAAUUAAUAUAUUAUGCAAUAAAACUAAAAUAAAAUGAUAACAUAUUGAUUUUUAAACUAGUUUUUUUUUCUUAACUAUUAGAUUAGAUCUAAUGAUGGGUGACCACAACUCCCUUAGACCAUAGGGUCUAGAAAACGAGACUGUAUAUAUUAGGUGGAACAAUUAGGUGAUCCUGGGAUUUUGUGUUUUUUUUUUUGUUACAUUGGCGUUCAACAGGGUCGGAGCUGCAUUGGGACAAGAGCAGUCCCAGGCCGCCACUCAGUUUUUAUUAUAAAAAAAGAAAGUUGUAUGAUAUUAUUGGAUAAUCCAUAUUAAUUAACAUAUUUAUUUUAACACAUGGAGCCUUACCCAGCCAAACCUACAUUUCCUUCAAGACCGCCUAUUCACAAUCGCUCUAAAGCGAUUCUUGCGAUACUUGUUAGACACGUGUACACGCGUUCCCAAUGUAUCCUCCUUUUUAUUUUUUUUAUUCUUCUCUCUUUCGUUCUCUCAGUUGGCUCGCUUGCUCUCUCUCUCUCUUCUUCUCUCCGUCUCUCCCCCUCUCUCUCUUUUUUUUUUUUUUAAAUUUUCCUUCUCUUUCUUUUUCUUCUCUCCCUCUCUUUUAUUCUUCUUCUUCUUCUUCUUUUUCUCAGUCUCCAUAUCUCUGUGUGUGUAAAUUUGGUUAAAUGCCAGAUGCCAGAUGCUGGAGGCAAUGAUUUGGGAGGGAGGGCUUAUAGAAACCCCCAAAAUUUCACAACCUAGAAAGGUUCACGACUCCCAAAUUUUUUGCCAAUAGUGCGACUUUAGCCAAAAAUGGUAGAAGAAAACUGGCGGAGGGAAAGAAGGGGAAAACUAGGGAAGAAAAAGAGAACAGAGAGAUAAGAGAUAAGGAAAUAAAGGGGAAGAUUUGUGUUUAGUUGUUCUGUGGGCUUAAGCCCCUUUAUUAGGAAGGAGAAGAAGCAAGAGGAGGAGAGAAAAGAGGGAGAGAUAGAGACAGAAGUAGAAGAAGAAAGAGAAAGAAUUUAUUAUUAUUAUUUUUUUUAAAGAGAGAGAGUGACAGAAGAAGAAGAGAGAGCGCGAUGCAACCAAGAGAAAGAAAAAGAGAAUAAAAAAUAAAAAUAAAAAGGAGAAUACAUUGGGAAUGCGUGUACACAUGUCUAGCAAGUAUUGUGAGAGUCUCUUUAGAGCGAUUGUGAAUAGCAUUCCUCAAGUUUUAAUAAAACUAUUAUUAUUAUUAUAUUACCUUUUAACACAAAUAUUAUCUUUUUACACAAAUUGCUAAAAAGCAAAGAGAUUUUAAUUCAUUUUUCUAUUUUCUUGGCGAGAGCAAACUUUCUCAUUGUUUGUGAGUUUUUCUCUCAAACUCAAUAUUAUAUUAUCAUUUUAAAAUUAGGUUAAUUCAUAGAUGAAUGAUUGCUUGGUAGCAUAUAUUAGAAAAAUAUUUUUAAUAGUAUAGAUGACGUGGUUGUUAUGUAACUAUUUAAAAAUAAGAAAACUCGUCGAGGACAAUUAUGAAUUGUAAUGAUUUUUUUUUUUGAGUCAAAAUUAUGAUUAUAAUGAAUAGAGAAUAUUAUUUUUGCUGUUUUGGUAUGUCUUGAGUUCAAAUUUUUUAUUCUUUAUAUUUUGUGACAGGCCCCUACAUACAUAAAAUCCUAGCUUCGCCACUGGAGUUCAACUUUGGAGUUCAAACUGGGGUGUCAUAGGGGGAAGGAGGAAGCCACCACCACGAUGAUAGCAACCCAUUGGCUUUCUUUUUUUCAAUAAUAAAAAAAUGAUAGAAUUUCAAGACUUGGUCAGUCGAAGCACGCGUAGCUCAGUAUGAAAAGUUCAAUUCAAACCUGUCUAAUAUUCAAAGCAAAAUUUAAAACUAAAAUUGCUAUAAUUUGAAAUAUGCUAUUACAUCGAUGUGGGGUUACCCAUUCUUACUUUGUAACUUUUCAAACUCUUAUUUAAUUGUUAUUGGCUAAGAAAAGAAAAAACCCAUAGAGAUCAUGUGUUUCUCCUUUAAAAGAAAAAAGAAAAAGAAAAAGAAGAAGCUACGUGGAAGAGAGGAAUAAAACCAAACGAUCUGUGGUGUGGACUAAAGAAAACGAUCAAAUGGCACAAUAUGCAUGUGCAGCAUACUCAGUUUCACCGACGUCUUUAUAUGCCAUAAGAAAUUCUAGAUGAUUCAAAGGCUUAUACCGUAAGGGGUGCUCCUUGUCCACGAGCUCAUCUGGUACUCGUAUCAUCCCUUUAUUAACUGAAAGUAGUUCGGACGAGUAUCUCGCCUCAUUUUCUCUCAGUAUCACUCUAUGCCUACAUGGUCGAAUUCGAUCGUUGCUCCAAACCUAGGCAAAUCAAAGCAUGCAAAUAUUGUUUUAGUCUGUUUCCCAGUGCUUCUGACGUGACUAAAACUGUUUUUGGACAACCACAAAGUACUUUUGGAUCAUAAAAACGUUUUUUUUUGCCGAAUAAACACUUCUAAAUGUUUUUCAGAAAGCAUUUGGAUUUUUAAUAUGAAUUCUUUUUAGGGUUGUUCCAACAAAGGCCCUUACAGCUACUAUAUUAUAGACACAUACCCAUCUACUUUUAAAUCUUUACAUGGCAACUUAUUUUAAAUUUUAGUUUCAAGUAAAGAUUUAAAAGAACAUGGAUAUGUAUGCGUCUAUGAUAUAGUUAGUUGUAAGGGCCUACAUUGGAACAACCCAUAUAUAAAUAAAGCAUGAACUAUUUGGUGGCAUACCUGAAAUCCAUCACCUGCUAUGAAUAUCACGGAUGAAGGCAGAGGAUCAAAAACUACCCACUCAUCAUUCUUUGUAUUGAUCUCCAGACCAUUGACAUGAUUUUGAUGGAGUAUGGUGGAAAAGUUCUUGUCCGUAUGACUGCGUAAACCCACAUCAACUUCAAAUUUCUUGGGUUCUUCGUAUUUUAAAAAUCGGAGAGUGUGCGAAGUCGACUGAAAAUGAUCGUCAUGGUACUUCUCUACACCAUAGUUCUCAAAUACCAUUCUUGUCACAGCAUGAUCUAUUUCUGCCAUCACUCUUGCAUACAAGUCAGCACUCUCACUGUCCAAUAACAAAGAACAAAUUAAUUAAUAUUGUAAACAAGCCAAUUAGCUAUAUAGUUGUAAAUGGAAAGGCAAAAAUACAGGUAGAAUAAAUUAUACCGAAAUUGGUCGUUUCCAUCUGGCCAAAAAUGAUGUGUGAAUUCCUGAGUUUCUUUAGGGUUUGUGCCAUUAACAAUUCCAAGGCCUUUCUGCCUAGAACUUGAAGUUAUGUAGCCAGCACGGAAAGGCUUCUCAGGAGUAUCGACGGGGAAAUUAAACAACUCGCCAAAUGCAUCAAAGAAGGUUUUUUGAAGUUCCGGAGGAACUUUGCUGGGUAGGAUUGCCAUGAAACAGCCGAGCUCUUCGAGUGCCCGGCAAACGUCUUUCCGUGCUGAGAGCCAAGAGCUUGUCCCCGGCUUCAAGCAGUCCGCGUUUGAGAAAUCUACCACUGGAAUGCCGGCCACAGUUUGCGAAUAUGAAGUCAUACUUUUUUCUUUUUCACUAGCUGUAAGUGAGGUUUUGAGGGCUCUAAGCAUAAAGUAGUGCAAGAUGCAUAUUUUCUAAGUUGAUAUUUGUAGCUAGAGUGGUUCACUACCCACACACACACACACACACACACACACAAAAAAAAAAAGCAAUAGUCGCAUUUUUUAAGUAACUAAUUUAUUUUGGUUAUAAUUAUCGUUGGUCAACGCUCUUAAUUAAAUAAGUCCCUAUUAUUUAUGUCUAAUGAUUUAAAUAUUAUAAAUUUUGUUGUAGCUGACACAUGAAUAGUAAUAAUGUAAUAAAAUGUAAGAGCAUAUUCUUUCCCAUAAUAAAAUAUUUACAAUGGUAAUUUAAUAAAAAUAUAUGGAUUGAAUCUUUCUCACUAGCCAAGCUCUUUUCCCUUUCCUCUAUAUAAUUAGUAAUAGUUAUUCUAAAUAAUAAAUAUUAUAAUAAAAAAUGUGAGAGCAUGCAUGUGCAUCGAAAGAUGCGCCCAAACCAACCCCUCUUUUUCUUUCUUUUGUAAUUUUUAUUCUCCCCAUAUCUCAUCUCUCCCUACGCCUUUAUUUUUUUAUUUUUUUUAUUUUUUUCCAAUCUUCUUCUUCCUUCCGUCACUUUCCAUCUCUUUCUCUCUUUCUAUUUUUAUUUUCCUUCUUUCUCUCUCUCUCUCUCUUUCUUUUUUUCCUACUUCUUCCUCUGUCACUUUGCAAUUUUUUUCCUGCUUCUUCACUUGAAGUUUCUUGGUUUGAAUUAUUUGGUUAAAAUUUUAACUUUUAUGGAAGGAUGAUAUACAUAAUAUGGGUCUUGACUAAGAUUUUUUCAUCUUUGAUUGUGAUUUUAGCAAAGAAUUGGGUGAUGGGUAUUUUGAUUUGAGUGUUGUAAUCUGGUUUUCGGUAAGGGAUUUGGUUUUCAGUAAGGGAUCUGGUUUUCGAUAAGAGAUGAUUUUCGGUAAGGGAUCUGGAUUUCAGUUAAAAAUAAAAAUAAAAAAGAAUUGGAAAUUAUUAUAAUUGUGAAAAAUAUAAUACACAAAUAUAACACAAAUAAUAAUUGAAAGGAUUUCUUAAAUAAAUAAAAAGAUAAUGAAAUGAUGUUGGACAACGCAGUCCAAUCAAAUAAAAUAAUAAAAUAUGAAUAUAGGUUGAUUAGACAUGAUGUGGGGCUCACUUUGGAGUAAUUGGAUGGUCAACACAAUUUGUGACGAAAUGGUGUUUUUAAUUGUGAGAAAACCCAAUAGUUACGGCCACAAAAGUCACAGGAUCAAAACUUGUAACUGCACCGUUACUAAUGGCUUUAGUCACAAAUAUUCGUGGCUAAUACUGUCAAAAGUCACGAAAAAAAAAAAGUGACUGUUGUGUGUGUUUUAUGUAGUGCAAGGAAUCUGCUUUCGAGAAAUCUACCACUGGAAUUCCGGCCACAGUUUGGGAACUCAUCUUUUUCUUCUUGGUUUCUCACUAGCUGCAUAUGAGAUUUUGAGGUCUCCUAAUCAUAUAAGUAGCGCAAGCUUGGUGCACAAUUUAUAAAAUGAUAUUUUAUAGCUAGAGUGCCAGUUAAGGAAAAUGGAACCUUCCCCAAUUCAUUCAUAAUAAGACCUGCAUGAUCUGCAUAUAAUUUGUGUGAAUUAUUAUGAUGGUUCUAUUAACUAAUCAAUAAAAGAAAGAGUAAUUGGAGUCAGACAGAGUAAGAACCACAACGUGUGAACAGUGAACAUGAAUUAUAUUUUGUUGAAAAUCAAUAAACAAUAGGACGUUGUGAAGAUCGAUAAACAAUAGGACCUGUAAUAUCCACUUCACAUGGUUAUGGUUUCAUGAAUUCAGAAUCUCCUCCACAAAAUGAAGACUUUGAUCUGUCAUUUGGCCAUACAAUAAGACGUUGAAAUAACAAGUAGUCUAUUAAUGCCUGGUAGAGGGCAACAAGCAUUAUUUGUUGGCUAAGGCAAACAACCAAUAAUGGUAAGCUUUAAAGUCAACGUUCAUUUGUGUGUACAUCUAAAAGUCACCAUUGUCAACUCGACUCAAAGCCUUAUAUUAAUGAUUGAAAAAAGAAAAGCUUAAGAAUAUGAUAGUGCUGCUAAACGAAUUUUAAAAUUAAUUGAGUACACCCUAUUACGAAAGUAUUUAUUGAAUUACUAAUUUACUCUAAUAUAAAAUGAUAAAAAAGAAUACAUGGAAUUGUGAAACAAAUAUAAUUUUAAUAAGUAGGAUUACUUAAGUUUCCUCCUCUCUUUUUUGUCAUUAAUUGACGUAGGAUUAGAAGGGGACGUUAGGAGGCUUCACGACAACAUUUAGUUAUUUUAAUUAUUUUAAUAGUUCUUUCUUUUUCCUUUUAAGAGUUUCUUUCCUUUUCCUUUUCUAUUAUCUAUUUCAUUAAAAUUUGUCGAUGCUAUUUAAACAACUUUCUAGGGUUGUAUUUUGUCGACUUUCAGAUUACUAUUCCCUAGAAAAUUGAGAGAGUGUUCCAGAAUUUUAUGAAGGGAAAUUGUUCGUGAACCCUUUUACUUAUAACUUCCGUUGUGUCAUUAAUUCUUACCAAAACAUUCUCUGCAACAUGGUGCUUUUGAUUGAUGUUCACAAUUUUUAUUAAAACUGGAAUUAAUAGGAGCAUAUUGCAAGUAAUAUGGCCCUGAGUGUUCUCACUUUUCAGUUUUGUCUUGUCUCUACUAUCUUCUACAGGAACAACAUUCUGAACUUGAAAUGCAUUGUAAGCAUCACGCAGAAAGUGGAAGCCAAAGGAGUAAUUUGUGCCGAAUUUCCCAUUUGUCCUUUUGUGUUUUUAACGACACAGGUGGUGAUUCAAGAACUUGGUGACUAUACCCAGUAGUCUCAUAAUUAUAAGACUCGUAUAUCAAUGAAAAGUAAAAACAAAAAUUAUGAAUUUGUGACAACCCAGACGACAAAAACACAAAUUUAUGAAGUAAAAGCUUUGCAAACACAGAGUAGAAGCAUAAAUCCAUAUGAAAAGUCAAUGAUUUAUAAACACUAUUAAAAAAGUUAAACAAAGAAUCAACUAUUAAGUAAUGCUAUAAGUAUUAUGGUGUUGUGUGAUAGAGUGUAUUAGGGUGUCUUAGGAGUAUAUUUGGUAGUUCAAUAGGGUAUACUAAGUUAAAUUUACAUUUUGAUUAAAAUAUUAUGAUGUACUUAAAUCAUAGAGUGUACUCAGGAUUCAUUUAGGAGCACUCAAGAAUAUGUAUGUGCGUUCUUUUUUAUGUUUUUAUGUAUAUAUCUUUGGCAUCAUCUGAAUGACUAGCAAAACGAACAAGCAAGAGGAGAUGAAAUAAUUUGUUCUUAUUUAACAUUUGUGACUCUUAGGGCCUGUGGCGGAUCCAGGAAUUUUCAUUCAUAGGGUCAAUCUUUUCCUAGUCCUCGAGCAAAACUAAAACUAAAACAAGACUCAAAACAAUCUUUCCUAACAUUUUCCACACAACCAUAGAGGAGGCCGACAACGGACUCGUGAUGCAAGGGAAUGACAACACCUAACAACGCGCAAUGGUGUCGGUCUCCUCAAACCGAAAACUCGUGAAGUUUCCAAUAGAUUCAUACACUUACGAGUAUUUAUAGUUGGGUAAUUAGCACAUUAAUUUGUGUCAUUAAAAUAAAAAUAAAAAAAUGACAAAAAAAUGACAAAAAUAUUUAUAAAACUAGAGGGAGAAAAUGUAGAGAGAAGUGAUAUGCUAAAGAUAAAGCUUCACCAUGUUUAUUCUUUACUUAAUCUUUGGUAGAACCACCUAUUUAUAGGCUUACAAGAUAGAAGAUUGAAUACCAUCAUUUACAAUAUACCUAUAGGUUACAAGUACUAAUUACAAAAACUUAAUGCAUAGGUUACAUAAAAUCCAACGAUGGAAUAUUAAUAGGUAUGGUGGUCAUCCACCAACUCAUGCAUUUACAACACUCCCCCUUGGAUGUCCACCAUACAAUGACAUAGUUCCCUCAUUAAAAAACUUGCUUGGAAAACCUAGUGGGACAAAACCAAAGCGAAUGGAAAAAGAGUGAAACUUUCUUCUGAAUCAUUGAUAUGGUGUUGGAUGAGCUUAUAUUGCCUCGUUAAAACCUUGCUAGGAAAAACCCAGUGGGACAAAAACCUAGUCGAAGGGAAAAAGAGUACAACGCGCAUCUGCCUUGAAUGUAGUAGAAUUGGGAUGCUCCCCCUGAUUGAUAUCUCCCCCUGAUUAAUAUCUCUCCUUCUCUGAUUUGAGCAAUACAAGCAACAUUGUCUUCAUACAUGAUCAUCUAUCACACUAUUCAACCUGCUUUUCUCUUUUCAAAUGAUUGAAAUCUUUAGGAGUAUCAACAACUAAUUUAGUAGUUAGAAUAUGUUACAACAAUAUCAAAUUUGAAUUCAAAAUACUCAAACUCUUAGUGUUAACUCUUAAUUAAGAAUAUUGUGGUACUUUAUAUCCUUCAAGAAGUUGCUUCAUCCGAUAUAUCUCAAAUAUUUCAUGAGCUUUGAGGAUUUCCAUGUACCAUAUAGUCUUAAUAAAUAUGCAUUUAACACAUACUAUAAGUUUUGCGUUAAAGUAACAACCGCACUUAUAGAAAUGUGGAUGCAUUUACGAUGAGAUUGGAGACUAAAACCACAUGUCUCUCCCAGGAAACCUUAUGUCAUAUUAGUGAUCUUAUUUUACUUCACAAACACCAAUUCGUAACCUUCAUACUGAACAUUUGUAAUUUGGUGUUUGAGUUAUAGGUUCAAUAUCCAACUCUUCUUAUUUAGUGAUAAAUGGAAUUGCCUAUUUCCAUUUUUGGCCAAUCACUUAACUUGUCGACAUUCAUGAAACGUGAUUUAAUAUAAUCAUAGCCCUUGAUGAUUGUAAUAGCUACUAAUAAACCAAAUGUAUCAUCAAUUUGUGAUCCCACAAUUCUUAUGUGCAUGCACAUGCAUAAUUUAUAAUCAUCUCAUUGCUUUGGGGUACCAAUGCCUCUUCAGGGGCUUAUGUUGUCACUUAUGGGACAAACAUCUCUUUUACAAUGAAUUAUUUAGAAUAUGUGGAUCAUAACCUCCUAUAGAGCGUUAUUUUUUAUAGGGCUUGAAUUUUUCAAAUAAUCUCCAUUUCUGAGGAGUUAAGUCUUUAGAACCUAUAUUUCUGACAUGCUUCAGGCAUGCAUUAUAUAUAUAGUCACCAUGUUAAUGGAUUGUGAUACGAGAAUAUCAAUCCACGUUAGCAUAUGUACAACUUAUAUAUGCAUUUUCUUGAUGAGACAAAAGUGGACCGAUUCAACACUAUUUCACGACAUUCUUUAGGAAUUGUCAUUUCUCCCCCUAACGGCGGGAAAAUUGUCUCAAAAUGUAGGAAAAUAAACUCACAGUCGUUAUCAAAUAUGUGACCAUUUUAGUAGGCACAUUCAGUAAAACUGGUGAAGUGAUCCAUAAUUAGAUGUUGUAUAGGCUCACAAAUAUCCCCUUGAAUUAUUUCAGGAAAGAUGGCUCAAAGUCAAUUUUUGACUGAGAUGAUCUUAUGACAGCUUUUAUUUGUGAGCGUUCUUUGUAAUGAUAUUGUUGGACAAGACAAUAAUUUGAGUCUUUAAACGAUGUUCUUACAAAUUUAUAAAAAUCUUAUGCAUCAUUGUGGGACAUGGAUUGCCAAGAUAGUCAUGUCACAACAUAAAAGUUAUUCGGUCAAUGAACUUCUAGUUCAUGACAUCAUAAUCUUCAACUAUAAUAGUUGUGUAACAUUGGGGCCUCAAGAACCUUUGGUUCAUAACAUCAUAAACUUCCUACCCACAAAAGAAAGUAGGAAGUUUCUCCAAUAGACGCCUCUGGCUAUCAAUAUUGGGGCGGUAAUACAAAACAUUACCAUUGUAAAACGAAAUUAAUUAAUAACCUAACAUAAAUAAAAUAAAAUAUAAUAAAAUAAGUAAAGUGGUAUAAACAAGGAAUAAAAUAAAUCAAUUAAAGAUUAUGAAAUUCCAAGAUAAUCCAAUAUUAAUGUGGAUUCAAUAUGUAGAUAAAACUACAAGUUUAAGAAUUGGAUUUCCAACCAAUUCAGGUUCAUAUAGGCACAAAUAAGUAAUGAACUUCAAGUUCAUAUAUAGUAUUAAGAUCCAUGAAAAACUAUGAACUUCAGGUUCAUAUCAAUAUAUAUUCGAAACUUCAGGUACGAAUACGUAGAUCUAAAUAAAUUGAAUUAAUAGUUGUGCUUUGAACUUCAUACUCAAAUCGAUGUAUAUGCACUCGAAACUUCUGGUUCAAGUUCUUGACAUAUGUAGGCCUCAUGGAAUUCUGAUUUUGAUUAAUACAAAAUCAAGGAGUUUUAUGUCCUUAUGUGCUCUUUAAAUUCGCGGAACUUCACGCCCUCAAUUAUUUGGAAUCAAAGAACUUCAGGUUCUGAUUCAAUCAAAAGGACUCUAUAUCCUAAUCUAGUUAUAUGAUGAGGAUCACGGAACUUCAGGCCCCUGAUCUUUUGUAUAAUUCAAACUCAUCAUAAUAAUUAAGAUCAUACUUAAAAUUAAAUAAACAAACAAAUAAAAACAAAAAUAUGGCAUUAUAUUCAUGUGUAAUAAGAAUGAGAAUUUUUUUUCUUAAACAAGCAUGAUGAAGUCUAAUGGUGAGUACAAAGAAACUCUAUACCAUGUGAUGACUCUAGCUCAUAUAAGAAGAAAGAAAAUUCAGAGAAAGAAAACAUACCAAGAGCAAUGUCGUGCUGAUAACGUGUUAUAAAACUAGAGGGAGAAAAUGUAGAGAGAAGUGAUAUGCUAAAGAUAAAGUUUCACCAUGUUUAUUCUUUACUUAAUCUUUGGUAGAACCACCUAUUUAUAGGCUUACAAGAUAGAAGAUUGAAUACCAUCAUUUACAAUAUACCUAUAGGUUACAAGUACUAAUUACAAAAACUUAAUGCAUAGGUUACAUAAAAUCCAACGAUGGAAUAUUAAUAGGUAUGGUGGUCAUCCACCAACUCAUGCAUUUACAACAUAUUUCACAUUAAAAAAAGAGGAAACAGGGGACUACAUUAACUUUAAAAUUUUUUUUUACAAAAUAAUAUCAUGGCGCACUUCCUGAUUCCACAAUAGGAGCCUUUAGUUUGGUCCUCUGGAGGACUUCUCUUGGGUUUCAUGCACAGCUUCUUAGGACUCAUCACUUGAGCUCCCAAAGAUCACACCUAUAGCUUGAGCAUAACUUGUGUCGUGAUCUCGUUGCUUGCGUUUACCCUGUCGAUCUAGGGCCUCUAGCUGCUUUUGCAUGUCUUGGGACUAAAAAUCUACCAUCUUUGAUAGCUUUUGAUUCUCUUUCUGCAGUAUUUCAAGCUAAUGUCGAUUUGCCUCCUCCGUCAUUGACCUCUCCCUCUUCAAACUCCUUAUAACAUGCUGACAAUCUUCAACCAAAUUCCGCUCUGCAACCAACUGGGCUCUUGAGACAGAUGAGGCGAUGCCCCACACUUGUGACAGAUGUCGCACUUUGCACGCUUAGUGACAUGGCAUCACUCACCACCCGGUUAUCAUCCAUCAUUCCCAGUAUGCGCACAUCCUUGGGAGUCACCAAACUCCUCGCAACUCCAACAGCAACUCCGUUGUCAAGGAGUAAAGAGUCGUUUACGGUAAAUGGCCUCAUGAGGAAGCAAAUUAGGGCAUCUAUACUGGUGCAGCCCCUUGCCCAUGCCUAUGUUAGUGAAGCUAGGUUUAGGUCGAGAGAAAAUGAGAAUGAAGAGGCCAUUUUAUUUCUGAGUUUGAGGAGAUAGGUUUAGAUUGAGAGAAAUAGGAAGAAAGAAAAUUGGUGGAGCUAGGUUUUUUUUUUUUUUUUUUUUUUAAGUUAUGAUUUUUUUCUCCCCUUGUUUCCCUUUAUAGAUGUCCAAUAUGACACUCGUAAUUUCUAGCUUUCCGCCUCCUUGAUUUCCGCUUCGUGUUUUCCGCUCUAUGUUUUCUUGCUUUCCACCUCGACCCACUUAAUAGGCUUUCCAUCUUGACCCGCUUUAUUAAACGAGUUAUAAUAAGCAUCUUCCGCUCUAAAAAUUUAUUUUAUGUAAAAAUAUUGUGCAGCAUUUCGGAAUCAAAGAGUCAUGGUGCUUUAGUUGUGGGUUAGCAGGGAUAAAUUAAUUAAUUUAAUUAAUUGUGAAAUUUCAAUUUUGCCCUUGGGGGUAGGGGCAUUUUGGUCAUUUUUUAAUCCAUGAGGAUUUGGGGAAAAUGAAUGGUGCCAUUACGUAGAUCGUACCUAGAUGAAUCCGUAGACACAUAGUGGACUCGAAUUAGAGUUGUAAUAAAGAAGUUACUAUCAAAACAAACUCAAUGGCACAAUCGUAAUUAUUUCAAAAAUGAUUUUUAAAUACCUGAAAAAACACACACACACACACACUCUCUCUCCCCCCCCCCCCCCCUGGGGUAACUGGUAAAACAGCAGCGGUUGUUUUCUGUCGCCAUUUUUUAAGGCAUCGGUCCCAAAAGAACUGCCUCCGCUCCCUUUUCCAGCCCCACCCUUCAGCCGCCACGAUCCGCUGUCGCUGUAGCCAGAAAUUGCAAAAAAAGACCAGAUUUUUACAUAAAAUUUCCGGAGCUCGUUCGGACGUUUUCGGCAACCAAAUUCUUCGAACUUGGUACGUUUUCUUAUCUUCUCAAUGUGUUCUAGCUACUGGUUGGGUUGUUUAGGAUUACUUUCUGCUUUUUGAAACGAAUUUAAGCGAUAGAAGUUUUGGCCUUCAGCCCUUGAUUCCGGCCACUUCCGAUCACUUUUUGGGGUAGGUCCAAGAACAAAAUUGCUCCACUCAAUGUCGUGAUCCUGUAGAUAUAAGUCUUGACCAUUAGUUUGGAGUUUUUCCGAUCGCCGAAAAUCGCUUUGGACACCCACACGCUUCCUGAGCUUGUGGCGGCACGUGGGCCUUCGUGGUUGUCUUUGGGUUCUAAAAUGAUCCCCAUGUCGUCCCGAGCACGACGGUAUGCUCGAAUGUGAAUUUGGUUAUCGUUUGAUUAUCGAUCGGAUAUUGCAUAUUACGCGUUAUCCGGGUUCGACAUGUUUGGACCGUUGGAUUGACUUCAAUUUCAUAUAUGUUGAUCUAGGCAUCCCAAGGAUUAUAUAGGAUUUCACAGAUCGUGAAUCGAAGCCCCGGACAUUCCGAUUCAAUAACUUAAAUUUGCGAUUAAAUGAUAACCGUCCAAUCGUACGGUCACGAGCAAUCCAACCGUUCGAUAAGGACCAAACUUGCAGGAUGUGUAUUCUAAAUCUUGUGGAACCCAUAUGAACUUCCAGCAGUUUGACCCAAUUUGGAAAGUUUGACUGCCCGGUUGACCGAGCGUUUUUCGAGGCUAUUCCAUCAUCUGAAACACGUAGUUGGACUUUAGGAACAUCUCGUUCCUCGUACACUUACUUGAAACCCCGAAAACUAGGAUUUUAAUUUAAAGUUUCCGUUCGAGGUGUUUUAUAUUAAUCUCGUACUCGUAUUCUGAAAUAGGUACUCCGACCACUCGUACGCAGCAAUCAAGACCCUCUCAGGGUCAAGCAGUGUGGGAGUACUUGUGAGUGGACUUUGUUUUCAAAUAACAGGCAUUGUUUUAUGAUGGAAAAACUAUGCAUAAUGAUUUAAUGGUUUAUUGAAUAUAUUAUAUAUUCAAUUGUGGAAUUUGAUAUUUUUGUAAAGUAAUUGCAUUAUAUUCGAGUUUUGGCAUAUUGCAAGUAUCUUGAGUUGAUAUAUAAUAUUUUUGAGAAUUGCUAUCUAUGAUUGGUUAGGUGUGGGGUAUGUGGGAUAUUGGUUUGAGAUUGUGAAAAGAGAGUAGAUUUUAGUUAUGUCAGUUUGAAGUGCUAUAAGCACUACCCUAUGUACCUCCCCUGAUUUGGAACCUUGGAUUUGGAUUGUUGAGAUACUUGGAUAUGUUGGAACCCGGGCACCCUUAACGAGGCGUUUCGUAAACCCUUAUCGGGUAAUCUGCCCGCGCAGGACUUGUCACAGGCAUACGAGUAUUGAGGGCUUCUGUUGUACGUACUGGUAGAGUCAGUCCGCCGGUUGGAUAGCUCGUUCCCUAGCCACAUGAUCAAUUGAGGAUUCUUCCAUGUGCACUAGUCAAACAAUCCCCUGUUUGGAUUGUUUCCCCGAUACAAACUAGGUGAUGCCAUACCUAUAUAUUUAUUUAUAUAUAUAUAUUACGCAUUAUAUACAUAUAUAUAACUAUUUGUUCUUUAUUAUUUAUGGUGAGGAUACUUCCUCGCCGGCUGUGCCAAUGGGCACGCUUCUCGAGUGAAUGGUGUGGGAUUAGUAUGGAAGUUUUGAUUGGGUUGAGAAGCAAAUUAUCUUUUUGGGACUUCGGAUUUCGUUAUGAUUUUGACCAAAUUAUGUAUACAUAUAUAUAUCCUUGAUGGUUUGAUUGCAUAUGAUUGCAUAUAUAUCCUUGAUCGUUAUAUAUCCUAAACGGAGGAGUUAUAUUGUGUUGAUUUCAUCUGUGAACUAAACUUUGGUGAUCCACUUGAGAAAUUCACUAGAAUGUAAUAACAACUUUGGUUACAAUCAAGAACCGCCUUAGCUCUCACAAGAACCUUGCUCUCUUUUCUCUCAACCUUGCUCAAAUCCUUUGAUGCCCUUGUAAACACCCAAUAAUUCACCCUCUUAAACAAUUCUCACGCCUGAACUUUCUCCUCUCUUACAAUUAGCCUAGCUCUAAAAGUCAUAUUUAUAAUGCACAUGACUUAGGUUACAAAUUAACUAGGAAUAGGAAACCAAAACCCUAUUAAAUUAGAGAAGUCUGGAAGCUUCUUGAACUAUAGAAGAUAUUUCUAUAUUAAAAAGAAAUUCACUUUUCUGAGCAUUACCUAUUAUCUUAUUCAUAGGUCAAGAUGAUAUGAGUAGGAGAAGUGGGAAAGACAUGAUGAAGGAGAAGAAGACACUCUGACUUCUUCUGUUAUUUUUUUGGUUUUAUUUUCUAUUAACUUUUGUUAAUUUUAGUUAUCAAAACAUUAAUUUAGGGUAAGGAUAGAAUAGGAAAGAGAAAGAAAAAAAAUUGAUUAAAAAGUAUUAAAAAGCAAAAGAGAGUAUAAGUGGAGAAAAUGGGAGUGGAAAGAUCAGCUCCCUAAAUUAAUAUAUUAUGCAAAAAAAACUAAAAUAAAAUGAUAACAUAUUGAUUUUUAAACUAUUUUUUUUCUGAACUCUUAGAUUAGAUCCAAUGGUGGGUGACCACAACUCCCCUUAGAACAUAGGGUCAGAAAACGGGACUGUAUAUAUUAGGUGGAACAAUUAGGUAAUCUUGGGAUUUUGUAUUUUUUUUUUUUUUGUUGUUACAUUGGAGUUCAACGGGAUCAGAGCUGUGUUGGGACCAAAGCAGUCCUAGGCCCCCACUCAGUUUUUAUUAUUAAAAAAAAAAGUAGUAGGCUAUUAUUGGAUAAUCCAUAUUAAUUAACAUAUUUAUUUUACAACAUGGAGCCCUACCCAGCCAAAACUACGUUUCCUCUAAGACUACGCCUUCUUUUGCAAACCCAUUCCCAAAAGUUUUAAGAGGAAUGCUAGUCAUAAUCACUCUAAAGCGAUUCUCGCGAUCGGUUGGCUUGCUCUCUCUCUCUCUCUCUCUCUCUCUCUCUCUCUCUCUCUCUCUCUCUCUCUCUCUCUCUCUCUCUCUCUCUCUUUCUUCUUCUUCUUUUUCUCAGUCUCUAUAUCUCUCUUUGUGUAAAUUUGGUUAAAUGUCAGAUGCCAGAUACUAGAGGCAGAGAUUUGGGAGGGAAGGAUUAUAGAAACCCCCAAAAUUUCACAACUCAAAAAGGUUCACAACCCCCAAAUUUUUUGCCGAUAGUGCGACUAUAGCCAAAAAUGGUAUAAGGAAACUGGCGGAGGGAAAGAAGGGAAAAAAAAAAGAGAGAGAGAGAGAGAGAGAGGAGAGAGAAUAAGGGGGAAACUCGGAAGAAAAAGAGAACAGAGAGAUAAGAGAUAAGGAAAUAAAGAGGAAGAUUUGUUUUUAGUUGUUAUCUCGGCUUAAGCCCUUUUGUUAAGAAGGAGAAGAAGCAAGAGAAGCAAGAGGAGAAGAGGAAAGAGGGAGAGAUAGAGACAGAAGUAGAAGAAGAAAGAAAAAGAAAAUUAAAAAAGAAAGAGAGAGAUAGAGACAGAGAGAAGAAGAAGAGAGAGCGCGAGGCAACUGAGAGAGAAAGAUAGAAGAAUAAAAAAAAUAAAAAGGGGAAUACAUUGGAAGCGCAUGUACACGUGUUUAGCAAGUAUCGUGAGAGUCACUUUAGAGCGAUUGUGAAUAGCAUUCCUCAAGUUUUAAUAAAACUAUUAUAAUUAUUAUAUUGUUAUAAAACCAAAGAAUUGAGGAGAGAAUUUAGGAGCAGAGAAUUGUUGUUCUCUCUUCAGUAUUAUCUGUAUGUUUACAAAGGAAGGGUGUGAACCCUUUUGUAGGCAAAGCCUUCCAACAUGUGGGCUCCACCUUAUAAUUUACAACACUCCCCCUUGGAGACCACAAAUGAUACGGAAUAUGUCUCGUUAAAAACCUUGCCAGUAAAAACCCAGUGGGACAAAAAAACUGGUCGAAGGGAAAAAGAGUACAUAACCAUGUGUAACAUAAAAUUCUGUGUAUAGUGACACGCGUGCGACACUGCCUCAUUAAAACCUUGCCAGAAAAAAUCCAGUGGGAUAAAAACCUGGACGAAGGAAAAAGAGUACAAUGUGUAAAGUUCUUUCUUGACAGCACGCUCCCCCUGAUGCUUGGCAAAAUAUCUUUAAGCCAUUCUGUUGAUCAUCUUUCUGAAUAUCAUAGUUGACACUGCUUCUGUGAGUCAAUCUUGAGCGACACUGCCUCGUUAAAACCUUACCAGGAAAAACCCAGUAGGAUAAAAACCUGGAUGAAGGAAAAAGAGUACAGUGUAUGAAGGUCUUUAUUAAUACCACGCUCCCCCUGAUGAAUAUCUCCCCCUGAAAACUUCGUGACUAGCUUUUUCCAGUAAGCGACCAUAGAGAUUUCCAGAGUCCGCAUAUCUAAUAACACUUGGGUUAUUUGUAAGUUCACUCAAAAAUAUGCCCGUAUAUGGUGUUAUGCUGAGAUAGCAUCAAAUAUGCCUCACAUCAUCCCAAAAUGAUGGUGAUGGAGUUGAGCUCUAUCUGGAAAAUACGAUGUACGGUCCAAUAUACUUCCGGAAAAUCCUUAAAGUGUCCAACGGAUAAUCCUCAUAAAAAUGCUUCAAUACUUUCUUAGUAUAAGCAAGAAUCUUGUUGGCAUAAUGCUCGAUCUUUAAGUCGAGACAAAUAUUUCUUGUACUCACUGAGGCAAUUUAUGCACAUUAGUAUUGAGUACAGAUUUUGUGCUUCAGGCACAUGUCCUUCAGGGACUUGCUUCAUGCAAUUUCAAUCCUUUCAAGGAUUUUGUUUAAAGGGAUUAAACUUUAUGACACAUUAUAUAGCUUUAACCCAGCUAUUUAUACAUCUUUAGGGAAUCGCUUCUGGCAAUAUGCUCCGUGCAUUUAAUAACCCUUAAAGAUAACAUGUUGUUCUCCGUAAAUGUGCAAUAAAGGGGCACAAUUGAAUCUAUAAAUAUGGAGAAAACCCAACAUUCCUUGUUUAUGCCAAAAACAUUGUGUCAUACAAAGUAGGUAUAUUCCCUUCUAUUCUGAACACCCAAGUAUAAAUUUCAGUAUUAACAUCUUUUGGGGUUCGUACUGUGGGUUUGUUCUUUCACGUUCAUUCUCAUCUAUAAUGGAAUUACCUCAUUCCAUUUUGGCCAAUGAUAUUGUCGACAUUUAAUAAUUGAACGUGGUUCCAAUUAACACAGCCCAUUGAUGAUUUGAGUAGCUACUCCAAAACCAAAAAUUGUCAUUCAUCAAUUCAUGAUCCCAUCAUUCUCAUUUGCACGUGCAUGCAUCAAUUAUAAGCAUUUCUUUGCUUUUGGGUACCCAAGCCACUUCAGGGGGCUUUUAUUAUGUGAGAAUGUGGAUUAUAACCUCCAAUGGAGCGUUAUUUUACAUAGGGCGUGGAAAAUCUCCAUUUAGGGAGUUGGAACAUUUAGAACCCAUAUAUCUGUCUUGCUGCAGGCAUGCCACUGAUUAGUACAUACAUGUCAAUUAAUUUAUGGGACUUUAACCCAUAUAAUUUGCUAUGCAUUAGGCGUGCACAAUAUCAAUAUUGACAUGUUAAAGGAUUGUCCUUUCGGGACUUCAAUCCACAUCAUUUGCUACGCAACAGGUGUGCAUCAUAUUGAUCACUGCUAUACCCAUAUUCUGUUCUUAUGGGACUUUAAUCUGUGCAGUGUAUUAUCAAUGUAUCCAACUUGCAAUCUGUAAAAUUUGCGUUAAUAAUUCAUGGAUACAUACAAGCCAUUCUUUUGGAACGGACUUAUCUCCCCAUUUGGUUACCUUUCAAGAUAAAAUAUCAAAUAAGUAUAUAAGCAUAAAACAACACAAGUAUUGCUUACAUCCUUAAGUGGGAGAAACUUUUCUCAAGUAUCAUUCAAGCUCGUAUCGGCCCAGUAAAUAUAAUGUAGCGCUUGAUGAUCUAGUUAUAUCCUGCAAGAGCAAAAUCACAACUCUUUUCUCUGUCAAAAAUAAAUAACCCUCAGAGUUAGGAUCACUCCAUGGAUUCUUUCUUCAGAUGUUCAUUCUAAAGAAAUAAAAUCUCUUAUGAACAGAGAGUUACAAAAAGAGAAAAAAUGCAAAAAAAUUGUGAUAUUGAUUGCAAGAUAAGGUAAGCAAUCAGGGAAGGAAGCUGGUGGGAGCAGACAACAAGCUCAGCAAUCAAGGAAGGAAGCUGGUGGGAGCAAACAACAAACUCUCAUUUCUUCUAGUCUAGAAGAACUUCCGGAGAUUAGAGCAUAAGGUUGCCUUCACAGUUCCCUGAUGUGGCGGAAACGUGAUCAGUGAUAGUCUCGCUUCCUGAAUGGAUGAUCAGAGAUAGUCUUGCUUCUCGGGCAUAUUAAGUGCUCACUGAUAAGAAAAACAAGUAGAUAUCGCAUCACUAGGUAUGGAGAAAACUGGAUGUCUUCUGCAAAGAAAAUUUCGUUAGUAACACAUUUAUACACAAAUAAGAGGAAUAGGUAGAACCGGUGAAUUUCAAAUUAACCAUAAGAAAAUUGCGAGAUUCUCGGGGUGCUUUUGAAAAAAUAGCUCCGUGAAAUCCGCAAAGCAAGAUCGGCUUUUGACGAAAAUAAUACUUUGAAAACGCCGAAAGUGCCGACAAACAUUAAUGGAGGCCACGUGAAGUUUUGGAAUCUGGAAAAGAAAAAGAGAAUAUGGGGAUCCGAAAAGAUAUUGGGAUCCUAAAAAACUAUAGCCAUAUUUCCUCCUAUAGAUAUUGCCUAAAACUGUAGCCAUAUUUCCUCCUAUAGAUAUUGCCUUUGCAAAACUUGAUUGGAGCAACUGCGUUUCAACUUAACUUCCUUCAUUUUCUGAAACUUUAGUUUUUUUAAGACUUUCUUCGAAACCUUCUUAAAAAAUGGCUUCCUCUUCUUCCUGCCCAAAUUAUUUUAAUUUAAAUGAUACUCCCACAACAACCAGUGACGCCAAAGUUUGGCGUCCAUCCUUUGUAUCCCAAAAUCGUCAUCUCACAGUUAAUGAUUCUGUGAUGAUGAAUGAUGCUACUGCUGUCAUAGUAGCUAGGAAUUUCAUUACUCCAAUGGAUGAAAUGCUGUUAACAGGGAGGUCUGAGGAAGAGGCUAUUGAUGACUCAAUGGCUUUUAGCAUUUAGAGUGCUGCUUCUGUUUCUAACAUGGCUGAUCGUUUGCGUGCUAGAGCAAACGAGGUUGAGAGGCUAACAACUGAAAAUUCGUCUCUCCAAAGAAUGCUUCAUGAGUCUCAACAGGAGGUUGAGAAACUUAAAGGAGAGAAUAAUGCCUUAUUGAAACUGGUGAGUUCGUACUCUGUUGAUACACUGAGAAGGCUAGACAUGCUGCAGGUCUCCAAUGAAAGAAUUUUGGGAGACCACGAGAGGCUCAUGGCUAAGCUUAAGAGGCGUCGUCCUCUUCCUUCAGAGGCUUCCUGAACAUAAUGUAUUUUUAUAGAUUUUACAGGGCCUGCACCUUCAUUGCAGGUGGAAAAAUCUAUCUGUUGUAUGUUCCUUUCAUGUUAUAAUAAUUGCGCACAUUCUUAAACUUGCACUUGUGGUUUUUUAUGCCUUUUCAAAAUGACGGUUUGGAACCUUGUGCCUUAUAGGUUCAAAUAACCACAUCGACUCUCCCAAAUUUCAUAUUUCAAUGUAUGGAACUUUUGGCCUGGGCUAAACACAAACUCAGAAUUUAUUCGCCCUUUUCAAAUGGACAUGAAAUAUGAAUGGAGUAAAAGCCACGCUAAUAUCUCAUAUAUUUUUUACAAUUUUCUGUACAUAUUUCUGGACUUCAAGCCCUUACAUAAUUGUCCAUAUUUUGAGGAACUUCUGGCAUCUCAUUUAAUUGCUAAUCCAUGAGUUUAAGGAACUGCAGGUUCCCUUUUGAAUAUAGUGACGGUUUACCCAAAAUGGUUAAUAUUUAUGUAUACGUCACUAUUCAUAUAUCCGGUACUAUUCAUCAAGUCAUGAAUACGUAUCUAUUCAUGUGGACAGUACAUUUGCCAGUACAGUUAUCAUCCAUGUGUACGGCAUUAUGAAACAAUACGGUACUGUUACAUCAUUAAGGAACCCCAGGUCCUUAUUUACAUGUUAGGGAUCAAGGACCCUCAAGUCCAAUCACAUGUUUACAAAUAUAGUAUCGGAGAGACUGCUAGCUCUCAUAUUAACAUCAUCAUCAAGGAUCUUCAAGUCCUGAUGUAAUUGUAUGAUGAGGAUCAAUGAACUUCUGGUUCUGAUCUGCAUACUGUAAAAACUCAUCAUACAGCACAAUUAAUCCAUAAAAUAAAUUGCAGAUAAAUAAAUUACUGGUAUGGACGAUAAACCCGCACCAUACUUUAAAUAAAAUUAAAUGUGCGGUAAAUUAAAUUCAUAAAGUAAACGUGCUUGUAUGGGCACUAAUUCUGCUCCAUACUUUUAAAUAAAAGUAAAGGCGUGGACGAUAAACCCGCACCACCCUUUUAAAUAGAUACUGUUAUAUGGGUAAUAAACCUACACCAUACAGUAAAUAAUGUAUAGUAAAGUAAUUUCAUAAAGUAUGAGGGUCAAUUCCACAUCAUACUUUAAGUAAAAGUAAAUUUGCGGUAAAGCAAACGUGCUUGUAAGGGCACUAAUUCUGCUCCAUACAUUUAAAUAAAAGUAAAGGCGUGGACGAUAAACCCGCACCACCCUUUUAAAUAGAUACUGUUGUAUGGGUAAUAAACCUACACCAUACAGUAAAUAAAAUAAAUGUGUGGAAAAAGUAAAGACAAUUAUUUGUGGGUUCUUAUCAACACCACGAUCAAAUAACAUAGUAGAUAAUAUUAUUAUCGUUUGUGGAAGGCAUCAUGCUUGUCUCUCAAAUCAAAUGCUUUCCACCUGUAAUCUGCACACCUGCACCAAUUGGUUUAUUAAAUACUGUAGAGAAAUAAUAAAGUAAUAGAGAGCAUAAGGGGCAUAGAGCUUAUUGGAUUUUUCUAAGGACAGGUGGGUGGGGGCUCGUGUGCCUGUGCUACUGUGCUUCUAUGGAGCUCCACGUGAGUGACCUUUUUUUUUUUUUUUUUUAAAUUUAUAAUUUUUCUUUCUUUCGGUGGGUUUGCUGUUGGAUCUUCUUUUGCUUUCAUCAUUGCUGCGUGAUAUUCCUUUUGUUGAGCACUGAGAAUAAAGAAAGUGACAGUGCUUGAAAAUGGACUCAACCAUGGCAGUGACCUCAUCUUCCCUAAUGGGUCUGAGAGCCUCGAUCCUCUUGGGAGAGAAAAGCUCCAGAGUGCACACCUUCCUCACUGCAAGAGGGAUCUGAUUUGCAAGAGGGAUCGAACAAAUCUAUGAGCAAACUUGGUUCUUGUUCGCAUUGGGAACCAGCUCCUGCAGAGCCUUCAUUCUCUCUGCGAUUCUCUUUCUCCGUAAUCUUUCAGCGAUGUUGUGUGGGUCAGUGGCUUGGCCUCUCCUCGCCCUGACUCUGGGUCUGGCUUGUGCGGGUGCACCCCCGCCCCCACCCGAGCCACUCGCCGGACCUUGGUUCAUCGCCGCCCCUGGACCUCCAUAGUUCUGUGCCUGCAGCGAGCCUCCCUGAGGUUGGUGAAAAUGCUGAUUGGGAGACUGAGUAGUAGCCCCCCCAUGCAGUGAUCCAGAGAACCAAUUGAACAGGGUUUGAACAGAAGAAGCCCCCUCACCUCCCACAGGAUUGGGAGAUUUAAAGGAGGAGGAACCCUGGACGACGUCGUUGUUGGAGCGGUCAAAGUCUCCGUUGCCCAAAGACAAGGCCAUGGGAACGAAGCCAGAGUUGGCGGACGUUGAUCUGGACAUCAUGAGCUGGUGCUGGAGUGGCACAGCUGAGACAGGAUUGGUGCAGUGAUGAAAAUUGAUGGGCUUCCAGAGUGGCACCAGUUUGGGUCGUUUGCACACUAGAUUUCAAAGCAGGCACUGCAGCUGAGGCCAUUGUUGAAGAGGGCAGUGCUCAGCGCAGCUGUGCUCACGCCAUAGCCUUGGCUGUAGAGAUUUCCAUAUCCACAAGCCCCACCCAUGGUGCCAGAGGCAUCAGAGCCUCCGUAGAAGGUGGCAUGAGCUGCUUCCCAUGCACCCCCACUGUACACCCCUGGGAUUCUUGCUUCAGCUACCCACAUUAGUGAGAUGAGUAGAGAGGCAAGGCAAGCAGAAACACUCACCACACCCAUUUUUCUUUUCUGAAGUUUCCCUGAUUUAUAAUAACGUGAAAGGUGAAAACUUUGUUGGGUUUUCGAUGCAGAUGAAGAAGAAAGGCAGACAGAGAGUCAAAGGCUACUGGUUCACGGAGAGUUUUGGAAGAAGGCAUGAGUGUUUUGAUCAAAUUUCCCGGCUGGUAUUUUAGAGAUAAUCGUGCUGAUAACGUGUUAUAAAACCAAAGAAUUGAGGAGAGAAUUUAGGAGUAGAGAAUUGUUGUUCUCUCUUCAGUAUUAUCUGUAUGUUUACAAAGGAAGGAUGUGAACCCUUUUGUAGGCAAAACCUUCCAACAUGUGGGCUCCACCUUAUAAUUUACAACAUAUAUUACCUUUUAACACAAAUAUUAUCUUUUUACACUAAUUGCUAAAAAGCAAAUAGAUUUAAUUCAUUUUUCUAUUCAAAUGAAAGAACCUUCAUUUAAGAAGAAUAUGCUUGGGUAGUAACUAGUGAGCACCUUCUCAUUCGUACCGUGCAUAAUACUGUUAAAUGUUUUGACAGUCGUUCGCUAUAUACAAGCAAUAAUAUAUAAAUUCUACCUCGGAGACAUACAAUUACUGUACAGUUCAAAUAUAGGUGGUCCGUCCACUACUAAUUGUAUUGAUGUCUUCUAUAUUUCUUAAAUCUAGGUGGUUAAAGUGGGGAAAAUAUCAAUAUAUGCUUGGAUUUUAGUAGUUGGCACGCAUGUAUGAAAAAGAAUAUUCUUUGAUAAAACAAAAUAUUUAUAAUUUUUAUUGUACAUGUCAUGCUCUUAUUAGUCGAUCUAGGAUUAUGUUGAAAAAGAAAUAAGAAAAAUUGUAUUUCAAAUUCAAAAACCAAAAUUUGGCUUUAAUCUCGAGAUUGAAAGCAAUAAAAAAGUAAUUUAAAAAUAGGUGUGGAAUAAAAACUUAUAAUGAAUCAAUUCAGACUCAGAAUCUCAUUAAAUUAAACGGACCUAAACUGGUUAGUUAUUGGUGUGGUCAAUUUGGUUUAAGAUCUAAGAUCUCGAAUCAAACUAAACGGUGCCCACCCUACAUUUUAGUGAAUUUACGGUUGUCAUUUGGGAUAUAGUUCGUUGGUUGAGUUCUUCUACUUCUAUCUAUGUGGGUAAAGAUUUAAGACACCUAGGCAUCCAAUGAAAACUUGUGUAUACCCUCCUCCCACUGUCUCUUGUACUAAAUAACAGUGAGUCGAACUAGUGGGCUUUGUAAGACGAUGUGAAAACUAUUUGUAGAUGUCCACACCCAACAUCUGAAGCUUUGCUGGUGUACGGUCUCACUGUCAUGUUGUGGGCUGAUUGCUACUCUAGUCUAGCGAGGAUCUGGGCCAGGGGCACUUGAUCUCAGCCCACAAAGGAAAAGUAAAUCUAGGGUUUUGCUCUCUCUCUCUCUCUCUCAGUGUCUAUAAGUUGUCUGUUUCAGCCUCGUCUACUCCCUCGAGUCUCUCACUCGCUAAAUCUCUGUGUUCUCUCUUCAGCACGCACACUCUGCCUUUUUUCUUUAUCUUUCAUUUUCAUGGUUUGGUGACAUGUUUUUGUUGUUGUUGUUGUUGUUAACUUGGAUUUUUAGGAAUGAUAGAUGAACGAAAGCGAGGUGACGAAAGAAAUUCAUGUAUGUCAGUACACUGAUAACAGUGUGAUGUUACUGUGAAUCCCGACAGGUUCUGAUCGCUUUCACUCACACGUUUGUCUGAAUUGCGUCAAAUUCUUUUUGUUGGAUGAUUGGAGUGCUUCUUUUGUUGUUUGGGCAGCUGAUGAUUCUUAUUGAUAUUAAUGGGUAAUUUGCGUCUGAAAUAUUCAUUGAUGUUUUAUCUAUCACCUUGGAGAACUGAUGCCCUUGUUCUUUUCCAUUUUCUCCUUAGCAUAUGUUUGUGGGUUUCUAGAAUGCUACUUUCCUUUUGAAUUACUUUUUUGCUGCCACUGUCAGCACUAAAACCAUUUUUCAUUGUUUAAUUUGCUCUUAAAUGGUUACUAUUUUUGUUUGAGGCCAUGGUGAUCCUACCGACCCCUUUGGUUGCUUUCAUACCGAGCAUAUGAUGAAUCUUUUUAUUUUUGUAGUGUGGUUAAAGAUAUCUGUGGAGAUAAUACGUAAUGGGUUUGAUGUAUAGCUCUUUGGCCGGUAGGGAUUGCAAAUCUAUUUACCUGUACUCUUAAUAUCAGAAGGAGGGAUUGAAUGAGGUUCGGGUUGAAGAGAAAAUAAAAAUGUUUUCUUUUCUUUUGUAUUGUGAUCUUCAUUGAAGAAUAUCUUAGAGUGGGAUAAAAUUCUUUGGAAGAUGAGAAAUGGGUCAUCUUCAAAUUUGUACUCCAUUGGGGAUGCUCUUAGAACAUCUCUAAGAGCAUCUUCAAUGGUAGUCCAAAUUUCGAGAGGGUCUAUUUUUACACUCCAAAUGCUCUUCAAAUUGUGUAUUGCAAGGAGAAGAAUUCAUGUAUGUCAGUACCCUGAUAACAGUGUAAUGUUACUGUGAAUCCCGACAGGGUUUGAUUGCUUUCUAGCUAACUUCCUUCCUUUUCCCUUGGAUGGUUGGAAUGCUUCUUUGCUUUGGGCAGCUGAUGAUUCUCAUUGAUAUAAUGGGUAAUUUGCAUCUGAAAUAUUCAUUGAUGUUUUAUCAUCUUGGAGAACUGAUGCCCUUGUUCUUUUCCAUAUUCACCUUGGCAUAUCUGUGUGUUUCUAGAUUGUUUCUGUCCGUUUGAAUUACUUUUUUAUUGCCAUUCUCAUUACCAAAAUCACUUUUCAUUAUUUAUUGUGGUCUUAAAAUGGUGGCUAUUUUGUUUGAGACAAUGGUGUGCUUAACCUUGAUCCUACCAACCCCUUUGGGUGCUUUAAUAGCGAGCAUACGCUGAAUUUUCAUUUUUUUAGUGUGGUUCAAUAUGUCUGUGGAGAUGUUGUGGAAUGGGGUUUAUGUAUAACUCUGUGGCUAGUAGGGACUGUAAAUCUACUUACCUGUAUUGUUGACAUCAGAAGUAAGGAUUGAGUGAGGUUAGAGAUCAUUAUUUUGGCGAGAAGUUGCCGGUAUUGUGGUAUUGUUCAUUUAAUUGUUGCCAAAUUUUAGCUAAAACAGUUGGUUAUUAGGGCAUUCCAACAAAGCCAUUUGAGCAUUCAAAUGCAUUAUUUUCACUUUUUUCAUAGCAAAUGGCAAUGCUAUUAUUUGAAAUAGUGAAUGGCAUAUUGGGGGAGGUCGUUCAAUGUGAAAAUUUGGCAUUGUUGUCCAUCCUAAAUUGUGGCAAGAGGAUUGCUAGGUACCUUCCCUUGCUAUCUUAUUCUUCUUACCUUUCUCAUUCGCCUGCAGUCUUGUGUAUCAUGCAAAUACAUAUGCUAAACCUUUAAUUUUUUCAAAACAUAUUAUUUCUGACAUGCUUACCCUUAAUGAAUGCUUUAGCUAACUCUCAUAUAAGGGUAAGUAAGGGUGAUUGAAAUUUAUGUUUUGAAAGAGUUGGAGACUUCAGUGUUAAGUGCUUAAGUAAUACACAGCACGAGAAUGGGUAGGCUAGAUUGAAUAAGAUAAGAGGGGAAGGUAGCUAGCAUUCCUCUAAUUUUAUAUGAAAGGUGUACAAAAUCCAAUUUGGUAUCAUCACCUUUUUCCAAAUUAUUAGUUCUUGUCUUUGUUUAAAUUUUUGAGCUCAAUAGUCACGAAAGUCAAUAUUUCAGACAAACAAAUAAGCAGAUGAAUGUUUUUGUAAAUGUUGUUGCCUUGAGUUUCUCACUGCUUCAAUUUCAUAUGGUCGAGUAGGUGUUUGCCGUCAAGUUUGCUGGUUACAACAAGUCUAAUGUACUCCUCAUUGCUUAUAGCCUUGUAGUUUGCUGCCUUCUCCUUGACAAGAUCGGGCAGAGGACCAAUCAUGCUCAUCAUAUUUGGGCUGUGAAAUCCUGCAAUUGAAAGCCGUUCCCUUUCUGUGUUCACCACAGCCCUGUGCUCAAUGCUCUUAUAUUCUCCAUUACUCAAUAUCUGCAACAACAUAGUGAUUAGAUGGAAAGCGUCAAGUACUGUUGGAGAGACUACAUUUGUUUGACAGUAUUAUGUUCCAAAUGGAGUAUACAUUAUCACAUUGAUUGUUCAUAGGCACAUUACUUCUAUACAAUGUGGUCAAAAAAUGUGGUUUAUCAAUCUUAUAAACUAUUGAGUAUUCAUUGUGGUACCUCAAUGAUGUCGCCGAUGUUGACGAUUAAUGCACCGGGUACUGGCUUUAUAGGUACCCAUUUGCCAUUGUUCUUGAUUUGUAACCCUUGAACAUCAUUAACUUGAAUUAGUAGAGUCAAACCCACAGCAUCGGAGUGUGGAGUGAGACCCAUAACCCUGCUAGCCUGCGGACAAGGUGGAUAAUAAUUCAUUCUUAGACCUUGAGUUCCAUCCUCAAACAUGCUUGCUAGCUUCUCUGAAUUGAGCCCCAGGUUCUUACAUAUUAACUUCCAUAGGUACUUUGUCACUUCCUGUAGUUCCACCGAGUACUUAUCCAGGGUCUCCCUGGUAGCAAAGUGACCAAUAAUUAGUACAUCAAUAUAGCAACGUGACUAAUGCUAAUGGCUCGUGUUCAAUGCCGAGCCAUUUUUUCUGUGUCAGAAUACGAGUUAAAGGAGUUUGUUGUGUCAAAAUCGAGUUACUUGUGUUGACACUAAUCCGACUCUUGUUAAUUAUUUAAGUUAACAUGUCCUUUUAUAUUCAUGUUAGGCUAUGUUAGGUUCGAGUUCGGUUGUCAUGUCAAAAAUUGCCACACCUAAAUUGAAUGACAAAAAUAAAACAACGAAAGAAAAACCCAAGGCUUAGAACUUGAUCGGAUCUUAAAGAAUUAUAGUUAUUGCUAAUCGCAUGUUUGAUUUGAUUUAGAAUAUUGAUCAUAGACUGCAUAAGUACCUGAAAGAAGUGGGAAGGGUAGGCCAGAAUGUAAGAUUUCUUAGGGAGACUGGUUGAGAGAGAAGGAAGAGCAUGUCCCCCCAGUCAAGUUUUUGCUCUUCAGAAACAACGAAGGCUUGGCCAUAGCCUUCAAUAUGAUUCGGCAGCUGAGCAUAAGCCUUCUUUUCUUCUAAUGGCAGCUGGAAGAACUCCUUUGUGUCACUCUUGAUUUUCUCAAUCACUUCUUCUGAUACCCCAUGAUUGAUCAACUGCACCAACACCACAAUUCAUAUCAAGACAUCUAACUAUUAAUGUAAAUCUUAUAGCGGAUAAUAUCCGGAACAGGACCUCGGAUGAAGGAGUAAAUGCUUUUAAACUUUCAACUAUACGUUUAUAUUUAAAAGACAGCAACUAAUACCUGAAAGAAACCCCAGUCCUUACAAGCCAAGUGAAGCUUUGCCAAUUCCUCACCAUGGCCUAAUGGAUCCCCUAUUAGCUUGCUCAUAUCAACUACCGGAAUUUGAAGCGAGUCCUCCAUGGAAACUUCCUCAUGUUCAAUUUCAGGCCGGAUGUAUCGGGGCGGGAUUUCCUUCAAGUUGUUGGAAGCAAGAGCUUGAACAUUCUCAACUGGGAGAGAACCACCCAGGUCCUUUCUGCUGAGUACCUCAGUCUCCAUUCUCACACUGAGGAUUGAAAUUCUUUCUGCCAUAUAUUAUAGACAUUCUGCUAUAUAGAUAUGUACUUUGGUGAACACAACUCUAAUCAAUGCCACGUGGAGUGCUAAGCAUCUGUUUGCAUCUACCCUUUUUGGACGGCAUUGGAUCUUAAUUAUUUGUUUAGGGAAAGCUUGUCUUUCGAAGAAACAAAGAUGCUUAGCUUGUUAUUUAUGUUCUCAAACAAAAACAAGAGUAAAUUCUUAAAUUUGCUCAUCCGGCAUUUUUUGUUGUUAUUGAAAGUGCAAUUGUUCUUUAUUUUAAGUUUAACCUAAAAAUUAAAGGGUCAAAUUACAUUUUUGGACAUACAAGUCUAACAUUGUUAAGAAAUCAAGUCCUACAAGUCUAACAUUAUUUAAAAAAUCAAGUCCCUAUAAGUAACAUUGUUUUGGGUGAUUGUAAAUAUUCCAGGGAGACAAAAGUGUCCUCACAUGUGACGGUUUCAUAUUGCCAUGUCGUAUUCCAUCUAUUAUUUUGAUAAUAUUUAUAAUUUAAAUAUUGUCAUGUCGUAUUGAUUCAUCAUUGAUCUUUUAAAUCUUUUAUGUUUUUAUUUUUCGUCAAUGAAAAAGGCGCUUCGAACUCAUAAGAUCUUUCAACUCUAAAAAUGAAAAAUACCAACUAACCAUUAGAAGAUAUUAGAAGAUCGGGUGAAGUCUAUUUAAAGUGCUAUCAGUAAUUUCUAAAGCAUGUAUUGCAGAUAAUAAGAAACCCAUAAAAUGAACUUCGAGUUCAAUAUCAUACAUGCACUACCUAGGCUAGGCAUUGACAAACCUACAAUGCUUCCUGAUCUCUCCUUGGUUUCCAGUCAAUGUAUUGAUAUUUCCCAUCUUGAUCACUGAUUUUACAAAUGAAGCAAAGAAAAGCUUUUGAUCAGAGGCAUAAGCCCACACCUGCUUUAGUAUCUCCCCGUCAUGAUCUUGUGUGACCAACACAUUAUCAGACCCCAAUAAACCUUUCCCUUGGAGUAUGUUAAGGUAGUAAUGGUUGUCAAAUCUGGCUGGUGUCUGAAAAUCAAGCGGUGCUAAUUCAUCGUCCCUCCCUGAUUUCGGGCAUAUGGACCGUAGCAUUCUUCGAAAGGUCGUAUAUCUCUUGUAUUUAUCGUAUAAUUCGUAUUUUCCUCUGAAGUUUACAUCAUACACCCUCUGUCUGAAACUUAAACAUCUUGCCCUUCCCAUUGUGUGGCUACCUGCAGAUCUACCCUUUGUAAGUCCUAUCAUUUAAUAGUAAUUUCAUUGAGAAAGAAAGAAAGAAAGAAAAAAGGCAUAUUUUUCACAUGAUAUUGAUUCUUGAAUAACUUACCUGACAAGGCAACCAAGUCUCCUACAUCAAGGCCCUGUUGUUUGAAAUUGGCAAUGAGAGUUUCUAGAGAGGAAUUUGGAGCGGGGAUGAACUGGUUGGCACCACUGAAGCUUGCUUCCAGUGAGUCUCUCCUGCCUAGCCACACAUUCCAGCUUGGUCCACCUCUCUUUUCACCAACAGAAGAAAAACGAAAAAUGUUACAAAAUACUUACAAUUUUUGAGAGAGUGAUGCUACAUGUAUCAAAUUUAGUGAGGACAUUAUUUCUGAUCACAUCUCUUAUGGACAACAUCGAGACAGAGAUGUACCAAUGCAACAGCAUCGCGAGCAGCCAAGGCUAGAAUAUCAGCACAUGAAACUGUUGUUGGACAAGCCUCUUCCAGGUGAUACUUUAUCUCAUCGACAACCUCAAAUCCUCGUAAAGAAUCUAGGUUUGGGCCGGCUUGCUUUUCACUGACUAUGCCUCCAUAGCUGUCCAAAAGAACAGAUGCAUCGCACCCCUAACUCCAAAGAAACAAAAACUGUUAACAACAAAACAAGAAGAUCGAAGUAUAGUAUUGAUUCUUGUUUCAUAUUUAUGAUAUUGCUGUGUCUCUCCCCUGCAGUAUGCAUGCACUGACUGGUACAAGGGAAGACAAACUUGCAAAACCAAAGUCAGCAAAUUUGGCUCCGUGUGUGUUUGUGUGUGUGCGCGUGUGCGGAAGGGGGAGAGGGUGAGAGAGAGAGAGAGGCUCAACCAUAACAAAACAAUCAUGAAAAUGCAAGCGAAGGAGUGAAGCCGCCAUUCGAGGAUCUUUAGCCACCGCAAUUGCAACACUACGCCUCACAAUCUCUUCUGCCAAAGGGCACUUUUCUUUGUAAUAGUCAAGAAAUAGAGGUCCAUCAUCCUCAACAGAAGUUCCAGUGCCAUGAAAAACCAUUGUUAGUACUAUCAAGAACAUCCUCCUCAUGUUCUCCAUUGUAGAAAAUGAAAUAAUGGAUUUAUAGUGUUGAUUGGAUUAAUUUCUGAGACCGGAAUGUUGAAGUAACAUCUCCAUCUAUACUAGUUUGAUCUAUAUAGGCGUUACUGUGACGUUUUUACUGUACUUUGCUUCAAAAUGUUGCCUUCCAUGUUUUCAAACCAACUUAGCAUAACCACAUUCCUUUUUGAUAUUUUGUUGAAAGUUGAUGCAACUACUCUUACCUAAUUGUCUUCUCAUUAUCUCAAAAGCUAACUACUUAGGUUCAAGGGCAUGGGGACUAUUUCAUGGGUCCACAAAUUACGGUUAAGCCCGUUAUUAGCAAAUGGUACAGGUUGAAAACCAGAAAGCAGCCAUUUUGUGCCGGAUUGAAUAUGCCCGAUUCUGUUGGGGCUUAUAUUAGCUCCGGUGGUAGAGAGUAUCACUUCUACACCCCCGGCAGAAGUUCGAACCCCCUCUCUCUAUUUAAAAAAAAAAUACUUCUACCCCACCCUUAUUCUGUCACUUAGCAAGAUAGUGUAUAGUGCAUUUGUAGACUGCAUUAUUUGGUACAGUGUUUGGGUAUUUUGUAUUUCCUAUACAUUGACUUUGGAAAAUCCAUUUCGUUUUUUUUAGUUCCUUUUUGUUGUUCUCCAAGUCAGAAAACCAUUAAUUUUUCCUAGUUCUUUUUUACUUACUUCAUCCAUACAAAGCCAAGAUCCAAAGUCAGAAACACAAGGCAACUUUCAUGUUCUAUUCAAUUGUCAGAUGAUUCCUAUCCUGUUCCACAGACACAACCCAGAAGUUCUAACUACAGAAGAGAGAGAAGAAAAAGAUAAUACACAGACAAAGAAACCAAUAUACAAACGAAAAUCGCAACUGUUUUAAGUUUAAGAUCUGUUAAAGAAAGAUGAUUUUUUCCCCUUUGAUAUAUACUAUUAAUACCUUGACUUGUAUAAUAUAUAUAUAAACUUCUUGUUAUCCUAGCUACUGUUUUCCAUACUGGUAUGUCAGUUAUGGUGUUUGAGAGCAGCAUCUUGAAUCCCAUCUGUCAAAAACGAUACCAGCGUUCAACACUUGUCAGCAUGGCCUGCAAUUUCCUGUGUAAAAGAUAAUCAGUCCAUGUUAGUAUAGGUAUGCAAAAACAUCAUUAUGUUGUUUAAGGGCAAAAGAAGCAAUAGGCGAAUUACCACAUAGCAGCAGCAAGUGUAAACAGGAAGGCAACAAACACAGAAUUACUAAUACAACUUCAUAUCAAAUUCUUCUCAGGAACUCACUGUAAAAAAAUACUUGAACAUGGCAUGAAUUUUUAUACAUUUAUUUUUUGUUCAUAACAACUCCUGAACAAUUUCAUUGUUGUUUAAUGAUGCAGUCAGGUAGAGUGACAGGAAAAGGUAACACAAGCAAAGGCUCAUUUAACAGCAUUUCCAAAACCACUGAAUUAAAAGUUAGAUUUGUACCACACAGUUCUUUAGAGGUUUACACAACAAAAGAUUUCAGGUGUUGCCUUGGUGUUGCUUAUGCUAUUUAGAGAAAUAAUAACUCUAAAUUGCAGUGGGCUCAUAUUGACAGAGUUCCAAAUACUGUUCAGAAGGAAAAAAAAUCUCAUGAUUGUUACCUGAUCUCUUCUAAUUAAUAGUCCAAAUCCUCAUCUUCAUCCAGGAAGAUCUCAGGAUGAACGGCUACACUAGUGCAAUUGAGCGCUCGUUGCAGCUUCCAAUGAUCUAGGACUUCAACUUCAACCAUGAAGACUGAACUAACUGGUCGAUGAUCUGAAAGCUUUAUUUCUGCCCGCUCGUAAGAAAGUUGUCUGAUGCCUUUUCCUAGCCAUAGUAUACGAUCACACCUAUUACAGGAAUACCAAGUACAUAAAGAGGAAAUACUCAUCAAUUGACUGAAUCAUGGUAAUAACUUCACCACUAUAUUGACUGGAAAAAGUACAAAGAGUCGUGAAGCUGAAGAUUAUUCUAUGGUGUGGUCUCUUAUAGAAUUCCCCCCUACCCAACAAAAGGAAAAACAAUCGUGAGUGAAGGCGCAGUUUCUAAAAAUUAAAUACACUGUCAAUUCAACAUUAUCAAGUUACCUACUCAAAUUGACUAGUUUUGAUGUUCUACAACAAAUGAGAAAGUUAACUAAUACUGUCCAAGUUCUUGACAACUGUCUAGUUGCACUGAAAUACAAAUUGGAAACAUAGUCCACAGAAGCUUGAACAACCAUAUUUAGUACAGUUUCUAAGCAUCGGUGAAAUAUUCAAUCAGAAUUUUAAAAAAAUGUAGAAAUAUCAUAAAAAUAUCAAUACCUUGAGUGCUCAUGAGUUUUCUGUUUCCUUUUCUUCUAAGCAACUCAAAGGGCAAUGAACUAUUCUAUGCUUGGUGAAAAAAGUGAUGUUGUAACAAUUACAAUCAUCUGGUCCCACAAAAGUUGUACUUACCAUGCUGGUGAUCUCUUCUUCUCUCCUUCUUUUAUGUUCUCUCCAAAAUAUCUGUCAGAGUUUAUCUCAUACUUAUAUGUAGGUGGAAAGUUUAUCACUCCCUCUUUCCAUCCUUCGAAUACAUGCCCACUGCGGAGUUCUUUGUUUAGCUGCAUAUGGAGUGAUUGCAUUAAACGGCAGUUCAGUUCACAAAAUAUUUAUGCUGUUUCCUGAACUAUUCAUGAAGAACAUUGUAGGAUUUCAGAAAAAAUAAUAAUAAUAAUAAUAAUUUGAAUGAAUAAUGUCUAUUCUUAGUAGUGUCCUCAGCAACCCUAAGAAUUAAAAUCAAAUGUGAACAACUUAAGACCAUAAGCUUGGACUCAAAGUUAGAUCCAAUAUUUAGUUGCAUAAGGUAUCAUUGAGAUUUGGAAGCAGAAUUCGUGUAUCAUUGCCCGGUAAAGUGAAUUCGGGUCAUAAAAGUUUCAUACUGAGAAUAAAAAUUAAAUAUAUUGGAAUGGUUGUGCAAAAAGUUCGAUGAUCUCACCUGAUCAUUGCUGACAAGUUCAUCCCACCGUUUGAGAGCAAUGAGCUUCCUUACAUCUGCGUCUUCCAUAUUGAGACGAUAGUUUAAAUCCCCAAACCAGAAAAUCUGGCUGUUCAUAGAAGCACCCCAAUCACAUCAAAUCACAGUUCACAUUGGUAUAUUAUAGAUAUGAAAAAGAAGAGAGAGGUUCAACCAUAAAAUGACAAAUUGGGCAGUUCGUUUCUUAUUUUAAUUGUCUACAGAUAAACAUAAUUUAUUUUUCUCUCUGUCCUCCACAAUAUUAAGUCAUAACAAAGAUAGAUGAUGGCAAAAAUAAAAAUAAAAAUAGAUGGCUUAUAGUCUUAUGAAGCGGCCAACUUAAACACAUAUAAUUAAAAAGCAUGUCAACUGUAUGCUUACUCAUGAGAGGGAAUUGUCAGCGGUUGAUCUGUAUCAAAGACAGACGAGAAACAGGUACGUCGUAUAAUUUCAUACACAUCUGAGUUCCGCCUUUGAUCAGCCCCCUCCUUCUGACCAGAGGACAGAUGAGAACAAACAAAGCACAUUCGCGAUUGGAAAAGGGACAUACUAACGGAAACUGAUCCCUGCUUGAACAACCAUGAAUUACGAAGAUGGUCAAUAGCAUUAAGGCAAGAACAUUCAACAAUUGAUCAGCACAUUAUAACAUGUUGUCUCCUCUACAAUUAAUGCAAUCUCCAGCCUGCAGUUGAUCACAUUUUAAUGCAUCAGUAUGUUGAGGGACACUGUUUUUUUUUUUUCAUUUGAAAUCAAAACAAGUGAACUCAUAGAACAUGGCUCACUAUCAUCGUGAAAUAAACACAGCACCCUACAUUAGCUUGAUGCAAUACAAUGUAACCUACUCCAGAUUGUAGAUUGUGAUUGAGAAAAAAACACCCCUUUCAAUUCCAAAUUCAUAUUGUCUUAACUUUCUUAAGGUUGGGGAACACCAACAUCUUUUCCACAUAAGAUGAUGCACUUCAAGCAUGAAAAAAAAAAACAGGAAGUACCUUGUUUCCCAUGAAGCCCAUUAGACCAACCCCAACUGGAGAUACUUUCAGAUUGUUAAUGUGUCUCCUCAACUUCUUACGCACCCAGACGGAUAUAUAUAUCCCUACCAUUUGCUUGCUGACAAUUCGGACAUAUGUAGAAGGUAACUUCGCUCCAUCGUCGAUAACUUCAUUUUUCAGUUGUUCAUUUGGUAAUUCAUCAAAGAUAUUAUCUUCCCCUUCCAAAAAACUGUCAGACACAUUAGAGAGAGUGUCAAAAACUCGAGGCAUCUCUUGCUGCUCCACAGAGAUUGAUCUCCUCAGGUUCCCAGAGCUAUGGUGUGAUCUUUUCAAUCCACCAUCUUUUUGGGAAAUUUGAGGAUUGAAUAUUAAAGGAUUAUCCGACGUAUUAAAGCUCAUUCUUGCAGAACUGCUCAGCACCCGCCGCAAUUUGGAACUGGUGAAGACAACUUGAGGGGUUGCAUCUAAUGAAAGUUCAGGCCAAUCUAACCUACUAUCGCAAUCAAUGCCAUAAAUUCUCCUCCAUUGCAAAUUUCUCCCAAUGCUGAGUACUUUAUUCAAUUGACCAUGUUCCAAGUCACAACCAUUAGUAGCUCCAACAUAUUCCUUGCCCAGAAAAUCUAACGGAUGAGCAUUAGUUUCUGCAAGUACAUCAGCAACAGAAGAAGUCCUUUGUACUGGUGAAGGUGGAGCACUGUAGCAUAUGUGUUUGCUUUCAGGUUCCAAGGAUUUGUUCAGAGUUUUUCGAAUGAUUGCCUCCCAUUUUGGUAUUGAUUUGUUAUCCUCUGCUCCCAGUACAUUCCCAGCAUUCAAAGGGACAACCUCUUGAAAACUGAACGAUAAUUAGUACCAAUCAAAUGAAAAUGAAAUGGAAACUAGAUAAGAUGUUGAUAAAAUACUUCUGGGUGAGCUCCUGCCACCAGAAUAUACCAGGCUAACCAGUUAUCAAAUGCAGUUUUUGAGGCAGGGGAGGAAAGAUCCCGUAUGCAACAAAUCGUUGGAAGUGUGUGCCGAGGUGGAUUAUGUCAAGGAAGAAAGAAUUAUAUAGGACCAACAACUGGAGGAGUAACUUACCCAAGAAUGUAAACAUCUGCUGGUUCUUCGGUACAAAGCCAAUCGUCAAUAUCAAGAUCUUCAUACGGAAGUCUUCCACCAACAUUCCAACUGCCUACUGUCACCCUACAUACAACCAUGUGCCCCAAGGUACAUUCGAGUAAGAACCAUACUGGUACUACUUCUAGGCUAACAUUGAAAGUGUACGAGAAUAAUAGCCAAACCUCACAUCCUUUGUGUUUAUGUACUGAGCACGUACAGUUUCUGAUUUCCCUCUCCGGUGUUUUAACUGGUAGCCCUUAGAUGGAAUAUCUGAGGCAAAUUAAACAAACACAUCAUGUAUAUUAAUAGGGAACAUGGAUAUAAACACUUAUGAGAUACCUGAGAAUGAUCAAAAGUUGUUAAAGUAUUCUUUAGAUUUAGUUAUGAAGCAGAAACAGCUAUAUGAUUAAGAUACCCAGAAAUGGUUUCCUAUUCAAGAAAUUUCACCAUUUACCUUUCCACUCUCUCAUAUCAAAACUUGACAUCAAAGCUAAAGGUCCAGAAAUGAUUUUAGUGAUAAGAAUUACAAGAUUAAAUAGGUAAGAUGAGCUUAAUUUGGAACAAGUAAAUACUCAUAACGGAAUUUACUGAUAUGAGCUGUGAAAAAAGAAUUGCCUGAAAGUUGACUUCGGAAAUCAGAAUGGUUUUCUCUAAGGCCAUGAUCAUCACGCAUGUGCUUUCUUGCAUCUUUGAGAGAGUAACCUGGAAGACAAAAAUUGCAGAAAACUUGAUUAAGCGCAGGAUACUCGAGAAACAUAAUGUUGAAGAGUACAAAGCUGAGACCAUGAAACCAUACCGUCAUCUUCACUUUCCGUUUCAGUUUCAGUUUCAGUUUCAGUAUCAACCUCAUCUGCACUGAAAUCAUAUUCCUUUGGCUUUAUGUUUAGCCAUUUCUUCAUCAUAAGGGAAGGCCAGAAAGCCUGCAAUAAAAUGCAACAUGAGCAGAUCAAUAGCUGAAAACCAUGUGCUGAAAACCAUGAGCUGAAUCUUGAGAUUCAUAAUAGUGGUUGACAGAAAAAGCGUACCUCAGAGGGCUUUCCUCUUCUGCUUUUCAUACUGUUGAGCUGAAAAAUUUACUAGUGAAUACAGUGAGUGCUUAUAUACUUAGACUUUGAAGGCACAAGCUCUAAAUAUGGAAGCAACUUAAAACAGGUAGACUUUGAAUCCUGGUGCCACCAUUCUUGGAGGUAUAAAUAAAAGCUUUUCAAAGCAACACCAGAAUAGGUAGGCUAUAAAUAAGCUUCUUUGAUUGCCAGCACAAGAAAUUUCAUGCUAGGACAGAGAAGAUGAGUGAGAACACAUUUAGCAGACAUCCAUAAUCACAACUUGCAAAAGAAAAAUACUCAAUGGUCCUUCCACUCAAAUCAUAAUUUUUCUGGUUCAUAAAACAACAGCAUAAAUAGUAUUGAAAAAUCAUAAAUUCCCAAAAAGAUUUCCACAAGAAAAUUGAUGUCACUUUCAUGAUAGCAGACUUGAACUCAUUUGACCAACAGAUAUAUCCACUGCAGCUCUUAUUUUCAGGUAGUUAAAUGCUAAGAUAACCAAGGCAAACAGAACAGUAAAAGACAAACAUCAAUAAUCCAACAUCCAUCCAGAAAUAAAAAAUAAAUUUUUUUAUUGAUUAAAUACCUCAUUUUACAAAAAGCAACUGAUAGAAUAGUUUAUUACAAUUCAAUUAAACAAACUGCCAAUACACCUAAGGAAAACUCAAUUCCACCAAUAAGGUAUCAAACAUUUAAGCAAACAGGUGGCGCUCAUCACACCUCAAUGCCAAAUUCCAGCGAGGGCAGUUAUGAUGGGCUAUUUACCACUCUAAAUCUUUGCUCGAAAUAGAAACCAACCAAAGUCAGGUCACGAUGCCUCAACCAAAACAGAACAUUGACUACGACUACACAACUAUAAAAUAAAUUAGGCCCAACCAACUUUGAAAACCAGUAGAGCACAAGGGGAAAUGAGGAUUCGAAUCAACGGAAUUCCCGUAACUUAGGGCUUCGAUAUUAUGUUAGACAAUUAAUGUAUUAUAAAAUUUAAUUUAUUAGAUAAUAGCAAACAAUGUAUAACAAGUUUACGAUAUUUACAGUAAUUCUUAAUGGUUAGCACUUAGAUUAUGUGAAUCAAAGUCGAAUAAUUUUUAUCAAAGUGUGUGGUUUAGAUUUAUUGAAAAUAUAAUUAUUAUUUUUUUUAAAGAGAAAAUACCCUUGAGAAAAAUAUAGCGUAGGACGGCCGACAUCGGUUAUUUAUUUCUGCAACUUUUCUGCAAAAGCAACAAGAAAGAAUGUAUAUAAUAUGAUAUGUAAAAACGACCUAUUGAUUCAUAUUUAAAGGGACCACAGUUCGAUGGCCUCGACGCACUAUAUGUGAAGGCCAUGCACUCUUGAGUUUUCAUUUCUAUCCAUUACCCUUUUUUUAUUUUUUUAAAUUAUUUUAGAAAAUUAAAAUCACAAUAUGUUAAAAGAGAAAGAAAAAUUGCAAUUAUUGCGUUCUGCAUAUGAGGAGUAUGAUGAUACACCGCGCAUUGAAAAUUUAGAAAUAGACUUUAGCCGUCAACUAAGAAAAAGAACAAAUUGGGGGAGAUAGUGAAAAUGGAAAUGUGAACAUGUGUUUGGGUGUACUUUAUUAUUUUGGAAAGUACAUUAUACCUAUUCGACGAUACAAGCUAAUUUAAUUAAUAAAUAUAAAAAAUUAUACAUAGAGAGGAAUAAAAUAAAUAAAUAAAAGAAUUAUUACCAAAGAUUCUUGUUGAAUAAGUAGCAAAUUAAUCAAUACAUAUGCAUGCCUAUAAUUUACAUAUCAUAUUUCCCUUUGAGUUUUUUUUUUCUCUUUAGUGUUUUGUGUUUCUAGUUCUCAUUUGUUGUGAUUUUUUUUUCUUGUAUUUGUUUUUUCUUUAAAAAAAUAAUAAUAAUAUGACCAUCAAAUUAUUCAUAUUGGAAAAAGAAAAUCUCAAGAAGAGAAAAAAAAAAUUCAAUUAAAACUCGUCGUAAUGCACAGAGAGUAAUUAUGUAAAAGUGGAAACUAUAAGAAGACUAUUGUAUUUUGUCUUCAUAAGCAAUAGUAUUUUGUUUUACAGUUUUUGUGUAAAGAUUUUUCUUCAUUGUACUAAGAAUGAGGAAAAGAACAUAUGCUCAAAGGGUAAAAAAGAAAUAACAGCACAAUUACAUGUUCAUGGAAGAAAAAAGAAAAAAAAAAAGAACAAUACCUAAUGAGGGGUAAAAAUGGCAACUAAAAGAGUGAGUAGCUAUAUUAUUUAAUGAGGAGCAUUAAAAAAUAUGCAGUCUCUCCCAGCCAAAAGGAGAAGAGGAGAAGCUGUGCGCUAGGACUUGAGUGGGCAGUGUAUGAGUGCAGGCUAACAUAUGUAGCUAUUUGUUUAUUUGGAAAAAUUUAGGCACCCUGCCCUUGACAUAGAUCUGCCCUUGGCACUUUUAGGAUAUAGUUUUAAUAAAUAUUCACUUAUAUUAGAAUACGUAAACGAGUUAUACCAUGCAGUCAUAUUUUAGUAUUACGUUAUAAUCAGUUAAAUCGACUAUUUUUGUUUUAAUAGUUUAUAAAAAAUGAUGUUUUCGUUUUUUUUUUUUUCAAUCACAAUUAUAUUACUAAACUCUUUUCAAUUUGGCUGAUUGGUUUUCUAAGAAAAUGAAUAGUUCAGGUUAUGAUAUCAUUUUGUGUAGUAGACAUAUAAAUAAACACACAUGAGUAUAUAUUAAGAGAACAAUUCUCAUUCGAAUAGUGUAGAAGAUGAUAAUAGCAUGGAGGAACAAGAAAGUAAAAAUUGGAGCAGUGCCCUGUAGAUUGGUAUAUCUUGUAGUCAGUUUUGCAAACACUAGUUGCAGUGCUUUGGAUCCAUAUAAUUCCCUUCCAUCCUCUCUACUUUUAUAAAAUUCUUACCUUUUGCUGGCUAGUUAUCUUCCUUUUUGGUGGUAGGUACCCACAUGGACAGGAGUAAAGGGCAAAAACAGAAGCAAAGAGCAAGGGAAAAUAAUGAAGAUUGAGAUGGGCAGACUGACAUGGUAAAAGCAACAGUAUCAAUAAUGUUAAGAUACUCAAACGACGUUGUAUUGUAUCGUAAUAGUAUCUGGCAACAACAUUAUCUAAUCCACGUAUCUCGGCAAGUAAGAUUUCAGCCACAACUUUAACAAGCAUUGUUCAUUAACUAAGUAAGAGGGUAGAUUGAAAAGGAAAGGAAACAAAUGGUCGUUCCUCCUCCAUGAUGGUUCAAUAGUAGAAAAUGAUAGUGUGAAAUUAGUUGACAACUUAGACUUUAAGUUUGAAUUUAAAUCUCUGCGAUGAUAAGACGCAAACGUUGUUUAUAUGAUAUAGACGUAACGUGUGCUGUUCAGAGUUUAUCUUAAGGAUCACGUUAGGAAACUCACUAAUAUAAUGAAUUCCACCUUUAUUAAAUAAAUAGUACACAAGUUAGUAUCUAAAAUUGAUCUCCCUAAUAAGAACAUAAAGAAAAAAUCAAUUGGCAUGCGCAUGUGUCAAGAAACUAGCACCCGAUAAAGGAAUGAGUAGUGGGAGUUUUUCUAUUUAAAAAAAAACAACGACUUUAUUUGAUGAGAUAACGUAAUGAUAUUUUAACACUCUUUUUCACCGCCACCGAGUCGGCCAACCGUCCUAAGAAAAGGAAAGGGCGAUGAGUUUAAGCAUAUAUAAUAUUAUUUGACGAUCGCAUGCAGUUACUUUAUGCCAGAUCAGUUCCAACUUCUAAAGUUCAUGUUAAAAUAAAGCAAACAUAAUUUACAUAAAUAGCAAUUUUACGUGUUGAGAUUGAGAACACCACAUUCUUAGUUUAUUGGUUGUUUCGAUGAAAUCAAAGGUAGAUACUAGGAAGCAUUAUUAUACCAAUUAGCUAAUGUUUAGGAAUACCUUUCUUCAGUAGUAAAAGAUGUUCUGAGUUUGAAUUCACACUUCUAAUAUUUUUUAAAUAACAUUAUUAAAUGUUCCGAAUGAAAGAUGUUUCGAUUUUAAAUUCUCACUAUUCUUAUUAUAAAAAGACGAUAACACUACUAGAUGGUGAAUUGAGAUGGUACAAAUAGCAAUGUUAACUUCAAUCAUUCAAUGUUGAUGGUAAAAUGAAAAAUAUAUAUUCUUUGUUUUCAAAAUGGUUACCAAACCUGUUGUUUUGAUUAACACUGAAUAAUCACCGUAUUAAUCAAAUUACUGAAUAAUUUCUACUUAAGGUAAUUUUUUGCAUGAAUGAUCCUGGAAGAAGAACUUAAAUUAAAAAUGAACAGUCUAGUUUCUAUAAUCAUCCAUCACUGCAAAACAAAAAAGAAGAAUGAAGAAUUAAUGUCUAACGACGGAGAGAUAUGAAAGAACUGUUGCUUUCAUUCCCUCCCAAUAACAAAUGCUUUAACAAAGAAUAGGAUUUGGUCAAACUCUCUGCAUCAAUGGCAACUUGGCGCACCAGGCAUAGAGACAGAGAGCAGUCGCUAGCCCUGCAGCUGUGCCUCACUUGGUGAACUGUAAGCCAGCCAGCCAGCCAUUGAGAGAGUCAGCCUUGACUUUUUUGGCGCACACAUGACAAGAACAUAGGGCACAUGACGACACCAGUUGAAUAAUAAUGGCGGUGCUCUCCUUCCUUCCUCCUACUUGUACGUAUUGUUUUUGUUAUCCUUCUCUGGUUCUUGACAAAUUGAAUGACUGGACAAAAUAGGACAUCUUUCUGUUUCGUGGUCCAAAGUGCGUAUGGCUUCUCUUUUUAUAUUUAUAACUUAAAGUUAGAAUUGAAUGGGAAUUUUCCAUUCCAUACACUGCUAGUAUUGUAUAUGAUUCCUUAUUGGAAAACUAUAUAUUUUCUUCUUGGCUAACUUUAUUAAAUUAAAAGGAGAUCUCCCUGUACAAAUCAUACCAUACUGGUGAUGAAGACAAAAUAAUAUCUAGGGAGCUAACGGGAUUCUUGAAGCAGUUGUGAUAUUAUAUGUUGUGCGUGUGGGUACAUGAAGUAUUGUUAGUCAUUGAUAUGAAUGAGACUCGAGUUGUUAGUAAACAGUAUGUGUGAGCCUCAUCAUUGGUCUCAUAUAUAUCAAUGACUAACAACACUUCAUGCGCACAAGUGUUUGUGACUGAUUAUGAUCAUUCUUAAAAAUUGAAAUACAAGUUCAUAUUUGAUUGUGUUAGGAUCAAUUUAUAAUAGAAUAUAUGAGAAUGAUCAAAUUUAAACCAAUCAACAAUAUAAGCGUAAAAAAAAAAAAAAAAAAAAGAGUAAAGGCAACCAAGAUAUAUAACGAGGUUCGGUAAUGUGAGCCUAUGUCCUGAGACAACGAUAUUGUUGGCUUUUUUUUUUCUUCUAUGGGAAUGACUAUGAGAGGAUGAUAGAUUGUUUUAAGGCACUAUCUUUCAUACUUUAUAUGACCUACUUAUAACUUAUGUACAAAUGGGAUAUGCAAAUAACUCACGUUGUUCUUGAAGUAGUUGUGCUAUUAUUAGUCAUGUGUGUGUCCGUACGAAGCAUUGUUAGUCAUUGAUCUGAGGGGACUCGAGUUAUUAGUAAACGGUAUGUGUGAGCCCCAUAUUGAUCUCUUAUAUAUUGAUGGCUAAUAUCACUUGUAUCAACGGUCUUCUCUCACCAGGACUUCUGCAUGGUAAUAACGUGCUGCUGCCAUUGUAAACAUGGAGGAAAGUAGAGAAUAAAAAAUACAUGAUGUCCGCACGAUAAUAACGUCCGAAAGUCUGCAUAAGAGAAUAUAUAUAUAUAUAUAUAUAUCUUAAUGGCUAACAAUGUUUCAUGCGCAUAAGUGUGACUGAUCAUCUUGAUUCUUGAAAAUUGAAAUACAAGUUUGUGGGAGCAAAUAAUCGCACACCAAUAAAGAGGCGGCACCUGGGCUUAAAGCUAUUGUUUGGACCAAAUUACCCCAGGUAAAAGGAGCGUUGUCACACCUCAAAUCAAAGUUAACAGAAUCCUUGAAUUCAGACGAGUUUCACACCUUAAUUAUAGAAACUAACCAACUAUAACCAAAAUGUGAAGAAUAAUAAACAAAAGAAUAUUCACAUAGAAACCUUUAAACGGAAACAACCAAAGUAUUCCAAGUCUUACACCACUCUUUUUACAUGUAGAUCUACUCCUCUCAAAAAUAAAGGACGACCACCACUCAUUGGAUAAGGUAGUAGCAAUGUUAUUGCUUUCAUCUUUCGUUUGGAUGUUGUGUUGCUUUUGUUCUCUCUUUCGGAAUGGCAAGUCACCUUCACAUGGGAUUCUUUGCCACAAAGGUACCCCAAUUGCCAUAGUAAGAACUAUUAAAGGCGGAGUUAUAGUCAUCACAAAGGUACCCCAAUUGCCUGACAGUUCAUUGUCUAUAUUCAUCUUUAUAUAUAGUGGCUAAAAGAUUGAUCAUGUUUUGGAAAAUGAUUGAUAAGCUCUUUGAUUAAGAACGCUAGGGCAGCGGUCUUCUUCUCGAAUAAAGAUUUAAGCUUCACCCAAAUAUGGUGAGUAUUGUUCUCAUUAGACAUCAUGGAAAACACUGUCAUCCACUUGGUGAGUAUUAUUCAUCUUGGUAUAAUCAACACUCGACAUAUUUUGUGGCUUGGCCUUAAUAUCUUCCACGAGUACUUAUGUAAAUCCUCACAAUAGAAAAUGUCCUCCAACCUUGGUUUUCAUGUCUCACUCAAGUUGUUGGGUUCGAUCAUGGUGCUAUCAUAUCUUUCUAUUUUGUAACACUAAGUCAACCGUGACUCUGAAUUCAAUUGUUAGGAUCAAUUAAUAAUAAUAGAAUAGAAGUUAUUAAACUCAAACCGAUUAACAACAUAAGUAAGAAAUAAAAUAAAGGGACAAAAAAAUUUAACGAGAUUCGGUAAUGUGUGCCUAUGCCAUAUCAACUCUUCCACUAUAUUAAACAGAAGAACGAUCUUAUAAAGCCAAUGCCCAAGACGUGAUGUAUACAAGAACGAAGGCUCAACUUACUUAUCAUUCUCUCACACACUAAUGAACUCUAUUGCUUGAACGCACUCUCACUCUCACUCUCUCUAUUUGGAGUGGAAGAUUGACUUGAUGCGAAAUGGUAAAUAAUUCUCUUUAUAUAGGCACGACAAUGACUAAUUUGGGUGGACCCCAUGGUACGCCAACAGCUUGAUCCCACACAUAUAAAUGGCUCACAACAUAUGAACGGUUGACAACACUUCUAGUGAUUGAUGUGAUGCUAGCAUAUUUUUUCUCGAUAAUUGAAAUGCAAAUUCAUCUUUGACUAUGGGACGUGGUGUAGAUGCAAGAAAUUAUAGUUUUGAAGGCCAAGUGCAGCUGUGCAGUGGUUAAAAAUAAUUAUGUAUGCGUCGAAUUUUAGGUUCAAUAAUUUUUCCCUCUCUGAUUAUUCAACAACAACAACAAAAAUGACAGAUUUGUUAGAAAAUUAUCAAAACGAUUGAUUAUGGCAGAGACGAAGCAAGCCGUACCUACCACCAACCAAAACGCGCAACUAUGAUGAGAACGUCUCGUCACGAUCCACCGACCAAACCCAAAAAAUAAAAAUAAAAGAUCCUCGAAAACAAGACGCAAAAUCACAAAGAAAUGUCGGCCUCAGAUUGAAAAGAAAGUAAACAGAACAAGUCAAUUUUGAUAUCACUUUCCAUAUUUUUUUUUGGACCAGAACAAACCCACAGACAAGCAGGCACUAGAACAACUGUGUGUCUCGGUGUGAGGGAAGGUGCUUGUGUGUAAUCUGACAGAACGUCAUGUCGUAUAUGAUUAGGAGCGACCUCGGAUCACGCCACACGACAACUAGGUAAACUAGCUUGGCCAUUCAUUAGGCCACGUCAUGUCCUGUGCUAAGACCCAAAUCCUAGAGUAGAAUACAGGCUUUUACAUUUGACCAGAAACCCAAACCCUAAAUUUGAUUUUUUAUUCAAAACCUUUGGGUGUUUUUUUAUUUUUUAUGCAACCGAUAUUUAAGAAGUGGGGAUUCGAACACAGGAAUUCAAGUUUGAAUAUAACCUAGAAUAUUCCAUAUCUAUGUUUGAAUGUGCAUUGGAACAAAAAGAGAUUAUUAAGUCUUAGGUCCCAUCAUUUUUGAACCAAAAUAUUAGAAUUUGGGGAUGAGAAAUUGGAUUGAAUUUUUUCGACCCAAAGAAUAUAAAUGAAAAAUGGAAUUAUUAGCUAAAUCUAAAGCAGACAUGCUAAUCACUGAAACGGCUAUGUCAUACUAACUUUAAGAAAACAUUCUGCCAAAAUGCCUCACCUUUUCCCUCAUGCGUAUACUCCAAGCAAAAAACAGUCAAAUCGAUUAUUUUUGUUUUGUUUUAAUGGUUACAAAAAAACAAAGUGUCCGCCUAAUUUAAUCACAAUUAGAUUAUUAAUUGAUUUUUGAUUGGACUAAAUGUUUUUUUAUAGGGAUGAUCUUGAAUGAGAACAAUAAAGGAAAAAUAGUUCGUAUUAUGAGAUCACAUUAUAUACGAAGUAGUGAUUAGCAUUGUACUAACUUAGAAAAUUCAUUUGUAUAUAUUAUAUAUGAACACACAGGAGUAUUCUCAUGGGCGGAACUAGCAACAAGGAUACCAUGGGCUCUAGAGUAUUUACGUGAUUUCAUUCUAUAAAAGAUUAGUAGUCCACCCAAAUAUAGCCUAAUAACUCAUUGUCCACUCAACUUAUAGGCCUAUAAUCAUCUUAUAUUUAAUUUGUUUACUUAGUUAAGAGUACUCCAAUGGAGAUGUGUCAAAUAAUAUGUAUCAAAAAUGGAAUUGAUGGUUGGUAACUUUAGUCAAUGGAGUUAUGAACUAGCGAAUUGAACCUGGGUGCACUUAGGGGAGAGGGGGAGAGUUUGGCCCACUUUUUGAUUGUGGUGUCACCCUAUGUGCGUGGUUUAUAUAAUUUAAUGUUUACUUUUAUUUCUAGAAAACUAUAGAAAUUGUAAGUACAACAAAAAUAAGAAAACAUUAUAUUUGAAGCUAAUAACUUUAGCUAAUCCACCCGUUGAAAAAUUCAUGAUUCCGCCCUUGAAUAUUCUCAUCAUAGGAGUAUCCUAUUAAUUUUAUGGUUGAGUCUAGAUGAUAAUAAUAUGGAGGAGUGAGAUAGGAAACAUAAAGUAAAAAUUGGAGAGAUGCCCUACAGAUUACCGUAUAUCAUGUAUCUAUAUAUUCCAUCCUCUUUAUAAAUUCUGACCUUUUGGAGGCUACUUAUCCUCCUUUUUGGUGGAACCCGCAUGGAUAGGGGUAAAGGAGAAAAGAAGCAAAGAACAAACCAAAAAAAAUUGAAGACUGAGAUGUGCAGGAAUUUGACAUGGUAAAAGCGACAGUUUAAUUAUCAAUAAAGUUAAAGGAUAUAUCGCAUGGUAAAGGCAACAUAUCUAAUCCACUCAUCUCAACAAGUAAGAUUUUCAACCACAACUUUAACAAACAUUGCUUAAAUAUAUUUUAAGUUUAAAUAUAUUUUCGUUUUGACCGAAAAAUAAAAAGAUAUUUUACAGAUAAUUGUACAUAUUCAGAGUUUACUUUAAAAAAUUAUAAAACACAAUAGAUGAAUACGUAGUCAUAGUUUUCCUCCAUUAAAAAAAAUUUAUAAACUUUAUUUGAUGAGAUAAAUUAAUGAUUCUUGAAACAUUGUUUCACAUGCAUGGAGUCUUCCAACUGUCCUUAAAAAAGGAAGGGUGAUGCGUUUAGAGGUGCUAAUUAGUAUUAUUAUAAGUAUAUUAUUAGACGAUCGCAUGCAGUUUCUUUCUGCCAGAUCAGUUCUAAUUUUUAACUUCUAAAGUUCAUGUUAAAAUAAAGGAAGCAUAAUUAAAAAUUAUUUAUGUUCAGAACACCACAUCCUUAGUUUAUUGGUUGUUUCUCUCUUUAUUCUUGUAGAAAUCGAAGGUAGGAACUAGGAAACAUCUGUUUGGAAGAACUCCCAGAUUGGAAUCUCACCGCCCCUUGAUUUAAAAAAAAAAACCAAAGAAUACUCUUUAUUUAAAAAAAAAAACCAAAGAAUACUCUUUCUUUUCACUUCUUCCAUUUUAUUUUUUUUUGUACGAAGUCUAACAUAUUACUCUUUCCAUUCAUAUUGUCAUUCUCUUUCUCAUUCAAUUUCACACCAACCAAACACCACUUAAAGGAAUUGAUUAUCACAAAACGUCUUUGAAGUUCAUGAAAUUAUCAAGUCGAGUCUUUUAUGUUUUUUUGUGUCAUUAGUAAUCCUUAAGAUUAACACCCGUGCUUACAGAUUGAAAAAGGAAAAAAGAAAAACAUUAAACGAACAAUCUGGGAACAUCUCCGAUUCUAAGUACUGCUAGCCAGGAAGAAAAUAUACAGCGGGUGAAAUUCAACAGGACCAAAAUGGAAAAAUACAAAGAAACGGUAGCUAUCAGUCCCUUCUAAUAACAAAUGUUUCAACGAAGUUUGUCAAAUCUCAAUUUGGUGCAUUAGACAUAGAUACAAACAGAAAGUCGCUAGCCCUGCAACUGUGCCUCACUCACCUAAUGAACCCUAACUCUGUAAAAUAAUAGUGUCCAAUUGAAUUGAGAAUCAGCAUUGACUUUUUUGACACAUACAUGACGACACAAGACCUCAGAGUAAUGGCAGUGCUCCUCGUCCUUCCUACUUGUGUAUUGUUUUUGUUAUCCUUCUCUUUCUUCUUCACAACUUGAAUGACUGGACAAUAUUCGACAUCUCAGACCAAAAAAAAGAAGACAAUAUUCGACAUCUUUCCCUUUCGUUGUCCAAUGUGCAUAAUGGCUUCUCUUUUUAUAUUUGUAACUUCAAAUUGGAAUCGGAUUGGAAUUUUCCAUGUCAUUCCACACCACUUGUCUCUUAACUCUACGGAUAUUUCUUCUUGGCGGCCAACUUUAUAAAAAAUUAAAAGGAGAUCUAGGGAGCAUUACCCUAUACAAGUGACACUAGCUCUUUGUAUCAUAGUGGCGAUGAAGACAAAAACAUGGAUAACUGUAAUUCUUGAAAGAGUUGUGCUACCACCAGUCGCGUGUAUAUAUAUGCAUGAUGGUUUGAUUAAUGGUAUGUGCUUUUCAUUGUUCAUCUCGUACACAUAGAUAGUUGACGAGUGAACAAAUGUGACUAAUGCUAGUAUCUUCUUGAAAAUUGAAAUAUAAAUCCAUCUUUGAUUAUCAAACUAAAACCAAUUAACUAUAUAAGUAAAAAUUAAAGUAAAAUAAAUAAGAUCAAGAAACUUAACGAGGUUCGGCAAUGUGUGUGUACGUCCCGAGAUACCAAUUGGUACACGAACAAGUUGGUCCCGCAAUAACCAAUGGCUGAUAAUAUUUCAUGUAUCCACAGGUGACUCAUGCUAGCAUAUUUCUUCUUGAUGAUUGAUAUAGAAAUUCAUCUUGACUUUGGGCCAAGGUUUUGGAGGCCGAGGGAAGCUGUCAACGGAAAAAUAAAAAAUAAAAAAUUAUGACAGUCUUAAUAGGACAGGUUUGCUGCAAAAUUGUCAAAACGAUUGAUUAAGGGCAGCCCCUACCACCAAAAAGCACUAUGAAAAGUGACAAUCCAAUCCACCAACAAACCCAAACAAAAAAGACCCCGCAAAACAAGAAGCAAAACCCCAAUGAAAUGUCGGUCUCAAAGUCAGAUUGAGAGAAGAAAGUAGAAGAAGAACAAGUCAAGUUUGCCAUCGCUUUCCAUAUUUUUGGGACCACAGAGAAAGCAAAGAAAGCUACAAUACAAAUUAAGCACUUAACAACUGUGUGCCCUUUUUACUUCUAGACGUAAAAAUUGUCUCGGUAUGGGGGAAGGUGCUUGUUUGUACCAUGCGUAAUCUGGCAGAACUUCGACCCCCCAAAAAAAAUUAAAAAAUCUGGCAGAACGACAUGUCGUAUAUGAUAAGACUCGAUAAACAAGCUUGGCCCAUCAUUAGGCCAUAUCCAAUGGACCAGAAAGCCCAAGCCCAAACUUUGAUUUUUAUCCCAAACCUCUGGGUUUAAAUUUGGUUUUGUAUUGGAGAUUGGAGAAGGCCUGAGGGAAUCAAGAACAAGAACGUUCAAAGUUAGAAAAAAUUUAAAUUAAAAAAAAUUAUUAAUGCAUAGGAUACAUACGCUAAAAGAUAAGAAGAAAUUCGACCACCCCAAUAAAAGCUUUUUCUAUUCUUUUAUUAACUGAUUUACGUAUAGGAUUCCAUUCGCCGCACGGUUGGGAACUAAUGAUCGAUUAAGGAGAGGGUCAAUCUCAUUUCAGCUCAUCAUGGUUGCUUGCAGCAGAACCCCAAGUUCCAGCAUCACCAGAUUUCAUGGGCCUGCUAGGUUGGGAAGCUUUAGGAACUAGAGCAAUCAGACUGAAAGUUCUCGCAGGCCUGGCGAUUUUCAGUAUAUUUUACUGUUUAAACUUGGGAUUUUUGUAUCCUUCAAAGAAAAACAGUACAAAUGUAAGGAAAAAGAAAUUGGAAAACCAUUGCGCUUGGUCCGAACACAUAGAACCAGAAAUUUGCUGAUCAAUUAGGUAAAAGAAAUUAUAACCAAUAGAACAAACACAUCAUUGCAACUGCCAGAAGGUCUCAAGUGACUCGGUUCAUAAAAAUACACUCCAUAACAAGCCCUAACUAGCAGUACAAUUUACACACCAACUGAUAAUACAUUUUAAGAGAAGACGCUUUCCGCCGGGAAUAAGUAAAGCUCCUGAAACAAAAAAGUAAAGGAAAAGAAUUGUUGUACACAAACUCAACAAAAAGGAAACGACGAUCCUCUGAAAAGCUUGAAGUUCUAACGCGGUCCAAGAAGUGGUCUUCAGAAACCAAACCCAAGUUUAAAUUUUAGUUAAAUCCACAUCUUUUAUCACAUGAUGCUGCAUCGGCUCCUUUCUUCUUGUGGCUGAGCUGGUACCGGCUGGAACCUGUUUGACUCAGAUGGGUUGUAUGUAAACUCAGCUGUAUCAAGCCCGUACUGAUUUUGGUUAUAUAUGCAGUGUGACCAAAGUCACCAGACAAAAAAGAUAACAGGCAUUAGAACCAUAAACUAUGGAAGAGAUUGUAGCAUAAAAAUAUAAAUGAAAAAUGGAAUUAUCUAAAGCAAACCUGCUAACAUGCAGAUCAUAACUCUACACUAUCACUAAAAUGGCUGUCUAUGCAUCAUGUCAUACUAACUUUAAGAAAACUUUUUGCCAGAAUGCCUCACCUUUUCCCUCAUGCGUGUACUCCAAGCAUCAUUUCUGUUCGGUCGUUGAUCACUCGCCCCAGCAACAGGUACACCAGUUGCCGGAACUGCUGGCCUGUUAUUGAUCAAUGGCUGUCUAAUUUGUUGCCUUGGAGCAAUGAGCUCAUCAUCACUGUCAUACUCUGCUGGUCUGUUUGCUGCCCUAACCACAAGAGCUAGCAAGAAAAGUAGAGCCUGAAAUUCCAUGGAGAAACAUUAUAAAAUAAACUUUUAGGCCAAGAAAACACCAAACAAUUUUUUUCACUGCACUAGAUUCAAGAAUCACAACAGAAGAACACUCUCGUCUUAGCAAUGAUUUUGUGCAGCUAAAAAGCAAAUAAUGUACAAAACUUUUCAGACCACAAGGAAAUCUUAACCAAUAUCAGAUAAAGAUGUACAAGUCUACGAAAAAUUUUUAACUACAACCAGAAGACUAGCAGCAGCUGGCUGGCAAUAUCUGAUAUAACACCAUUUCUAGAACUAACAUUUCAAUGGUUUUGUUCUUAUGCAAACAGUUUUGUCAAUGUUUUUCAAUAAGAGCUGUAAUUUUACUAUAAGAAAAGAAGAACGUUACAGAACAGAUAACUAAAUAUCCACUGAUCUAUCUAGAGUAGCAGCAAACGCCAUUGAAAAAUUGAUUCAUAUCAGUUUCAUGCAAUGAAAGAAUUCCCCAACAGGAACAAUAUCACGAAGAAAUUGUAUUUAGAAAUACAUAAGAUCCUUGCUCAUGCUAUUGCACAUACACUUUUAAGUCAUAUAAUGAAUCAUAAUUACUACUAAUCAAACUCAUGCAAACAUUUCAAUCACUGUCAUUAUGAUGUAGACACAAAAUAAGACCAUGAAGAAAAUGCAUUCAGAAAUACAGCAAGAUCCCGGUUCAUGCAAUUGAGCAUAUACUUGAAGAUCAUAAAAUCAAUCAUGAUUACUGUCAAUCCAGCCGCAUGAAAUAGAUAACUGGAAAAUAUGGAUUCAUUCAACAAAAUAAAAUUCAACUUAGAAGCAAACCAGUACAAGCUGACAUCAAAAGCAUAAAAUGUUUCUUCCGAUGCUACAUGUUCAUUAGGCCAUGCAAGAACCAACCCCAUGGUAGCACCCAUUUCAAGUAUUCUAGCCAAUGAGAAACAACCGUGAGGUAAAGUUCCACAGAAGCAUCAGGUUUGAUAAUGUUUGGCAGUUUCCUUUCAGUGAUGCAUUGCUAGCUAAAAGAUGGCCACCCCCUUAUAUAUCUAUAUGGGAAUUUUAAAAAUAUAUAUUAAAAAUAUAAUUCCAACCCAGGGAAAAGAGAUGGUCAUGCCAAAGCAAUCUUCCUUUAGUUGACUGAAGGAUAUAAUUGUAAUUCCACCAAAGGAACAAAAACUCAAACCAAAAUAUGUCGAAACUGAAGAGACCCUGACAAGAUUUUGGAUACUUUAGUUACCUCGAAGACAACGGCUCCAAGAGCAACCCAUCUAACAAUGUCCCAGUGAGCUUUCAGAAAUGCAUAUAUCAUCUCAAAAUCUCCACUUUUAUCUGUUGGGAUUUCCUGGAAAACAAAUUAUGACACUGAUUAGAUGGCCAAUCAUACCACUACCAUCUAAAAUUUCAAAACAUCAGUUAAUAACAGAACUUACAGCUUCCCAGCUUUUGUCAAAGAAUAUAAAGGCUGCACCCCCCAGCUCUACCAAUAUCAAAAGGAUCAGCAAAACUGAGUACUAUGAUGACUUAAGGAAAUCAAUUUUUGAAAAUAAAAGAGUAUAACUCACAUGCACUGUACAUCAAGUAUAUUUAUCAGCUACCAUGUACUAUGAAUGUAAUUCAGCAUUAUUUUAGUAUGACGCCAUUGUAGGCAUAUCACAUAGCUGAAAGACCAUGACAUUAUUAUCUGAUAUACCAUUUAGACAAAAUAUUGAGUAAUUAGGAUACACAACUCAAGCAGCAGCCAUUCCGUGUCAUGGCGGCCACGCAACCAAAACAAGAGAUGACAAAUAUAAUUGCUCCAAUUCCAAUAAACAAGUAGAUGAACCUGAAAAAGCAUGUGACAUUUAAUGGAGGGAAAAAAAUUAAGAAUUAGUAGCUUGAAUUCAACAGGUAUGACUCUUCAAUAUCUAUAUAAAAGUAAAAAUGCAAGAAUAUGCAUAGAUCUAGGAUGGGUAAGUUACAGGUUCAUUUAUUUUACAAAAGGAGAUGUGAACCACAGAUUGAUGCGGACAUCAUUAGUUAGUUUCCUGAUUUAUUAGUUUCCUAGAUUCUCUAGUUUUCCAGAUUUCACUAGGAUUUUAGUUUCCAGAGUUUUAGUAGGAUUUGAUUUAAGUUUCCUAGUUUAUUCCUUGGUGGAUUAGGAUUUCUGUUUUAGUGAGGGAUUUUUAUCCUAUUGUCCCUAGGUUUUAGUUUGCUAUAAAUACCCCCCAUGUGGUUCUUUAAAAUGGAGAUUUGAGAUAUUAAGAAAAGUUUACUUUCCAGAGAUUGGAGACUCCUUGGUGUGAAGCCAAAACUCUUUUGGCGUGAAACCAAGGCGUCUUUUACCACCUAUAUUCUGUUUUUCCAUUGUUUUUGCUUACGCUAAACUAAUUCACCCGUGUCCUACAUCAAAUUUGGUAUCAGAGCCAGGUUUUCGUUUUCUUUGGGUUCAAAAUUUUUGAGUAUUUCUUGUUCUUCACGCCGCGUGUCAAGUGAUGGCUCCGACUAAGCCUGGAAAGACAGACGAGCCAGAGAUGGACUUUGAACGUCUUUUUCAGAUGAUGGAAAACCUAUCAAAGCAAGUGGCAGAUUCGGACACUAGAUCCAGACUCGUGGAAAGUCGCCUUGCAGACUUAGAAGCAGCUAACCAACAUGAUGAAGCAAGUGUGAAUGGAGAAGAGAGGAAUCGUGAGCGACAACAUCAUGAUAGAAGGAAUGAUCGAGACGCAGAGAGACACAAUUUUCAUCGUGGCUAUGACCAAGACCCUGAUGAAAGGGUCAUGAGAUCAGUGAAAGUUGACGCUCCUAAUUUUGAUGGUGAGCUAAAUCCUAAAGCACUCCUCGACUGGUUAGCUACCAUAGAUCACUAUUUUGAGUGGCACGACAUGUCUGAAGCUCGAAGGGUGAGAUUUGCUAAGAUAAAAUUGGUGGGUCAAGCUGGAUUGUUUUGGACCAAUGUUGAAACACAGCUAGAGAGAGCUGGUGAAGAACCAAUCAUCCAUUGGGGUGAGAUGAAAGAAAGGUUGAAGCAGAAAUAUCUACCAUUAUCCUAUCAACAGAGUUUGUUAGAUGAGUGGCAAACUCUUCGUAAGACAACAUGCCAGUUGCUGAAUAUAUUGCAAAAUUUGAGGAAUUCAUGUUGCGAUGUGACAUAAGGGAAGAUCGAAGGAUGACUAUUUCUCGGUUUAGAUCAGGACUUCGUCCAGAGCUUCAAAGGGAAUUAAUUCCUCGUACUGUGAAUACUUUAGAGAGGGUUUUUCAGAGGGUACAAGAAUUAGAGAAGUAUUUAAAGUCGUCCAAUGUAGUCAAGCAAACUGAUUCUCAAAGAUCUGAUUUUCAUGUUGACACAUCUGUGACUCCAAGUUCUACGACUUCAACAUCUAUGACUAAUUUAGUAAAAAAUGCCAAGGGAAAAGGAGUGCUAGUUGAUACACGUGGUGGUGGAACGCAAAGAUGUUACAGAUGCCAAGGUUUUGGACACUUUGCUGUCCAAUGCCCAACGAAGGAGGCAACAAGAAAUCUGCGUGCACACAUCAACGAACAAGCUGACAAUCAAGGCGAAUUCGAGGAAGAUAUUUAUGAACCCCAACAACCUGAUGAAGAUUGUAGAAUCGACUUUGAAGUCCCUCAUCCAACAUUAGCAGUAGUAAGGUGUACUUUGGCUCAACCUAGGAAGGAAACUGUGGAUUGGCGUAGGACUUCCAUUUUCCACACUUACAUCAAGUCUGGAGAUAAAGAGUGUAAGGUGGUCAUGGAUAAUGGGAGUUGUAUCAAUGUGGUGUCAACGCUAACCGUUUCACAUCUUGGUUUGUCACCCGAGAAGCAUCUUGUGCCAUACAGAGUAGCAUGGAUUGACAAUACAUCUUCUAUCCCCGUUACCCAACGAUGUCACGUUCCUAUACAGUUUUCAACUUACAAAGAUCAUGUUUGGUGUGAUGUGGUGGAUAUGGAUGUGAGUCAUAUUCUCUUGGGAAGACCAUGGAUCUAUGAUUACAAUGUUACCAUCUUGGGUCAAGAAAAUAUAUGUUCAUUCAUCCAUAAAGGAAAGAAGAUCACGAUGAAGCCACUUCAACCCAAGCUCGUGAAUCAAUCUAUACCAAACAAAGAGGAGCAAGACAAAGCAGGUAAAACCAAAGCUCUACAUAUCAUUAUGCUUAAAGAAUGUAAGGAAGAUGCAGAAGUUCCCAGUCAAGUGGAAGUUAAACCAGAUUCUCGUAGUACUCGGAUUACAAAGGAGGACCUGCCGCACAUUGAUCCCAACGUUUUGGAAUGUUAUUACAGCUUUAUCUCACCAGAUUUGAGAUCUUUUCAGCUUGGGGGAAUUGAUGCGGACAUCAUUAGUUAGUUUCCUGAUUUAUUAGUUUUCCAGAUUUCACUAGGAUUUUAGUUUCCAGAGUUUUAGUAGGAUUUGAUUUAAGUUUCCUAGUUUAUUUUACUUAGUUCCUUGGUGGAUUAGGAUUUCUGUUUUAGUGAGGGAUUUUUAUCCUAUUGUCUCUAGGUUUUAGCUUGCUAUAAAUACCCCCCAUGUAGUUCUUUAAAAUGGAGAUUUGAUAUAUUAAGAAAAGUUUACUUUCCAGAGAUUGGUGACUCCUGGGUGUGAAGCCAAAAUUCUUUUGGCGUGAAGCCAAGGCGUCUUUUACCACCUAUUUUCUGUUUUUCCAUUGUUUUCGCUUCCGCUAAACUACAUAAAUACUCAAUUCACCCAUGUCCUACAUCACAGAUGCUCAUCACUAUAAAUGAAUCACAACCAGUGAAGAGAGUGAAGACAUUAUUUGUGAAAAUUUCAGUACAACUGGCCUAUAUGACAGACUAGUCUUCAGACUAAAAAGAAAAAAUAGACUAGUGAUCUCAACCAAUUAAGUACAGGACUUCCUAUCAAUAACUAGUGCAAGACUGUCUAUUAAUGUACUCUCAUUACAGAAAUAGUCUCUUAAUCGUGAGAGAGAGACUCCCAUUUGACCACUGAGUAAGUCCUUUCAAGAUCAUUACCUCAAUAAUUUGGUUAGCUAGGGAAGGGUUACGACAACAUAACUUCUCAAGAUAGAAUCUGUCCUUUAUAAUGAGAGAUGAGAUAGGAGGGAUCCACUAUGUGUCUUGACGCCUAGAGUAGGCACCUCUUCAUCACAUGGUGAUCAACCCUAUUGGGAUUUCAAAUCCUCUACAUGAAGACUUAUGUGCCUAGAUUCUUGGCACGGUAUCCUAUGAUAUCUUACAUUAGAUUCCAGGAGCAAAAUUGAAGUAGGAAGCUCUACCUCUGCAUGAUAUCUAGGCACAGGGAUCACAUGAUCAUACUUGCGCCUAGACUUUGGGUGCAGGCUGCAACACAGAAAAGGGCUAUUAGGCUUUCUUAUGCCCACAAAAUAUUUACAGAUAACUUCUCCUGUACACUUCAUGAAGGGCAUAUGAGCAAAAAUUCACUUGGAGGAGCACACAGGCACAUCCAUUGUAGCCAUUCGGAUCCAGCAAAAUAGGGAUACCUUGGAGGGGUUCCACAAAAUCUUCCCCGGUCAGACAAUGCAUUAGAUAUUUACCUAAAGAGGUAAGUCCUUGAGCAGGUCUUACGUUAGCCCCAAGACAUUAGCCUCUAACCAAAAAAGUAAAUGCUUGAGUUUGAGAAGCGUCUAGUCCAGUGGGUCCAUAAACGCACUAGGAUAGGCAAUAUUACUCAACCAAACAAAGAAACAAACAAUAAAACUGAACUCCGGCCUAUGAAUUUGUUACUGAGGAAUAUCUGCAGCAGAAGAUCCUGAAUUUGGGACUUUCUACGCCAAAAAUAUUCUUAUAAAUCACGGCACUUGUGCUUGGAUGGCGACUCAAAAUGUCCAAGUCUUUGGAUGGAACCAUAUUGUAUUUCAUUUUGACCUACAAUUCUUGAUAUGCAUUUGAAUAAAUCGCUCAAAACAGAGAAACAAAAAUUUCCGCAACAACCAAAGUCAAGCUAAGUUUCUAAAUUAUAGACGCAUUUCACAUCCAAACUGUUAACUAAGAUAACAGACUAGUUAAUUAAGAGAAAUCUCCAGUUGGAUUAAAAAAAAAUAGGGAGGAAAAUGAUUUCAUUCCUAAGGUUUUCAAUCAUGUUAUAUCAUCUUUCUAUGUCUCUAAACUUACAUACAGUCUACGAUAUCUAAUUUGAAAUAAAUAAUAACAACUAUGUGAUAUCAACUGUAAGAAGAUAAGUCUGUCAUAAUCAUCGUUGUCAUCUUGUUUAAACCAUAUCUAAAAUCAAAAUAAACAACAGAUACCCCCAAUUGUAAUAAAACAAAAGAUUAACUAGCUAUAACUCAAAAAACUGAAAAAGAAGUUUAAUCAAUUAGGUAGUAGGCAUACCAAGCUUUUGGCAAAUUAUCCACGAUAUUAGAUGAAAGAGACACAGUCAUGAGCAUAGGUCGGCUGAGCUGUAUCAAAGCUUGAUUGUCACCCACAAGCGAAGACAUGGCAACUGUGUCAGCAGCUUUCAGGUAUUCAACCAGCAGGUAGAUCCCAUAACCCACCAUGGCCAGCCCCACAAGGGUCAGAACAAAGUUCAAUAGCUUCAAUACGCACUCCCAGCACCCUCUGCAGGCCAUCUUCAACAAAGUUCUUGGACCCUUCAAUUUCCAAAUUCAAAUCAAAUGGGUCUCUUCUAUUUCAUCAAUUAGCCCACUACCUUCAACAAAAGACCCACAUUUAGCCCCCAAGAUCAAUAACACAAACAUACAAUUCUGGCUACUAACUUUCAGAAGUUUGCAACUAAUCUGGUAAUUGACGUAUUAAGCUCUGUUUGGUUGCUGGGAAGUGUACUCAAACCUUUUAUUCGACAUCAAUAAUUGUCGAAGAUCAGGGUCGUAAAUAAAGGAUUUUUAUUUUUUUUUUAUCUAUAAAAACCAACCCCCGCCCUGAAUUCAGCUGAAGCUUAUGGAAAAUUUUGGCUUGGUUGACUUCUAAUUCUUUUUUACCAAUAGCAAAUCUGAAAUGAGACCCAUAUUUCAAUUUUCCCUCAACUUUCUCAGCAAUCAUUCAAGUCUCCUAGAAAACUCAACUACCUCAAUUUCCUAACCUAAUCAACUAUGAUUUUCCAAACAACACACACUGAAAAUACAAUCGAUGAAGCUAAAUGCAAUAUCAGAUUUAUAAAAUCUAGCAUAGAUCGGAAGAUUAGCAAAAUUCGAAUUAGGCUUACAGAUUAGCGCGGAUGAUUACGAGAGCUAAUCGGAUUUUCGAGCUUUCUCGGAUUCUAAAUUCGGAUAGAGGAAGAGGAACAGAGACGAAGCGAAAAGGAGAGGAGCACCUGUAUUUUUUGCCUUUUGUCUAAUUGCCAGCUUGGCAUUUUUGAUUUGUCCCCCUCCCCGUUUUUGCUUUGUCACCGUUUACUAUUUUGGAAUGACGUUAAUGACCUUGUUUAUGCAUUUCUAUUUAUGCAUAUACUUGCGAUAUGCUUAAGGAUAGUCUGGUCAAAUCUAGUAGCUAUGAGUUUUCAGAGAGAAAAUGCCGUGCUGCAUACGACAUCGUUUAACCGGUCUCUGUCCACAAUCGUUCUGAUUUGCCAUGUCUGUUCACUUUUGGGAAAAGAAAAAAACAAAAAAGAGAAAAACAGUUUAGACUUACAAGUCAACAGAACAAAAAAAUUUAUAAUGCAAAAAUUAAACUGUAAUUUUACAAUUGAUAAUUUUAAAGUCUUCUUUAAUAAUACGUUUGUUUAAUAAGACUUGUUAUGUAAUUUUAAUCUCGACUUCUGUAAUGUAGUUAAGGACUAAAUUCGUGUUCUUAUAGUUGAAUUCAAACAAACUUGAUUGUCUCAAUUCAGUACUUCUUAAAAUUAUGAUCAAAUUUUAUAUUACCUUUUAAAAUUUAAAGUGAUUUUAUCUUUAAAUUCAAUAUUUUACAUCGCACUUUAUUCCACAUCAUCCACAUCAUCAAAUAUAUUGAUAUGUCGGUUGAAAAUGCUUAAAUGACUUAAAUAGAACCCGAUAUUUUAAUCAAAUGUAUGCAGGGAAAGUGUAAUGUGUGCGAAAAAGUUGUGGCCUCCAAUGCUUUCGCUGUAUUAAAAUUAAAUAUGUUCAUGUCUCACAACACAUUCCGACUUAGAAGUUAAAAAAACUUGUAGAAGAAUCUGUGGAGUUGCACUACAAACUCAACAAUAAUAUCUAACGGUCGUGGAUCAAGACAUCAACUACAAGUCAAAACAAUAUUGGUCAAGUUUUUUUAUUCGAUUUGGUUCGUACCUACCACUAUACACUUGCUUGUUAUUUCUUAUAAAUAAAAUACCUGUUUUUUAUUUUAUUUUCAGUACCAACGUGGUAUUCUGUACGCUGCACAUUAUUUAUCAACUUAAUUACUGUUUUGUCCCUUUGCUUUCAAUCAAAUUUCACACCUUAUGCUGUUUCAUAAGUUCUGUCAAGAAAUUCUUUAUGGAUACUAGCGUGGCAAUGGCAAGAGUUUUUUUUUUUAUUAAUAGAUUUUUUUUCCACAAUCCAAACCAACUAUUUUCAAAUCUCCAUUUAUAGAUUAGAAUUAUAAAAAAUCAUGCAAAUUAAAAAUCAUUAAGGCAUCUAAUUGAGAGCAACAAAAUAGACGAAUAUAGUGCUUUAAGAAAAGACUAUAAUAACAACCAUCUAAUUGAGUUGUCAAAUGGUUUCAUAUUCAAGUAAUUUUUUAUAGAGAUGAUCUUUGAGGGAAUAUCCAAAAAAUAGACUGUUCAAAUUAUUAAAAUACAAUGCGUGGGGUGGGCUUGGAUUAUGCAAAGGCUUGGAUUGAAUAUAUUUUUUUAAGUAGGGGCAAGAAUUGGGCAAAAAUUCAAAGGGGGUGGAUUGUAAGACCUGUGAGCUUGGAAAGCAAAACUAAUGAGCAAUCUCACAUUACUCGGGGAGGGAAAGGUAAAGUGCCUUAUAUGUGUGAACACUUCUCUUCCUAGCAAGAGGCCUUUUGGGCAAGAUAACAUUAUCUUGAGCCCAAGAACAAAACCUUGAAAGGAGGACCAAAGCGGACAAUAUGUUGCUAAUAGAGUCAGGUACAUCUUGGAGAAGCUACAAAAUACUCCACGGGCAGAGCAUUUCUUGUUGACAUCAUCAAUGACCAGUUCAGAGUCAUAUUCAAUUAUGGUAUUGCGCCAACCAUGAUGAAGUACAUGAGCUAAACCAUCCCUCAAAGCAAGGCACUCAUAGUAGAUAUGUUGAAACCCCAAGUACCUACCUAUAAUAGAUAUGUUGAACUUGGAGGACAUUACUAAUAUUAGUAACUCGAGGAGAAAAGUAAAGGGUGGACUUAUGGAAAUUAAUUUGUAGGCCAGAGGCAUAUCAUUAGCAAAACCCAUUUUUUGUAAGCAAGCUUGAAUAUAAUUCUGGUCAAGCAUAUCAUAUGCUUUCUCAAGAUCAAUCUCAAGAGCCAUAGUUCCAAUGGAAUCUUUCUUACGUUUAAAGUCAUUAAAUAACUCAUAAGCUAUAAGGAUGUUAUCAAAAUUUGAUCUGCCAUGAGCAAAAGAACCAUGAUUUUUAGAGAUUUAUUUAUAUAAUAAAGGUUUAAUAUGAUUGAUGAUGAUUUUUGCAAUUAUUUUAUAGGAAACAUUGCACAAACUACUAGGUCUAAAUUGGUGGACCCACUCAUGAGAGUUAACUUUAGGAAUAAGAACAAUAUUUGUAUGGUUUAAAGGCUUGAGAGACUGUUGAUUGGCAAAGAAAUCUUGGAUUAAGGCUUUAAUGACAGGCUUAGUUUCUUCCCAACAGUUUUGAUGGAAAGUAGCAUGUAUGCCAUCAGGGUCAAGAGCUUUCAGAGGACCUAUAUGCCUCAGAGUUUGGUCAAUCUCCAAGUCAAAGAUAGGACUUGAGAGGGUAUCAUUAUCUUCAUGUGAGAUACAAGGGUCCAAAAGUUUAAAAACCUUGAAGAAACCACAACAUAGUUAAGAUUAUGGCUUUUUUUUUAAAGUGUGGGAGCUACCCACACUAGUCAUUAGCUUGGUCCGCCCCUGCCUGCAAGGGUGUUCUUCAAAUAAGUAUUUGAGGAAUCACUUAAUUGAAGUUCUUUGUGUAUAUAUAUAAUUUAUUUCUAUUGAGUGAUUCUUCAAAUAAUUUUAUUGGCUAAAAUGUAGCAAUGGUCCUUGAACUAAGACCCGACUUUACUUUUCAUUCCUCAACUCCAAAAAUUAUUAUGGUCAUCGUUCAAUUAGAUAUCGUGUUACCACACUCGUCCUUUUCGUCAACUCUGUUUGUUUUUUUGUAAAAAUUGAUCACAUGUGAUGCUGGUGAUAUUUUUUAACCCUCACUACUUCUCAGCCUAGACUCACGCCACCCCCUCCUCUUACCUUACCAACCUGGGCUUUGAAUAUGAAAACUAAACACUAAUGUCCAAAACACAGCCAAACAAAAAACAUUCAAAGAUGCAAAAGAGAAAUUCACAUAGUAAGAACGCAUCCAAACAACAACAAUUUGUAGGGGUCUUUUUGUUCUAGCAGCCUGACGAAUGGGCUUGGGCUGCUGUAAGAGGAAGACAAACAAAAUUCCUCAAGUAUCUGAGUUCAAGAACCAGGCUCCCAAAAGAGUUUUUGAAAAAUUUGCAUAAACUUUAGAAAAACACUCUUAGGCUCUUUUCACUGAAAGCCACAUGAACAUAACGAAUUGAUAAGUGACUUGGCUUGAGGAGCUUGUGGCAUGGGAGCUAAGCUUUCACAAGUUUAGCAAUUUGAGAGAGAGCAGAAGUAACUUGGCAGUAGCGUAACUCUUCUCCAAGUCAAAAAUUACAAGUCCUUCACAGUCUCUAUCUCUGAAGUCCUAGUUCAAUUGUGAUUGGUUUUUGAUAAACCAAAUGAGCACAGACCAUCAAUAAAAAAUAUAUAUAUGUUAAAGGGCUCAUAGUCAGAUUAUUAGGUUAUAUACCCUUUAAUUCUUAAAAGCCCAAUAUAUUUAGUGGGUGGCCAAAUAAUUACCCAUUAAAUUUACAGAGGCCUAGAUUUCCGAUUUCCUAUCAUAUGGUUAAUGGAUUAAUUCAACAAUCCUCAUAGCCAUAUUUGGGCCCAAUUACAAAUAAUGUCAAUUUUAGAAAAUUAGUGGGUUAAUCAAAAUUGCUCAUUAUUUUUCUUGGUCAUUGACAAAAAGGAAAAAUGGUACAAAACCAUCCAAUUGUUCCCAUGGGUCAUCUACCCAUGAAAAUUCGAAUGAGAUUAAAUUCAAAUAUCUCAAACACAAAUUCUGAAUUAGUAGGCCACACUUACCCAUUAAUUUUCAAUUUUUCUCAUAGGUCAUCUACCUAUGAAAAUCCCCAAAUUGUCUAAAAGACACAAAUUCUAAAUUAUUGGGCCACAUUUACCCAUUAAUUUCUAAUUUUUUUCAUAGGUCAUCUACCUAUGAAAAUCUCCAAAUUGUCUUAAAGACACAUAUUCUCAAUUAGUGGGCCACACUUACCCAUUAAUUUUCAAACUUUGGAAUUACGUCGGUUUGAUUCCAUUAAGGGUACGUAGGCAGUCUAGCAUCUCAAUAGAUGCAACCGCAACCAAAUUUGAAUCACUAGUUACAUCAACCAAGUUCCCAUAAAUCAAAUGUCUACCUUUAUGCAAAUCAAUUCCGAACUACGUUGGUUUGAUCCCUUUAAGAGGAUACGUAGGCAAUCUAGAGAUUCUAUCUAGAUGCAACCAUCCCAAACACAAUUCCAUAUCAAAUCCCUAGUUCAAUCAGCCAAAUUCACUCAAACACUACUCACUCAAAUUUGUUCAAAUUCCUCUUUUUGCGAUGAAUCAUUUAUUCAUUGUGAAUCUUUGAACUACGAGUGGCUUGAGGUUCGACUUAGGGGAUACGUAGGCACCCUGAGAUUAGACUUAGGGGCAACUGCAAAACCAAAGACACACGUUCUGUUUCUUUGUGAUGGAAUCAAAGGGUGUUCUCUUGAAGUAAGGGAUUGUAAUUAAGAGACACUACGUCUCGAAUGGGUCGAACCUAAAAUAAUAAAAUCUCAUUAUUUAAUUAGUGGUGGUGAAAUUAUGUUGGGAGGAUCAUAUUUUUCUUCAACAUUGUGUAACUAUGAUCUCAUUGCGAUGUGACUCGUAUUAAAUGAAAAUUAAGUUUCAAUUAUUUUAACUUAUCAUAUGAUUUUUUGUUUCCGCAAUGUUUUCAACAAAUUGUUUAUUAACUAAAACGCCUUACUUUCUAUUGAAAACGUAGUGUUCUGAUGUUUGGUUUUAACAUUGUAACAUUGUGUUGUCAAUAUGGCAUGGUGUUGCGAAAUUCAAGUUUACCAAAUUAAUCAAACUUUAAUGCUCGCAAGUAUAUGAAUCAAAAGAUAGUAUAGCUAAGUAAGCACCAUAGAGAUUGAUUUAAUUCUUAAUAUUCCUACCAAUUAAACUAAAACUAAUUGUAAAUUGAGAAACUUUAAUGGGUGAAAUUGUUUUAAAUUUGUAAUUGAGAAAUUAAAGAAACUAAUUGUAAAUUGAGAAACUAAAAUUAAAGAAAUCAAUUAAAAAUUAAAGAAAAAAAGGCACAACACAAGAGAAAUAAGAAAACCAAGAGAGAAAGACACUAGACCAUUCAAUUUCACCUUAACCAACACUACCCCAUCAAUAAGCAUACCAAUUCCAAGUAAUUUCCCUUAUUGAUGAUCAAUUUCCCUAAACUAUUCAAUGGCCAUGGCAUUUGGUUUUUACAUGCAAUCCUCUAGGACAUCUAGAUGAAUUCUACACAUAAAUACCCAUUAAGUUCUAUGAAAAUUAUGUAGCGAUCACACAAAACCUAAUUGCAUGGCAUCUACAAUUAGUCAUUCAUGGUAUCAAUUGCAAUAAGCAAAACUCAAGUUAAGUAUGGCAUCUAUUCUAACUUGCAUCACACUAAUUCAACGUAGAUGGUGAUCAGGCAUCCAAGCUAAAUUAAACAUUAAACACAACAAAAAAUACUCAAUAAAAAGAAAAAAAAAUCUUAUAAUUAAUAUUAAUUAAUUGAAUAUCCAUGAUUAUGCUAUAUCGUGUCUCUAACUAAGGAAUAUAUUAUUAAAAACAUAUAUAAAUAUAAACAUAUUACGUGCUUAAUUUCAGGGCGUGACAAAAAAUAUAACUGCUAUGAGGAUAGAAUCAACUAUGCUAGUGAAAGUAGAAUUGAGGGACCAAAACAAUUAUUGCUAAUUAUCUUCUAAGAUAUCAAACGGUUGGUAGGGUUGACCUCUACUAUUUAGAAAAAUGGUGUGAAAUAAAAUAAAAUAUGAGGUGGAUCCAACUUCCAAGUAAUUGGAUUAUCCCAAAUCCUAAUUAUCUUCUAAAAUAUCAAACGGGUCCACACCCCAAUAACAACUUGGUCCUCCUCAAUCACCCACACCCAUGAUCCUUCCUUAAAUUGAUGAGUGCAGCAGAACCUUUCAAAAGAGCAAAAAAGAAAAGCAACUGGCACAGUACAAAUGGGUCACUGUUCAUCAGCAGCUCUGUUAGCGAUGGUGGCGUUGACCCUGUUGACCACAACUCACGGCAUCAACAACAACAGCAGCGGCGGCAGGGACACGUGGUGCGACGGCCUCAGCGACCCAUCAUGCCUCAUUGCAAACAGCGACUUGGACGGCAUGGAGUUCCUGAUGGACUCGGAAAUCAGCAGAAGGAUCUUGGCCGGACAUCCAAGUGUAACCAGACCGGCACUAGAUCCCAGCAAAGCGGCGUCGUGUGAUCGGAGGGGUUUCCCUCCUUGCCAUCCCGGCUCCAACAGAAAUCCCCCGGCGCCCAAUUGCGAUCAGACAAGGUACAAUCGCGAGUGCUACCGCAAUUGACGACCCAAACGACGUAAUUUCAUCUUGUGCCAAAUUUGGGUGCAACUUGUGUGUGCUAGGUUUGGUGGUUGCAAGUAGUAAGUACAGAAUAAAGGUUCAAUUGAUAUGGUGUGUUAACUGUAUCAAUGAAAUUGUUGUAAGUGUGUAUUGAGAUUAUCUUGUCUUGUGUUCAUGUUUAUGAUUUGGAGAUUCAAUUGUUUUUACUUUUCUGUGUAACAAAGGAUUUGUGAAGAAGACCAAAUAAUUUCUCAAUGAUUUAAGAUUAAAAAAAUGGCCACUGGUGGUGUGUGUCUGUGUUUAGUGGGUAUGCAUUGCAAUUUGCAAGGAUAUUGAAAUCCUAACUAGACUUCAUUAAAUUGUGGGUUAAAUACUAAACUCUGUUUUGUCCAUUCCAUCAAAUUACUAUUAAAAAAUGUUUCCUUAAUAGCAAUGUGGACCGUAGGAAGACCCAGCGGAGGAGGGGGACGAGCAGGGGAAAUCGAGGGUGGUGGGCCGAUCUCCAUGGCCUCAUGGUGGCAGCUCGGACAGCUAUGGUGGUUGGGGUGGUGACUGUAACAGGAGAUGGGACAGGUCACUUGUGAGUUUUUGAAGUCAAGUCAAUUAGGAUUUUAGAUGAUUUUAAAAGACUUUAAAAAUUCUGGUGUGGUUCUAAAAUACAUACACUACCGGACAAGUAAGCUACAGCUUUUGUUCUCCAUGGGGUCCACUGGGUUUCACUAGCUUCAAUCAACUCCAUACAGUUGUGAACUUGGUUGCAAAUGCUCUGGCCGGGCUUGGCCUUUUGGAGCCCUCUCCCCCACCAAACUUUUAAGCCCAGCUCCUCCAUUACCGACUUCAGAACCCCAAAAAUAAAAAAAAUAAAAAAUUGAACUUUUACACUAUGAUGCUAUGAGAUAAGAUUUCUAGAUCCGUCCCUUUUCAAGGUACUCAUUCUUUUUCACUUCAAAUCAAUUGUACUUGUUGGAUUUUCUUUUUCUUUUUCCAUGAUUUUAUUGUUUCUUGAUGAUAAUUUUCUUGUGAUUAGUAUACGAGUUUUGCUUGUUAUUAGGGUUUAGGUUGGGUUCAGGAUUUAUACUUGGUAAAAUUCCUACACCAGUUUUUGUAGACUUCUAAUUUUCCUGAGAAAAAGUGCUAAGAGAAGUUAAAGAAUUUUCUUUAUCAACACAUAACAUUGUUUAUACUAGUUUUUGUACAUUGUUUGCUUCAUAGAAAAGAUUAUCCUCUAAAAUCCUAAUUGGCUACACAACCCCUAAGUUUUUAUAUUUUAUUGUAUAACCAUUUUUAUUAUUUCUUAACAUAAAUGUAAUAUUUUAAACAAAUAGAGUAUUCUAAUUAAUUAUAAUAGCGAUUAAAUUGCCAAUGUGGUCUAUCUAACUAAAAGAACCUUGACUUGCGGACCAUGAUCUCAUGUUAAGAAAAAGCGUUUAAAUUAAAAAUACACAUACUAAAUUAGCUAAAUGAGUACAACAAAGAGAUCAUUUCGGUAUUUAAACACUAAAUUAUUAUAGAUGGAGUUAUAUAGACCACACCAAACUCCCCCCCACCCUAAAAAAAAACUGCUAAAGUCACUCCACCAUCUAUUUUUUUUUUUGUUGGAACCCUCUAGUUUGUGAUAAUUUACAAAUAUAUAUACAUACACACCCCACUCAAAUGAAAUUUACAAAUUACUUGGAAUCCUCCAUAAUUUGUUGUACAUAAAAUGUUUAUCCUAAUUAAUUAUCAAUGUUUAUCCUAAUUAAUUAUCACUAGAUAAGAUUGAUGCCGUAAUCAUCAGCAAUAAUUGUAAGUCCUUUGGAAAGAUCUAAAAUUUAUAAACAAAUAAAAAGCAAAUUAAUAAAAAACAAAAAGAAAAAUGAAGUUAGUAAUUUUUCUUUAGAAAAACACAAACGAAGGGACCGCAGGUGUAGCUAGUGCACCACUAUUGGUCUUGUAUUGAAUCGAUACUGACUAGUCGAGAAUCUUGUGCUGAUCUAUACAAACAAUAACUGUUUUGGCUCUUUCUGCACAGGAAUUUAUAUUUUUCUUCCACCAGUACGUAAAUAAUGUUAUACACGUGUCAACCUGUAAUUUGUGUGUUAGAAAGAGAUGUGCAGCACAAGAAGAAGAAAAAAAAACAGGAGUGACUCAGGAACAGCUCUGUCAGCUAUGAAGGUGAUGAUGGUCAUGACCCUGCUGACCACCACAAGUCAUUGCAUUAACAUCAACGGUAGCAUUGUCAGCCGCGGCGGCUACUUCUCUUCUUCGAGGUGUAACGGUCUCACCGGCACGGCAUGUCGUAUUGCAUACUCCGAGUUGGACUUUGACUUGGAGUUCAUGUUGGGCUCGGAAUUCAGCAUAAGGCUCCUCGCGGAUGGCGGUUCCUACCACCCCACCGAUACAUCAAGAGAAAGGGGAAGCUCUGCGUCCUGCAACCGAUUUGGUAAGGACGAUCCCUGCCAUGGUCGGGAAAACAAAAACAUCCCACCAGGUUGCAAGGACCUCACCGAUAGGUCUUGCAACCGCCAUAAUUAGUAAGCCAAUCACUACUGGAUGGAUGGAUCCAUGCGUUAGAUCGUGUGCAAGCUUAUAAGUUAUAUAAGUGGUGUCUUUUUUUUCUUUCUGUGUACGUAGAGAGUUUGUGUUGGUACGUCUCUGCAUUUGGUUUCUCUUUUUUGUUUUCUUUUUAAAUAUUAAUGGAGGAAGAGAGAUUCGACUUCCACAGUUAAGAAGAUGGAGUUGGUUGGUUCUUCAAGUAUGGAUAUUUUGUGUUAUAUUAACCAUUUGUGAUAGAAACUCACAUCUUGACUUAAUAGACAUUUUGGGGAAAUUGGAUGGACAUUUUUUUUUUUCUCGUUUCGUUCUUGAAAACUUUUUUGAAUUAAAUUAACUGACGCAUUCUCGGAUCUUAGAAGUAUAAAUUCGUUUUUAUUUUUCAAAAAUAUUUUGUGAAAAUGAUUUAAAAACAGUUUACCAGACGGACCCUUAGAGGAGUGAAAUUAUGGGCAUCUUAUAAACACCAGAAAAUAAGUGAUACUUGGCGAUGAUUAGUCUUGUUUAAUAUAUGAAUCAAAGAUUCAUUUGACAAAUUUAAAUUCUCCCCCAAUUAUUUCAUAGUCUAUGCUCUAGGAUUUCCACGUUACUUUGGCAUUCCUUUCUCACCUAACUUGUUCACUCUGAGCACAAAAAGAUUAAAAAGCAAAACCUAUCUUUAUACUUUGCCAAUAUAUGUACACUUGUACAAUUUUAUACAAAUAAAACGCACCCAAGAACUGCAUUUGCAAAAUUAUUGUCAUUUCUAUAUUCAUGUAAAAUAUAAAAUUGUGACGUACGUCAACAACUGUAUAUACGUUACUAAAACUUAUAUAUAAUUAGACGUACGUAUGUCAAAAUACAUAGCCAUAUUAUUACUUUAUGAGUCAGCGAAGGUAUUUGGAGAUUCAAUUGUUUUUACUUUUCUGUGUAACAAAGGAUUUGAGAAGAAGAGCAAAAAAUUUGUCAAUGAUUUAGGGUUGAGAUUCUGUGCAGAAAAAAAUGGCCAGUGGUGGUGUGUGUCUGUGUUUAGUGGGUGUCCAUUGCAAUUUGCAAGGAUAGUGAAAUCCUAACCAGACUUUAUUAAAUACUAAACUCUGUCUUGUCUAUUUGGCUCUCUUACUAAAUUAUAUCCAUUCCAUCAAAUUAGUAUUAAAAAAUGUUUCCUCAAUAGCAAUGUGGACCGUAGGAAGACCGAGCGGAGGAGGGGGAUGAGCAGGGGAAAUCGAGGGUGGUGGGCCGAUCUCCAUGGGCUCAUGCUGGCUGGUUGGACAGCUAUGGUGGCUGGGACUGUAAUAGGAGAUGGGACAGGUCACAGGUUACUUGUGAGUUUUUGAAGUCAGUCAAUUAGGAUUUUAGAUGAUUUUAAAAGACUUUAAAAAUUCUGGUGUGGUGGCUCUAAUACGUGCACUACCGGGCAAGUAAUCUACAGCUUUUGUUCUGCAUGGGUUCCACUGGGUUUCACGGGAUUCAACCAACUCCAUACAAUUGUGAACUUGAUUGCUAUAUGAUAGGAUUUUUAGUAACUGUGUAAAUAGGGUUAAAAUCAUAUAAAAUACUUGCAUUGUAGUAUAGAUGUUCAUGCAAGGUCAUUCUCUUCAAGAACUAUCUAGCAAUUUAUGUAAAAACAAUUUCCAAUUAACUACCUAAAAUUAAAAGUUGAGAAAGAUGAUUAUAAAAUUGUGUGAUACUGAAAACAAAUUUUAAACAAAAACAAAUACGAUUGAAGGAAGAGUUUUAAAUACCAAUUGAUAAAAGCACUAGGGUUUCACCAUCACCUAGCAAUCCUAUGCAUUUUAACCAAUUACUUAUGAUUUGCACAUGCCACUUUGGAAGUUAGGUUUUCCUAAUUUAUAUUCUACUUGGAACCUCCAAUAUAGAACGUAUAUCCAACAUGCACCCGUCCGGACGUUCGAAUCAAAUCUGAACAUGAAAGACUCAUUAAGUUUUGUGAAAACCUUUUGAAAAACCAUGCAACCCUUAAGACGUGGUGUUCAUCUUAAGUGAAAUUAAAAUUAUUAAUCACAAGAAGUCAGCGUCAAUUCCAGGGAACCUUCCGACCAAAAUUGCAUCCAGUUACUUUUCUAAAGAUCCUAAUGGUGAUUAGGCGUUAAGACAAUUAGAUAGUUUAAAACAGUGAUUAACAAUUCAAAGUAUGCAUGCACUCAAUCAUAAGCAAUUAAAUAAAAAUUACAUAUUCCUGCUAAGAUUCAAGGCUUCACCCUAGCAAAAUGAAAUUAGUUAUGCAUAUUCAUAACUGAAAUCAUGGAAAAUAUCAUUAAGAAGAAAAAGAAUGAAAACACCUUAAAGUUGCAAAAACUCCAAAAUCCUAGCAAUUGCUCUCCAUGUUGAAGAGCCAAAAAGAAGUCCCAAAAUUACUGUGAGAAGGAGCUUAAAUACCUCCUAAAAUCUAGCUACCCAAUCACCACAAGGAAACUAAGUUAAAAUAAAAUAAUAUUAGGAGAUAAAGUCCAAAUUGUUGUAAAUAUAUAAGGUGGAGCCCCAUAUGUUGGAAGAGGCUUUGCCUACAAAAGGGUUCACACCCUUCCUUUGUAAUAAGAGAUCGAGAACACUAAGAGAUAGAACAAACAUUCAAUGAGAAGAUCAGAUUUCUAUUCUUUCUCUAUACCUCAAUUCUCUCUACAAUUUCUUCUAGAUUUAUAACACGUUAUCAGCACGAUUCGCUUUCAAACAAUAGCAAUUAUAACAGAGCAAACGGGAACCUCUCCGUGUCUUUGUUUUCUCUGGGUCAAGUGCUCAAUUGGGUUUUUUGCUGCAAUCCCCAAAAACCCACUCUUUCUGUACCAGUUCAGCUUGGCUAGCUAGCUAGCUCUCUCACGCAUUUAUUCAAACACCUGUAGGAUUUUGGUAGAUUGAUGCUGAUGGUGAUAUGUGUUACAACAUGUUGUUGUGUACGAUUGAGUGAGAGAGUUAGAGAAACAGAAAGCUAGAAUGAGUCCAACAAUAAUAGCCAUCCUUCUGGUCUUUCUCACCUUCCUCUGCUCUCUCAUCCACACCAUACUCCAACCCAUAAUUGAAGACCAUGAUUUCUCAUUCAAAAUCGCUCCGUCUCUCAGCGACCCAACUCUGCUCAUCUUCCAAGAGCCCCAGCAGCAUCAUGUACAGCAAGACCCACAGUCCUCCUCCUCCACCUCAACAACCCAAUUUGGAGCCGCCGCCUCGAGAAGCCUCCAAUUCUCCUGCCCAAACGGCUCGAGCCCAAGAGGCAGAAACCCAAGGCUAGUUCUAAUUCUAGGGCGACUUCGAGGCUUGGAGUCCAUGGUUCGGUGGCCAAGGCUCAGGGCCAGAAGGCUGAGGAGGCUGACGAAAUGGCGCCGAAAGAGAAAGAGGGUCAAGAAAAGAUUCUUUAUUCUCAGUGCUCAACAAAAGGAAGGACGGAGCUGUUAUCACUUUCUUUAUUCUCAGUGCUCAACAAAAUUACUUUAUUAUUUCUCUACAGUAUUUAAUAAACCAAUUGGUGCAGGUAUGCAGAUUACAGGUGGAAAGCAUUUGAUUUGAGAGACAAGCAUGAUGCCUUCCACAAAACGAUAAUAAUAUUAUCUACUAUACUAUUUGAUCGUGGUGUUGAUGAGAACCCACCAAUAAUUGCCUUCACUUUACCGCAAAUUUACUUUUACUUAAAGUAUGAUGUGGAAUUAACCCUCAUACUUUAUGAAAUUACUUUACUGUACAUUAUUUACUGUAUGGUGUAGGUUUAUUACCCAUACAACAGUAUAUAUUUAAAAGGGUGGUGCGGGUUUAUCGUCCACGUCUUUACUUUUAUUUAAAUGUAUGGAGCAGAAUUAGUGCCCAUACAAGCACGUUUACUUUAUCGCAAAUUUACUUUUACUUAAAGUAUGACGUGGAAUUAACCCUCAUACUUUAUGAAUUUACUUUACCGCACAUUUAAUUUUAUUUAAGGUAUGGUGCGGGAUUAACGUCCAUACAGCAAGCAAUUUAAUUUAUGAAUUUAUUUUACCGCACAUUUACAUUUAUUUAAAGUAUGGUGCGGGUUUAUCGUCCAUACCAGUAAUUUAUUUAUCAACAAUUUAUUUUAUGGAUUAAUUGUGCUGUAUGAUGAGUUUUUACAGUAUGCAGAUCAGGACCAGAAGUUCCUUGAUCCUCAUCAUACAAUUACAUCAGGACUUGAAGAUCCUUGAUGAUGAUAUUAAUAUGAGAGCUGGCAGUCUCUCCGGUACUAUAUUUGUAAACAUGUGAUUGGACUUGAGGGUCCUUAAUCCCUGACAUGUAAAUAAGGACCUGGGGUUCCUUAAUGAUGUAACAGUAUCGUAUUGGUUCAUAGUGCCGUACACAUGGAUAAUAACUGUACUGGCAAAUGUACUGUACACAUGAAUAGAUACGUAUUCAUGACUUGAUGAAUAGUACCGGAUAUAUGAAUAGUGACAUAUACAUAAAUAUUAACCAUUUUGGGUAAACCGUCACUAUAUACAAAAAGGGAACCUGCAGUUCCUUAAACUCAUUGAUGAGCAAUUAAAUGAGAUGCCAGAAGUUCCUCAAGAUAUGGACAAUUAUGUAAGGGCUUGAAGUCCAGAAAUAUGUACAGAAAAUUGUAAAAAUGUCCAUACCAUGAGAAUAUGUGAUUUUGGCUUGAGAUGCCAGAAGUUCCUCAAGAUAUGGACAAUAACAGUGUUGAGAACCUGAAGUUCCAACAAUUAAAUGGACAACUCUUGAGGUAUUAUUGCAAAUUGUGGUACGCCACAUAUUUCUUUGGCAUAAGAAAAUGAUGAAUUUAAUAAAGUUCGAUUCUGUUAUAAUCGACACCUCAAGUAAGAAAUAUAUUUCGUGAAUUCCGGUUGUUAAAAAUACACCGUGAAAUAGAUAACCCUCCCCACAUAUUUUGUUAUAUCUGCGCCGGAAGCCCAUGGAUCCAACUAUAUGAGAGAUCCUGAACUUGAAGUUGUGGGUAUAUAGUGGCUUUUACUCAAUUCAUAUUUCAUGUCCAUUUGAAAAGGGCAAAUAAAUUCUGAGUUUGUGUUUAGCCCAGGCCAAAAGUUCCGGGCUCCCAUACGUUGAAAUAUGAAAUUUGGGAGAGUCGAUGUGGUUAUUUGAAUCUAUAAGGCACAAGGUUCCAAACCGUCAUUUUGAAAAGACGUAAAAACCACAGGUGCAAGUUUAAGAAUGUGCGCAAUUAUUAUAACAGGAACAUACAAUAGAUAGAUUUUUUCCACCUGCAAUGAAGGUGCAGGCCCUGUAAAAUCUAUAAAAUUACAUUAUGUUCUGGAAGCCUCUGAAUGAAGAGGACGGCGCCUCUUAAGCUUAGCCAUGAGCCUCUCGUGGUCUCCCAAAAUUCUUUCAUUGGAGACCUGCAGCAUGUCUAGCCUUCUCAGUGUAUCAACAGAGUACGAACUCACCAGUUUCAACAAGGCAUUAUUCUCUCCUUUAAGUUUCUCAACCUCCUGUUGAGACUCAUGAAGCAUUCUUUGGAGAGACGAAUUUUCAGUUGUUAACCUCUCAACCUCGUUUGCUCUGGCACGCAAACGAUCAGCCAUGUUAGAAACAGAAGCAGCACUCUGAAUGCUAAAAGCCAUUGAGUCAUCAAUAGCCUCUUCCUCAGAUCUCCCUGUCAACAACAUUUCAUCCAUUGGAAUAAUGAAAUUCCUAGCUACUAUGACAGCAGUAGCAUCAUUCAUCAUCACAGAAUCAUUAACUGUGAUAUGACGAUUUUGGGAUACAAAGGAUGGACGCCAAACUUUGGCAUCAUUGGUAGUUGUGGGAGUAUCAUUUAAUUGAAAUAAUUUGAGCAGGAAGAAGAGGAAGCCAUUUUAAGAAGGUUUAGAAGAAAGUCUUAGAAAAACAAAAGUUUCAGAAAAUGAAGGAAGUUGAGUUGAAACGCAGUUGCUCCAAUCAAGUUUUGCAAAGGCAAUAUCUAUAGGAGGAAAAAUGGCUACAGUUUCCAGGAUCCCAAUAUUAUCUCAGACCUCCAUAUUCUCUUUUUCUUUUCCAGAUUCCAAAACUUCACGCGGCCUCCAUUAAUGUUUGUCGGCACUUUCGGCGUUUUCAAGUAUUAUUUUCGUCAAAGCCGAUUUUUCUUUACGGAUUUCACGGAGCUACUUUUUCAAAAGUAUCCCGAGAAUCUCGCAAUUUUACUAUGGUUAAUUUGAAAUUCACCGGUUCUACCUAUUCAUUGUAUUUGUGUAUAAAUGUGUUACUAACGAAAUUUUCUUUGUAGAAGACAUCCAGUUUACUCCAUACCUAGUGAUGCGAUGUCUACUUGUUUUUCUUAUCAGUGAGCACUCAAUAUGCCCAAGAAGCAAGACUAUCUCUGAUCAUCCAUUCAGGAAGCGAGACUAUCCCUGAUCACGUUUCCGCUACAUCAGGAAACUGUGAAGGCGAUCUUAUGCUCUAAUCUCCGGAAGUCCUUCUAGACUAGGAGAAAUGAGAGCUUAUUGUCUGCUCCCACCAGCUUCCUUCCCUGAUUGCUUACCUUGUCUUGCAAUCAAUAUCACAUUUGUUUGCAUUUUUUCUCUUUUUGUAACUCUCUGUUCAUAAGAGAUUUUAUUUCUUUAGAAUGAACAUCUGAAGAAAGAAUCCAUGAAGUGAUCCUAACUCUGAGGGUUAUUUGUUUUUGACAGAGAGAAGAAUUGUGAUUUUUGCUCUUGCAGGAUAUAACUAGAUCAUCAAGCGCUACAUUAUAUUUACUGGGCCGAUACGAGCUUGAAUGAUACUUGAGAAAAGUUUCUCCCACCUAAGGAUGUAAGCAAUACUUGUGUUGUUUUAUGCUUAUAUACUUAUUUGAUAUUUUAUCUUGAAAGGUAACCAAAUGGGGAGAUAAGUCCGUUCCAAAAGAAUGGCUUGUAUGUAUCCAUGAAUUAUUAACGCAAAUUUUACAGAUUGCAAGUUGGAUACAUUGAUAAUAUACUGCACAGAUUAAAGUCCCAUAAGAACAGAAUAUGGGUAUAGCAGUGAUCAAUGUGAUGCACGCCUGUUGCGUAGCAAAUGAUAUGGAUUGAAGUCCCAAAAGGAGAAUCCUUUAACAUGUCAAUAUUGAUAUUGUACAGGCCUAAUGCGUAGCAAAUUAUAUGGGUUAAAGUCCCAUAAUAUGGGUUAAAGUCCCAUAAAUUAAUUGACAUGUAUGUAUUAAUCUGUGGCAUGCCUGUAGCAUGACAGAUAUAUGGGUUCUGAAUAUUCCAACUCCCUAAAUGGAGAUUAUCCACGCCCUACUGCAAAAUAACGCUCCAUUGGAGGUUAUAAUCCACAUUCUCACAUCAUAAAAGCCCCUUGAAGUGGCUUGGGUACCCAAAGGCAAAGAAAUGCUUAUAAUCGAUGCAUGCGCAUGCACAUGAGAAUGGUGAGAUCAUGAAUUGAUGAACGACAAUUUUUGGAGUAGCUACUCAAAUCAUCAAUGGGCUGUGUUGAUUGGAACCACGUUCAAUUAUUAAAUGUCGACAAUAUCAUUAGCCAAAAUAGAAUGAGGCAAUUCCAUUAUAGAUGAGAAUGAACGUGAAAUAACAAACCCACAAUACGAACCCCAAAAGAUGUUAAUACUGAAAGUUAUACUUGGGUGUUCGGAAUAAAAGGGAAUAUACCUACUUUGUAUGACACAAUGUUUCUGGCAGAAACAAGGAAUGUUGGGUUUUCUCCAUAUUUACAGAUUCUAUUGUGCCUCCUUAUUGCACAUUUAUGGAGACCAACAUGUUAUCUUUAAGGGUUAUUAAAUGCACGGAGCAUAUCACCAGUAGUGAUUCCCUAAAGAUGUAUAAAUAGCUAGGUUAAAGCUAUAUAAUGUGUCAUAGAGUUUAAUCUGUACUCAAUACUAAUGUGCAUAAAUUGCCUCAGUGGGUACAUGGAUUAUAAUGUGUUUACAACACAUUAAAGCUUCUGAAGAGUUUAAGAAAUAUUUAUCUCGACCCAACGAUCGAGCGUUGUGCCAACAAAAUUUUGUUUUUGAUUAUACUAAGAAAGUAUUGAAACAUUUUUUGAGGAUUAUCCGUUGGGCACUUAAAUAUUUUUCCGGAAGUAUACUGGACCAGAUAGAGCUCAGCUCAAUCACCACCACUUUGGGAUGAUACUAUGAAAAUUUUUAUGGUCGCUUACUGGAAAAAGGGCUAGUCAUGAAGUUUUCAGGGGGAGAUAUUCAUCAAGGGGAGCGUGGUUUUAAUAAAGACCUUCAUACACUGUACUCUUUUUCCUUCAUCCAGGUUUUUAUCCCACUGAGUUUUUCCUGGUAAGGUUUUAACAAGGCAGUGUCGCUCAAGAUUGACUCACAGAAGUAGUGUCAACUAUGAUAUUCAGAAAGAUGAUCAACAGUAUGGCUUAAAGAUAUUUUGCCAAGCAUCAGGGGGAGCGUGCUAUCAAUAAAGAUCUUCAAACACUGUACUCUUUUUCCUUCGUCCAGGUUUUUAUCCCACUGGGUUUUUUCUGGCAAGGUUUUAACGAGGCAGUGUCGCACGCGUGUCAAUAUACACAGAAUUUUAUGUUACACAUGAUUAUGUAUUUUUUUUCCCUUUGACCAGUUUUUGUCCUACUGGGUUUUUACUGGCAAGGUUUUUAACGAGGCAUAUUCUGUAUCAUUUGUGGUCUCCAAGGGGGAGUGUUGUAAAUAUAUAAGGUGGAGCCCCACAUGUUGGAAGAGGCUUUGCCUUCAAAAGGGUUCACACCCUUCCUUUGUAAUAAGAGAUCGAGAACACUAAGAGAUAGAACAAACAUUCAAUGAGAAGAUCAGAUUUCUAUUUUUUCUCUAUACCUCAAUUCUCUCUACAAUUUCUUCUAGAUUUAUAACACAAAUUGGAUUAGGAGAAUGUACCCACAAUCUGGUCAACCACGUUUUGGCCUCAAAUCUCCUCCAAAUCUGACCUCAAAUCGUGCCCCUUCCCUCCCCACCACCACAAACAAAAACAAAAAAACAAAAAACAAAAAACAAAAAGCUAAAGCCUCUCCAACAUUUUUUUUUCGUUGGAACCCUCAAUUUUGUGAUAAUUUGAACUUUACAAAUUACUUGGAACCCUCCGUAAUUUGUUGUACAUAAAAUGUUUAUCCUAAUUAAUUAUUAAUAAGUUUGGUCUAGAAGAAAUGGUAUUAAUUUAUAAACUAAUAAUCUCAUAUCCGAAGUCAUAUUACACUAUGACAGUUUGUGAGUAAACAUCCUCCAUCAUCCUAUCCUAACUUUGGCUAUAAAAAAAUCUCCUCGUUGGGUAGCUUUUCGUUGUGUUGUGCCCAUAUACGUAAUUGCUGCCGUCAUCAGCAAUAAUUCUAAGUCCUUUGGAAAGACCUAAAGUUUGUAAACGAAUAAAAAGCAAAUUAAUAAAAAGCAUAAAGAAAAGUGAAGGUAGUAACUUUUAUUUUAAAAAAACACAAACGAAGGGACCGCAGGUGUAGCUAGUGCACCACUGUUGGUCUUGAAUAAAAUCGAUAUACCACUGAUCUAUACAAACACUUACUGUUCUAUGCACAGGAAUUUAUAUUUUUCUUUCACCAAUACGUAAAUAAUGUUAUACACAUGUCAACAUGUAAUUUGUGUGUUAGAAGAGUAAACAGAUGUUCUUUUUCUAUAUAUAUGUGUGUGUGCUUGAGGAGUGCAUGCAGCACAAGAAGCUAUGUGCCUUGUCCCCUGUAUGCCCCAUUUGUGAGCAAGCUGAGGAAUCUAUUGAACACACUUUAUUCCUAUGUCCCUGGACUUAACUGGUGUGGUUUGGCUCCCCUCUCAACUAUAGGGUGGACUCCCAAAGGUUUUCAACCAUAGACGUGUGGUUUCAAAACGUGGCUAAGGAUCUGCCCCGAAGUGAGAAAGAGAGGAUUCUUACCAUUGUGAGCUUUUUCCUGUGGGAGAUAUGGAAAACCCGGUGCAAAGUCAUUUUCGAAGGCCAGAAGAUUGAUCCCCUUAUUGUGAUUAAUAAUGCUAAUAGGGCUGCUCUUGAAUACCAGGCCUUCACGUUUAAAAUCGCUGGACAUAGUUAUGCUCGCAUGGACAGUCGUGCCUCUUGGUGCCCUCCAAGACUGGGAUUUAUCAAGGUCAAUAUCGAUGGAGCGUGGGCCGACGCUGCUAGUUCGGCAGGUUUUGGGGUGAUCUUGCGUGACUCAACUGGUGCUUUUUGUGGUGGAACAGCGGGUCCUAACUCUUGUGAGUCGGCCCUUAUGUCUGAAGCCGAAGCGGCUCUUUCUGGUUUGAAGCUGGCUGCACAGUUUGGGCAUCACAGAAUAUCUUGGCAUCUGAUUCCAAAGUUUUAGUUGAUGGUCUAAAUGGAAAGAUGGGUAAUAGAGCUUGGACUAUCUUGCCUAUUAUCAAGGACAUAAGGAAGUUGGCGGCAUCUUUUGUUUCUAGUGAGUGGUGCUGGGCGCCUAGAAGCCAAAAUAUGGCUGCACAUGAAGCUGCAAAGCUUGGUAGAGGUCUGGUGGAAGCGCGAUGCUGGCUCAAUAGAGCUCCACUUGCUCUCAUGCACGUUCUCAAUUCGGAUGGUCUACCUGGUCCACCUUAGUUUGCUUGUGUUUGGGAGGGGUCCCCUUUUGUACUAAACUGAGUGUUGGUUUAGUUUUCCGCUCCUCCCUUCAGUAUUUGUUUCCUUUGUAUCUUGUGCUUGGUCAUGGCCCUGCUGACCACCACAAGUCAUGGCGUUAACAUCAACGGUAGCGUCGUCAGCGGCGGCGGCUACUCCUCCUCUUCGAGAUGUAAUGGUCUCACUGCCACUGCCACGGCAUGUCGUACUGCAUACUCCGAGUUGGAGUUCAUGUUGGACUCAGAAUUCAGCAUAAGGAUCCUCAAGGAUAUUGGCGAUCCCAAAAUCACUUAUGCCGGAUUGAAGAGUGGACCGGUGUCCUGCGGCCCCCCAGGUGUUGAUAAAUCUGACCAGUGCCACAAGGAGGAAAACAAUAUCGUCCCACCAGAUUGCAAGCCCAGUGCCCCCACCAAUAGGAAUUGCUACCGCCAUGAUGAGAGAAACGCUUCCAAAGGAUGAUAAAUCUGUCAAGUGCCACCGUAACAAAAACCAAAAAGCCAAAUUAGAUUGCAAGGACCUCACCAAUAAGAAUUGCUACGACCAUGAUAAUAAGUAAGCCAAUUACUACUGGAUGGAUCCAUGCAUUAGAUCGUGUGCAAGCUUAUAUAAGUGGUGUUAUUUUUUCUGCUUUUUAAUUUCUGUGUGUACGUGGAGAGUUUGUAUUGGUACGUUUCUGCAUUUGGUUCUUCAUUUUGUUUUAUGUUUUCUUUUAAAUAAAGAAGAGAGAUUCGACUUAAAAUUACUUCCACAGUGGGACUUGGGAAUAAUGCCCAUUAAUUAACAGAGGUCACUAAUUCAUUUUCUUUUAAAAAGACUUUGAACGGAUAAAAAGAAAAGGAAUAAACAUAGAUAAAGUAGUAACCUUUAAUUAAAACAGAAAUGCGCAGGGACCGCAAGCCUAGUGCUUGGAUUGGAUGCUAGACUAGCUACUGACUGAGUCGUGAAUCUCGUGGUCUAUGUAUAUACAUAUAAUUAUUUGUGGGAUUCCUUUGCUUUAUAUGUGACGACGACGAGUCAUAUUUUCUCUCAACCGUAAAGCAUAUACAUUAUUAAUCAAUAAUAGCGCAAAGAGAAAAGUUUAUGGAGGGGCUAGCUGUGCUUUAUACAUGUGUGCAAGAAGAGUAAAGAGCCAAAGUACUUUUUCUAUGUUAUAUAUAUACAGUGUUUGAGGAGUGCAUGCAGCAGAACAAGAAAAAAAGAACAAAAAAAACAAAAGAUGAGUCACUCAGGAGGAGCUAUGAAGCUGAUGAUGGUGAUGAUGGCCAUGGCCCUGCUCACCACAAGCCAUGGCAUUGGCAUCCACAUCAACACCAGCGUCGUCACCGGUGGCUACUCUGCCUCCCGUUGCAACGGCCUUACCGACACGGCAUGCCGUAUUGCUCACUCGGAGUUGGACUUUGACUUGGAGUUCAUGUUGGACUCAGAAUUCAGCAUAAGGAUCCUCAAGGAUAUUGGCGAUCCCAAAAUCACUUAUGCCGGAUUGAAGAGUGGACCGGUGUCCUGCGGCCCCCCAGGUGUUGAUAAAUCUGACCAGUGCCACAAGGAGGAAAACAAUAUCGUCCCACCAGAUUGCAAGCCCAGUGCCCCCACCAAUAGGAAUUGCUACCGCCAUGAUGAGAGAAACGCUUCCAAAGGAUGAUAAAUCUGUCAAGUGCCACCGUAACAAAAACAAAAAAGCCAAAUCAGAUUGCAAGGACCUCACCAAUAAGAAUUGCUACGACCAUGAUAAUAAGUAAGCCAAUUACUACUGGAUGGAUCCAUGCAUUAGAUCGUGUGCAAGCUUAUAUAAGUGGUGUUAUUUUUUCUGCUUUUUAAUUUCUGUGUGUACGUGGAGAGUUUGUAUUGGUACGUUUCUGCGUUUGGUUCUUCAUUUUGUUUUAUGUUUUCUUUUAAAUAAAGAAGAGAGAUUCGACUUAAAAUUACUUCCACAGUGGGACUUGGGAAUAACAGAGGUCACUAAUUCAUUUUCUUUUAAAAAGACUUUGAACGGAUAAAAAGAAAAGGAAUAAACAUAGAUAAAGUAGUAACCUUUAAUUAAAACACAAAUGCGCAGGGACCGCAAGCCUAGUGCUUGGAUUGGAUGCUAGGCUAGCUACUGACUGAGUCGUGAAUCGCGUGGUCUGUCUGUAUAUAUAAUAAUAGCGCAAAAAGAAAAGUUUAUGGAGGGGCCUAGCUGUGCUUUGUAUGAAGACUACAGAGCCAAGUACUUCUAUUUAUAGUGGCUUUGAGGACUGUGUGCAGCAGAAAAAGAACAAAAAAAACAAAAGAUGAGUCACUCAGGAGGAGCUAUGAAGCUGAUGAUGAUGAUGAUGGCCAUGGCACUGCUCACCACAAGCCAUGGCAUUGGCAUCCACAUCAACACCAGCGUCGUCACCGGUGGCUACUCUGCCUCCCGUUGCAACGGCCUUACCGACACGGCAUGCCGGAUUGCUCACUCGGAGUUGGACUUUGACUUGGAGUUCAUGUUGGACUCGGAAUUCAGCAUAAGGCUCCUCCAGACAAAUGACGCUCAUCUUUCUCUGGAGUCGUUAGUUGCAACGAAAGCUGUGUCCUGUAACCGAGUGGGGAAUACAGAUAGCUGCCAUGACAAGGGAAACAAAAUACCCAUUCCAGACAACUGCAAGAAGGAACCCACCCUUAAGGGUUGCUACAAACAUCCCCCCUAAACCCUAAAUCAGCCGCUACUACUACUACUACUGGUGUCUUUUGUUUCGUUCUGCUUCUUAAUUUCUGUGUACGUUUGUGUGCUUUUGAUUCUCUCUCUUUUUUUUUUCUUUUUUUCUUUUUUAAUUAAGAAAGGGGAUUCAGACUUGGGAUGUUUUGUAUCAUUUAGAAGAACUAGUUGGUUGGUUCUUCAAAUAUUUGUGUGCUGUAAUCGUGUUAACCAAUUUCAAGUCUAUAUGAUUUACUCUUUCUUUUCAAUGUCGGAAAAAUAAAACAUUACAACUUUUUUGUGUAUCUGGUACAAUCGUACAAAUCGGUUUGGGCAAGAGUACAUUUCUGUGAAACUUCAUGAAAAUUAUUACAAGAGUACAUUCUUCGCGAGAAAUUAUUAAGUGAUAUUUGAUAUUGAUUAGUCUUUUUUUCAUAUAUGAUUUCUGGAUUCAUUAGUUAACUUGCUUUAGGAUUCUACAUUACUUUAGCAUAUUUCUCUUUAUCCUCUUUUUUCACUUUGUCAGACAACAGCAACAAAAGAAAAAGCAAAAGCUAUCAUGUUGACAGUGAUUCUUGUAGAAUAGUGUAGAAAAAAACCACGUACUAUAAAAAAAGAAAAAAAUGUCUACCGACCAUACUACUUACGCCACGUACAGGCAACUCCUUGCUUUAUAAAAAAAGAAAAAAAAAACCACGUACUUUUAUGUUCAUUAAUUAAUUGAAAACACCCACCAAACUUACCGAAAAUGUCAUGUAGAAAUGUCUACCUACCAUACUAUUUACACCACAGCAACUCUAAACACAUUAACUCCUCUCCCUUCGCAUGUGAAAUUCCCCACUGCGAAUAGCGAGGCAACUGUGAAUGAUGAUGACAUUGGAGAUCAUGAUGGCUCAUGAUUGCCUUGAAAGAGUACCCUAGGCCUAUUGAUAUCUAAUAAGGAUAACAUUAUUUUAUAAUAUUAAGUCAAUCAUAGUAUGUUAUGUGUAAUAAUUUUUUUACUUAGUAUAUUGUGAUUGGUCGGGGAGAGCAAAACAGUGCUAUUCCCAUUUCACACAAGUUUUUCUGUCAAGUGAAAGUAUUAAAUUUUAGAGGAUAUACAAGUUUCAAGUAGUGUGUCAAACAGAGUUGUGAAGACCAAUAUGAAAAUCGUAAAAUUUGAUGGAAAACGAAAUGUUAUUAACUCAUGCCUUAUUUGGGGAUAUAAUCAUGGGAGAUUCACUAUUAUACCAAAUAUAAGGGUCCAAAUUAUAGAAAAAGUAUAAAAUGGACUUUAGGAACACACCCAAAGCCUAUUUACAACAUAACAAAAAAGCUUUUAACUUUUUAUAAAUUACAAAACUGCCAUCGAUUUUUUAAAACAAGCCCAACCUCAAAACCUCAUAAAAAAACCCAAAACACUCAAUAGACAUCAAAGUAAUUUAAUAAUCAAAAUUAAAUUCAAUAGGGCCAGUUGUCAUUUUUGGGGUUUUUUUUUUGGUUUGUUUAUAGAAAUUAAAUGAUGCAGGGUUUAUAUAUAAUUGUUUGGGUCUAAGAAAUUCCACACGCCAGUCCAUUUCUCACAAAGAGGCCCACAAAACAGAAAAGAAAAGAAGACUGGGCCUUGACUCCGGAAAGUAGCCAAUCAACAUAAGAGGCCCACGUCUUUUUGAAAGAUAGCAGAGUUUUUAAGAGAAACAAAAAUAAAUAAAUCAAAUUACCAAUUAAAUGGUAAUUCAUCACCAAGUAGGUCGAUAAAUUUAUAAGAAGAAUUGGAUUGGACCCAGCUUCCAAAUUCUCACCAUUGAUCUCGAUCCCAGAAACAAAGUCAGCAGAUUCUUUUUUUUGGAAAAAUCUAUUUUCAAAAAACUUAUGUGACUACCUGACUUUGAAGAAAGAAAAAUCUCAACUAUUACAGAGAAGCUGACAGAGAAGUUAAUGAAGGCAAGUAUAAAAGAGAGACGUCUCUGAAUCUUUUCAGGCAAAAGAUCAAAAUCCUUUUCUAUAUACAGAAAAAUUCUGCAUCAGAGCAGGUAUCAUUUCCAAUGGAUAAGCAGACUACAUUUUCUAAAGAGAUAAGUAGGGAGCAGGGAGUUGUUCAUCAGGAAAAUCAAACUAACCAUCAAACUAUAAAUAUGAGAAGAGAUGAACAGAUCAAGGAUAGCCAAAAAUCAAUCAAAACAAAAACUCUCAAGACCACAAUUGACAAAAUGAUCACUUGAUCUCAAAAGCCUUCAAACACUGAAGCAACCUCAUUGAGCCAUAAUAAACAAGUCAGCUAUAAUUCAAAAUCUCUUAUCAGUUUAGUUCAGAGAAAUAGUUAUACAAAGCGAGACUUCUCUCGUUACAAAUUUGGUUCAGCAUAAGCCAAGUCAAGCAGAGUCCAGGUUUUUACAAAUAUGAAAACCUCAACAAAUUUAUGGAAAGCCCUGAUCAAGCAGAACAGGUACUACAGUGCAGUUCCAGCUCAGUAAUCAUCAGAUCCAGCUACUUCUACCCCUUUCAGACUGAAGAGUCUCCAAUUCUGCCUGUUCAAAAAGCCUCACAGGGCUUGAAAUAGAUUAAAGCUUUGCCAAACUCGAACGUUGAUAUCAAUUUACAACUGAAACUUGACAGUUGAAGGUGUUGAUGGUCCAAUUUAGCACAGACAUACCCAGUCCAGUCCAGAUCAAAAGUAGCUAUACAGGCAGAAAUUGAAGUCCAACGCUCUUAUGUCGUUUUUAGAGUUGGUCUUUUCCUUUCUGAGCUUUGUAAAAGGUAGUUCUGCCUGAAACAAUUCACUUUCUUAUCAUUUAUUCUGGCCAGAACUAUCAGUUUUGUACUGUGAAAAUUAGUGAAGUUCUUACCAGUAUAAGGCAAUAAAAGAACUUACUUGGGAGAUAUUCAUCACCCAAAUUCACAAAUCGCUUGUUUAGAAAUUAAUAACUUAGGGCGCAAGUUAUCUAUUUUAAGGGAGUCUGCUAGGAUUUUUAUUGCUAGCAUGACACGCUCAUACACAAAAGAAAGUUGACUUGUUGACCACAAAUGAUUUUCAAGCAAAUGGGAAACUUUACCCUACCAUCACAGGAACAAAUCAAAAAAUAAGUGAAUAAUAAUGCUAAAAAUAGAUAUAUGACUAAAUAUCUCUAAAAUCAUUUGCCGCAAAAGAAGAUGUUUGACAUCACACAAUAUAAAAAAGAUGAGUGCAAUUGUCAGUACAUUAUCUCUUGAAUUGCAUACCUGAGCAUUUUCUGAUUUUUUAUGAUACCUCUCUUGUGUUUUUUCCUGUUAUUGAAUCAAGUUAAGGUAUUUUUUUCAAAAAUAAAAAUAAAAAUCUUUUAAAUCGAAAAAUAGUGGGGCUCAACAAAUUAUGCUUAAGAGUCAUUUUGAUAUGAAAUACUAUAAUCCUAAAGCUACAAUCCUCGCCCUCAUCUCUUCCACAAGUCUAGCCAUCUAACCUUUGGUUUUUGACGCUAGAUUCAUAACAUGUGAACUAAGGUAUAGAAAGUUCCAUUUUGAAAGUUGAGGGAUUUUCUCAAGUUGAUACAAAGUUCAGGACCAUAGCUUCUAAAAAGUUUUUGUCAAUAUAUAUAGGCACUGUGGUCCAGCCAAGUUGAGCCCAUGCAGAGCGUGACGUGAACUGAGACCAUUACGAGAAAAAAAAUUGGUCACUCUCAUUUCUCACUUCCAUUUCUUUCUUGAUGGUUCAUUGUGAUAAUGCUCUUAUUUUGACAAAAUAUAUACAGUGCUUUGAUGAGUGCAUGCAGCAGAAAAAGAAAAAGGAUGAGUCACUCAGGAGGAGCUAUGAAGCUGAUGAUGGUGAUGAUGGCCAUGGCCCUGCUCACCACAAGCCAUGGCAUUGGCUACCACAUUAACACCAGCGUCGUCACCGGCGGCUAUUCUGCCUCCCUGUGCAACGGCCUCACCUACACGGCGUGCCGGAUUGCACACUCUGAGUUGGACUUUGAC
rnacentral:lncRNA from 1 species